rnacentral:lncRNA from 1 species
UCACUCACCCUUCGGUGAAGCUUACUUGCGCUGCUGCACAGCGGAGAUAAUUUGUUCACUACUCAUCAUAUUUCUCUAUUGAUAUGAAUUAUUUUUCUGUGUUGAACUAUUGGCAAUAUUUGAAGUAUCAACAAGCCGAUUUGAUUUUGAUAUCUUGUUUAUCUAAUUGACGUCCAACCUUUUGUAAUAUUAUUCGUUCAAUUAACUACACUACAUUUCCAUGGUAGGUUUUUGUCUAAAUAUGAUUGUGUUCGAUGUUGAUAAAAAAUUAUAAAUCUUUGACCGCAAAGUCAUAUAGAGUUUUGACUGUAUACAAUCCAAAUCUUAAGAGUGACUUUUGUUGUUUUUUGGUCAAAAAGUAGGAUUUAGGAAGUCACGUAUACAUUAUACAAUGAAUGAAUUGAGUGACAAUGUUGAAAAUUUGAAAAUUAAUUACUCUUAAUUAUUGAUUCUAUUUUAAAUUCUUUGACUUUUGUAUUGAGCAUAACUCAUCAUUACAAAACUGACUUGUAAGGUGAAGAAUAUCUCUCUUUAUAAACUAUUAUAGAGCUCUAUCUCUUAUAGAUGUGUGAUUUGAGUUUUUUUUCUAAUACACCCCUUCACGCCCAAUACUAUUGGAUUUUGUGCUUGUAUAUAAAUGGUGGGUGACCUGUGCGUGUAGGUUUUGAUAUUAUAUUACAAGAGAAGAAUUUGAGAGAAAUUGUAUUGAAUAAUUCCUCAUAUUAUUAGAUAAAAUGGAAAAAAUCAGAAUUAUAAGAUACAAGAGUUUUGACAUAUAUAGUCUUUACAUUAAUGAUUAUCAGAAUAACAACCUGCUAAUUAUAAGGCUAACUACACAAAACUGAAUCUAAAUCACUAAUGGUGUAGUUAUGUAACUAAUAUAAAUAAAAUAACAAGGUUUAUGUACUGAACCUAGUGACUGAUAUAUUAUGAUAUGACAUGACUUAUUCAUUAGUUUAGUUAUAUUUUCAAAUAAGCAUGUAUAUGACAUAGUACUUGUGACUAUGACGAUCUCAUGGUUGGACUUGGACAUGUAAUAUGUUUCUACUUGUUCUGAACAUGAAUGAAUUUUAACCUAUGGUUUGCCAUGAAAAAUAGCAGAGUGGCUUCUGUUUCUAUUGCUAUCCUUCUUAAUUAUUUAUUUUGUUUAAACCAUAUUAGACCAUAUUUUCUGUUUUAAUAAUUUUUUUUAGUAUAAACCUAAAUGGAUUUCUCACCUAGCUUAUAAAUUCUUUUAGUUUCACUAUUUUAUACAUUUUCAACAUUAUGCGGAUAACGCUUGCUUCCGAUGGUUAGCGAAGAACAGAUUCAAAGAGAUUUUCUAGUGAUGAUAUUAAAUUGGAGCAUACAAUUCAGGUGCAUGGAAUGAGUUUGAAUAAUGUGCAAAGUGUUAGUGUGUUUGGAGAUGUUUAUGAGGCAACUAAAGAUGCUCAUGGGAUAUGUGUUCUUACAGAAUGGGAUGAGUUUAAGAAAAUUGAUUAUCAAAUAGUAUUUGAUAAUAUGGAGAAACCAGCAUUUGUUUUUUAUGGUAGAAAUGUUUUGAACUUUGAUAAGUUGAGGAAGAUUGGAUUUAUUGUAUACUUAAUUGGAAAGCCAAUGAAUUAUUAUUCAAAAGAUGAAAUAUUUAAGGUUCAGUAUGAAUUUGACGAAAUUAUAUUGACAUUGUGAUUAUAUUAAAUUUACUGGUUAUCUAAACAUGCGAAAUUUCAAUCUUUCAUUUAUAAUUUAAGUGAAGAAAAAUAUUAAAUAUUGCUAGAUUGUAUGUUCUAAUCAAAUAACAAUGUCAUUGGUUUGAGGUUAUAUUAGUCAUUCUAUAGAUUGUAUGUUCUGAUCAAAUAAAAAUGUCAUUGGUUUGAGGUUAUAUUGGUCAUUCUAAUGUUUCAAUGAGAGUGAAAAUUCAUAUACAAUUUUUUUAAUAGUACUAGUACUUUUUAAUUAUAUAAUAUAAAAUUCAUUCCAAUAGAAUAUGUUGCACCUUGUUUGCACCUUAAUAUGUUGCAAUUAUAAAAGACCGUCAUUCAAAUGUCAUUGGCACAUGGCAUUAUUAUCCUAGAUAGUAAUUGAUGAUGUGUAUUUAUGUAUGUAACAUUUUGAUUUUAACCAUGAGCUACAAUACAAACCAAUCAAUUAAGGAAAAAGAGAGAAGAUUGUUUCACACUAUACUCCCACAUUUUUAUCUAUACCCCACAAAUUUUUGAAAAUACUAAUUAUACUUUUAAUUUUAUAUUUAUUAUUUUAUCAGUUCAAAUUCACUUUUUCUUUUUACCAUUUCAACAUUUUUGAAUUAAAUAAAAAAGUUUUUUGAAAAUUACCAGAAAAUAUUUUCAAAGAUUUCCGGUACAGGGAGGUUUAUCGGAAAUUUUUUUCAAUACAGAAGAGAAAAAAAUUUAAAAAUUUAAACUAUCAGAAAAUUUGAAAAAAGUCUUUCAAUACAAAAAUGGUUUACCAGAAAACUUACGGUUUUAGUGUUAUACUUCGGAAAAGUUAAAAAAAAAAUCCAGUAGUGUGUUAUACUUCGGAAAAAUUAAAAAAAGUAUUUAGGUUGUAUCGGAUAACUUGAAAUAAGAUUUCCAAAAAUAGCAUAUGAAUCGGAAAAGUUUUUUGAAGUUUUCCGGAAUGAAAUUUCUUCACUGAAAAAAAGUUGAAAAAAAAUUUCCAGUAAAAUAGAAAAAAUUUGACUCACUUAUUACCAGAAAUGUCAAAUGAUGGAAUGGUGAAUUUUUUUAAAUUUUAACAUUUAUAGGAGGACAAAAAUGUUAUUUCUUUAUCAUUGUGGAGGGUAAAGGUUAAAUAUGAGGGAUAUAUGGUAAAAUCAUCACGAGAAAAACAAUGUAUAUGUUGGCCCAAACCGAAAUUAGCCUGUGGUCUGCAUAGCAUUGGGCUUGGACACAAUAUUUAGGUAAUUGGUAAUCCAAGUUCAUAUUUUUAUUCAUAUUUUUGAAUUUUUAUCUUAUCAUAACUUCUAGUAAUGUAAAGCGAAUAAAAUAUAUUAUCGGAUCUUAAAUUUUGGUAGUGCAUUUAGGGGUGGGUGAGGGAAGCGGAUGAACAACCUUCUCAUUUUAAAAUGUCAUUUCUUUUAUUUUGAUGAAACUUUUUCAAUUCAGACACACAUUUUAAUAAACAAAAAAAAUAUAUUUGAAUUAGUCAAUUUGAGAACUUAUGGGAGAGAGAAUAAAUUCACUUCGGUGAAGUCCAUGAUUCUUUUUUAAGAAAUUGACUAAUAUAAAGUGAGUAGUUAAUAUAAAGUCCAUAAUUUGAGAUCUUGACGGAGGCAUGCAUAUUUGAAGUGGAAUUCCCGUCUAUUGACAAAAAACUUGUGCGAACAGGUUACUUUACUUAAAUUAAAAAAUUCAUUUUAAAAUUAAAGUAUCCUAUACAAGAUAUUUGUUAAGAAAAAAAAUAAUAUUUUUUUAACAUUUUAAGGUAUUUAAUGUACAAAUUUAAAAAUGUAUAUAAUUUUUUAAUUAGUUAAUAAGUGUAUUUGAAACAUUUGUUAGUAUUUAAUAUCAAUAUAAUUAACUAUCAAUAUAAAAAAACUAUAAAAAAUAUAAACGUAUUCUCAUUUAAUUUUUUGUCACAUUGUUAUUUGAAGGUAAACAAGUAAGUUUAAGAAAUAAAUAAAUAACUACCAAAAAGAAAUAUAACUGCAUUUUAUUUUGACAAAAAAAAAUAACUACAAAAAAAUUAAUGAAAAAAAUAAUCAUAAAAAAUAUAAAUUUAUUCUUAUUUAAUUUUUUUUUUGUCACAUUAUUAUUUGAGAGUAAACAAGUAAACUUAUAAAAGAAACUAAAAAAAAGGAAUAGAACUAUAUUUUUUGACCAAAAAAAUAUAACUACCUUAUAGAGAAAGAAAUAGCUAUUUUAUUAAAAAAAUAACUACAAAAAAAUUAAUAUUGCUCUCCUCAUUUUUGUUAUAACUACCAAAAUAACUAUUUUCUAAUCAUUAUUAUCAAUAUAAUAAAUGAGAAAAGUAGUGAAAAAUUAAUAUUAAAAAAUAUAUUGAAUACAUAUUUAUCAUCAAUAAAUAUUAAAAAUACAAUUGAUAAAUAUUUAUAAUAGAUGCAUAAAAAAACAUAAUAAAUGUUUGUGAGAAAUAUAAAAAAACAUAAGAUAAAUAUUUAUCAGAGAUACAUAAAAAAGAAUAGAACAAAUAUUUAUUACAAUAAAUAAAAUGCAAAUUUUUAUUUGAUGUAUAAAUAGUGCCCAUAUAAGGUUUUUUUUCCCUUCUAAUUUCCCUUAAAAUUAAGCUAAUGCAAUGCAAUAUAGGCUUUUUUGUACAUGGGAAAUAUAAAGCAAGUGGAACAGUUAGUUCCCAAUAUCUUAACAUUGACCAGUUUUGAUUCUUAUGCAUAAAUGACCUUGGCAUAGAUAUUUUGCAAUGUUAUUAGCACUUAGUAGUUAAACCAAUUUCAACAAAAUACAAAGGUAAAACGCUAUAAUGGUGGAUUUCUAUACCAAACAUCACACUUUUCACACAAAUGACAGGCAUAUAUAUAUAUAUAAGAGUGGUCCCACAUUAUCACAUAACUUAUUUUAUUUCUCAAACUAAAUUCCCUUUUUCUUACAUGAAAAAUUUAGUAAUUCUUUUUGAGUAUUCCUAAAGCAUUUCUGGUGAGAACCUCCUCCCCUAACACAUGGACCAUUAUUACUUGUAUGAAGCAACGCAUGCACCUUUUAGCUACACAUUCUAAAUAUAUGUUCUUGGAAAAAAAAUAAAAAUUAAAGGUUGUUGCUUUACAAGUAUAUGUAUAUGGGAUCGCAUUUUCCACUACAACCCUCAUCCAUUUUUAUUUUUAUUUUUAUUAUUAUUAUUAUUAUUAUUAUUAUUAUUAUUAUUAUUAUUAUUAUUAUUAUUAUUAUUAUUAUUAUUAUUAUUAUUAUUAUUAUUAAUACAUUAAUAAUAGUUUCACACUUUUUUUUCCAGUUAUAUUUAAGUUACAUGAAACUAAUUUACCAUAUAAUCAACACAAAAAGAUUACGUGAAUUAAAUCACGUAAUUUAUUUAAGUAUAACUGAAAAAAAAAAGUAUAAUUAACAAAAGUAUUAUUUAUAUAAUCACUCAUUAUUUUAAAUGAGCUUUUUUUAAAAGGAAGGUUCCAACUGCUAGAAAUUAAACACUAGCUUGUGAUUUGAUUAAAGCUUAUAUUAUCAUGCAAAUCAUAACAAAUUAGUAUCUGCUUCUAUCUAAUCACCCACCAAAGAAAAGGAAACAUUCUACUUUCUAACCAUUUCAGAACUUCAACCACUGAUAUUAUAUUUCAGCUACAUCUAAACUGACUAAUAGGAACUUGAAACCUUAGCAGAGUGGCUAACAUAUCUAUUACAUCUUCAACCAACCUUUAGUUAUAUAUAUUUUUAUAUUAAUUUGGUCCUUAUGAUAAUUACAUGAAGAGGGUAUCUACAAAAAGCAGCUAAUUAAAUUUUUAACACCUAAUAAAUGUUAAUAAUGGUAAAAUAAAUUAAUGGUAAUGAAAGGUUCAAUUCAAAAUCAAGUGCAUAACAGCAAUUAUGUGCAUUGAAUUUACCUAUAAGUAGGCCAUUGUGAAUCAUUUGUGUCAAUCAAGAGUAUUAUGUGAUAUAAAUUGGUGAUUAGUCCAAAAUAAUUUCAGGGGUAGUUUGAAAUUAAAAUUAUAUAGGCAUGUAAUGAAUCUAGAUCUACAACAUGAUUUAAAAAAAAAAAAAAAGGGUAAGUAGAGGUUGUGGAAUUGUUGAGCAAAGCCAAGCUCUUUCAAAACACUAAAUUAUAAGCACGUGUAAGGCUAAUUAAUCACUAUGAUAAGCCACCGACAGAGUUUAUAGUACUUAAUCACGGGCUGCUAGCAUUUCAAAUGGUUCAGCUAGCAUAAACUUUAAGGAAAGUAUCUUAUGCUAAAUACACUAUAGAGUAGAACACAAUACUAAUAAUGAGUGUCCAAUUAAUAUUUUUUUUUUCUUUUUUUUUUUCUAGUUGUAUGUGUGUCAAUUGUGGAUAGGUGACAAUCUUACCUCUCAAGUGAAGUCUCUACUCUGUAUAUGGAUGGUACUAUAGUACAUACCAAUUAGUAUAGCUCAACCACUUCUAAGCAAACUAUAUGCUAUAACAUGUAUAGUAUAUUCUCUUUAAUACUUUUUAUUUACAUGCAUACAUUUAUUUUAAAUUCUUUGCUACACCGCAAAUUUUUUAUUUGCACCUCGUGAGUGUUAAUUAAUUUUAUGACACAUUGAGUUUUAAUUUGUUAGAUAUGUAUUUGUAUGCUAGCUUGAAAUUGCAAAAUAAGAGCUACUAUAGUAAAGUACCUCACUCAGUAGUACCAUUUAUUUAGUACAACUUUAUUUUAAGUGACUUGUGUGCUCUCACAAUUUCAAGUUCUAUGGGAGGCGUUUUUUUAAUAAAUAAAUAAAAUAAGCGGUGAAUUGAAUUAAGCUUGAAUGUAUCAAAAUAUACUAUGUAAUUUGUCAAGCAACUUAAAAACAUAUGUAUUUCUUCAUGAAUAGAGCUAUAUCAUAGACGUGUGUAUAUAAUUGAAGUGAGUUAGUUCAUAUUGAUAUAUCAAAAAAAGCUAAAAAAUGUGGAGUACACAUCGAGGGUAAGGUGUGGUGGCUAGUUGCUAGGCACACCGCAUACAUUAUGUGCCUGCACAUGUUUUCUCUAAUAGAAAAUUAAUGCGGGUGAUAAAAAGUCCAAUCAUAUAUUAUAUAUAUUUUUAUAAGUAUUUGAAACAUAUACCAUACUCUAAUGUUUAAUGUUCAACGUCUCUAAUCCAUUUGUACAUGAAACUAACUUAAGUAUCUCUAGUAAAUUAAUCAUGAUGAUCAUCCAUGUAUUGUUAUUAUUAUUUUAAGAAGAAAAUAAAAGUAGAGGAAAAGAACAAAGAUGAAAAAUAUUGAGAAAUACAGAUAAGGAGUGCCGGCAAAAAGGGGCACAGAUCAAGUGAAGUGAUUACGGAGAAGUUGCAAUAACGCAAGCAAAAGCGCUUCUAAUAAGACAUUCAUGUUACGAUUACUGCAAUGAACGUGGCCGGCUUUUAUCAAUCACAGAAAAAAAAAAAAUGCCGGCACAUCUCCUUAAAGGUCAUCAUGCUAGCUACUAGUUUAGUGGAAUAGAUUAUAUUUUAUUAAUGUUGAAUUUGAGUUCGAAUUUUUAUGAAGAGAAAUAUCAUAUUUAGUGUUAUUUCAAAUAUGAUUUUUGAAGAUAAUUUUAUUUCUUUGAAGAGAAUUUAUGUCAUGGUGGCUCACAUCAAAAAUAUUGUGUAUGUUUAAAUUAAAUGUGAGAGUAAAAAAUCAUAGUUUAAAAUUAAUACUUUUAGGUUUUUAUAAAAUUAUGAUAUCAUUUUAAUAUCGUAAAAAUUAGGUGAUUUUAAACAAGUGUUUAGAGAUAUCGAAUACAAUUUUAUUCAUUUAUAAAUAAUUUUAAAUCUGAUUAAAAGAUAAAUAAAAUUAAUUAUUGGUUUUUUUAGCUAAUGUUUGAAUAAAAUACCAUAACUAAUAGAUCUAAAUUUAAUUUAAAUUUAUUGACUACUUAAACUAAACGAGCUAGUUUUCGAUUACAAACUUUAAUCCAAUGCACUCUUGUCUUAAAUAAAUAAGUCCCACGAGUCACGAUGCUAGACAGCUUGUAUUAAUUGUUUAUUAUUGGUGUAUUUAGUGAUGCAUGGUAUCUAAGAGGAUACUUUAAAGUAAUUAAGCUCUUAAUCCUACCGCUGCACCUAAUUUAAUGUACUUUGUGAAUGAUUAACUAUGGUAAAGCUUGCCAGUUGCCAUUACAUAGAGACACUACACUACGCACAUUUAAGUAUUUAUCAUCUAUACCAACUAAUAAGUUUUUGCAAAAAAAAUAACUAUUCUAUCAUUUUUAUUUUAUUUUUAAUGUUCCAUUUGAGUUUUGUAUAAUUUUUAAACAAAUGAUUAGUCAUGUUUUUUUAAUAAUAAAAUUAGUUUUAUUUAUUUAAAUAUUUUUAUUUAUUGUAGUUAGUAGAAAAAUUUAAUGAAUUGAGAUACAAUAAAUAUGAGUAUAUUAAUAGAAAAAAAUAAUUAAUAUUAUAUUGAUAUUUUAGAAUAAUAAGUAAUUUAAGACUGAGAAAAAAUAAUAAAUGAGACACUUAUUAUGAGAUGGAAAAAAUAUAUUAAUAUAAACACUCCUUUUAGAUAAAUUUAGCAUAGAUAAUGUUCCAAAUCAAACUUAAGUCCACAUUAUACCUUAGUAGGUCUUAGCCAAAUUUACAGUAGAUCCAAGAUCUUUACCCUGCAUGAGUUUGGUAUGGCUAUGCAAAAGUCAAUUUUGCCCUCAGCGAUCAAAUAUCACCGCUUUAUCAACAUCUGACGACGAUUCGUGAUUCUUGUUGUAUAAAUCUUAACUACUUAAUCGUUUCAAUGAUUACUACUCCUGGUACGACCCACUAUAUAGUCAAACUCGCCUUUCAGAAGUAAGAUACAUUUUCAUUCUUACCACACACAAAACAAUUGUCUACAAUUGUUUGCUGCCAUCUACAACCAUCUUCGGCCAUCUCCAAAUGUCAUGACUAGAUCAGAUGUUUAUCACUAAUAUCUUGACCUAAAUAUAAACAUAAAGACAUGUUUACAUUUAAAUGCCUUUUUAGUCACAUGACUAACUAUAUGUUUAUAUUUAGGUAUGAAAGUGUAAAGCAUUUGAAGUUUGAAGUAACUUAAAUUACAAUUUUGAUUGCACAAGUUAUUUUAAAGUUUCAUUAGGGUCAUUUUAGUUUCUUUAUAUUUUUUUUAAUCUUAUUUUGAUCUAUUAAGUUUCAAUCUAUAAAAACUUUGGUCCAAUAAUUUUUUUUUUUACUUUUCAUUUUAAUCAUUUAAAUUAUAAACGUAAAACACUUUAAUCUUUUUGUAUCAUUUUUUGUUUGAGAUCACCGUUAUAUCUAUAAUAGAAGAUGUUGUCUCAACUUACUUUCUACGUAAAUUUUAGUUUUUAAUUUUUAAUUUUUAUUUUUAAUUUUUUAUGGUAACACUUUUAAUCGGUAAAAACGAGUUUCUAUCAAAGACAUUUAGGACUCUUAUUUAAAAAUAAAAAACAAACUUAAAGGACAUUUAAUUUAAUUGAAGUAUAUGAAUCACAUUUUUAAAAUGGAUGUAUAUGGAAUGAGUACUAUACCCAUGUUUAUGACUAGAUUUUAAAAAAAUUAUUCGAGGUGAAAAUAAAAAAUUCCUAUAAGUGAGAAUAAAAUCAACAUAACUUAGCUAUAAAUCCGCUUCUUUUAAAAAUUAUAAGUAACAAAUUCAGAAUAAGUGUUGGCUUGAACUCUAAAAAAAGGUAGCCUCGAACUCCAACUUCUUAUACUCUGCCUCCAACAUGCAUGUACACUAUUUUUAGAGGCAACCUAACCAAUUUAAACAAUUCCUGUCAUGCCAAGAGAAUUUAGCUGUAUCAUUGUGGCCUUUGAGAUCAAAGAUUCCAAAAGGAUAUAUUAAAACAAAAUUAAUUAAGACAUGAAGAGGCAGGUCAUGGUAAUACACUCUUGGACUCACAUAAAUGUGCCAAUUUUUAGUUGCAUUACUAUUUCCUCUCCUAUAAGCUAGUCCCUGGUUUACAUGAUUUGGGGGUAUCACGUUUUUCAGCUAAUACAAUGGUCCAUGACUUAAAUAUAAAAGGAAAAAAUUGAGUUUAUAUUUAAAGCUAGGAAACGAUCAAUUGAACCGACCAAAUAAAAAAAAAUGGUAAUAAAAUAAGUUAGCAGAGCAGAAGCAAACUCAACUAGAAAAUGACCCCACAAAAAAUAUUUAGUAUUUUUAUUUUUAUGUUUUAUCCAAACUACCCUUAAAAUGGGUCUGCUUAAUCAUCUAACAAUUUUGUUAGUUACGAGCUUAAUUUAUUUCAAAUUAGAAUUUAUGAACUGAAUUGAAAAUAUACAUAAAUUCAGUUCAAUACAAAAAUGUUAUUGUUUUAUAAGUGUAAUUAGAAAUAAAAGUAACGUAGUUAGUAAAAUCAAUCAUCUAAAGAAAGAUAAUAAACAGAGCAUAACUACUUUAAUGAUUUAGUUUAGUAGUAAACAUGCAAGAAUUAGAAGCUUUAAUCUCCACUAGUAUCAAUGUAGAGAAAAAUAAAUAUAAAUUAUUUUAUAGAUGUUUAUUUAAUUUUAAAAUCUUAUUUAUUUUUGAAUAAUGAGAAAUAAUUUUUACUAUUACAAAAAAAUAAAAAUGAAAGAGUGGCAUAGCAAGAGGCUUUUGAUUGGGAUAUGAAGCAAGCAACUGGAUAGUUGGGACCCACUUGAAAAUCAUUUAUAUAAUCAUAAUAAAAAUAAAAACCCACUUACUAAUAGAAAGUCCAAAGAAUAACGGCCGGAGAGUGGAACCUUUCAUUUGAAGAGUGUGUGAGAGAGAAAGAAAGAGAGAGAAAGAGAGUAAGUGUUAGUAGAGGCAUUUUUUCAAUAGCAAGACAAAGGAAAGAAUAGUUGGGAAUUGAGUUAGUUUUUUAGUAGGUUCCUUCAACUUUAUAGGGUAUGCUUACUUGGACAAAUCAUCAACCGUUGGAUUAAGAGUAGCUUACCAUCCUCAGUUGAGUACACGUGCUUCCAUCCCUUUGGAAAAUGAAUUGCAUGCAACUAGGAUACUAUGCAUUCAUAAAGUAAGCACGUCAUUCACCGUUUGAUCAAGAUCAUAUGAUUGAGAAUAUGCCAAUUUUGAUUGUUUUUUUUUAAAUUUAAAAUAUAGAUUAUGAUCUAAUAUGUUGUUAGCAUGAAAUACAUGAGAUUCCUAUAGUCCUACACCAUUGGAUCCAUAUCCAUCCUCCCUUCUCUUUACCACUAUCUCUAUUUUCUAAUUUUUAUUUUAUUUUUAAUCUUUGCUUCCAUGCAUGGAUUUCUCCUCCAAAUAUAGUCUUAGUUGAGAAGGAGAGAGAAAAAUAAAUUGACGAAGAGAGAAAUCAACGCUUAAUAACAGUUAUAUAUAUAUAUAUAUAUAUUUUAUUUUUUUUCCUUUCUAUUUGCCUUAGCUUGUUAAUCUCCAUCAUUAGCAACAAAGGUAACAAACACAACACAAUACAACUCUUAAAGUUUUGAUUUUUUCUUCUAAACUCAACUACCCAAUAAGCUUUAGUAGUAGUACUAGUAGUAACCUUUGCUUUGCUUUGCUUCACUACUCAUUCUCUCUUUUUCACUCUUUCUUUCCCUCUUUUUGUGCCUUAGAUCUUGCACUACCUUUGGAAUUUUGUUCAAGUCUCCUUUAUUAGAUGAACUGAUGCAGUUUUCUCUCUGAAUUCAAUUCACCUGAUCAAUUAUCUCAUCUGGGUUGUCACACUUUCUCUUUUUUCCUUUCUGAUCUUAUCUGUGUGAAGAGAUCAAUGAAUUCAACAUUCUUCGUUAUUCUCUGAUUCAGUUUUUUUUUUUAUAUAAAAAACCAAACUUUUACUUCUUUCUUUGUUCCUUUUGUGUUUGUUUUUUCAAUUUCAAUUACUUGAAUUCAAUGGAAAAAGAUCAAGUUCAAGAAUUCAAACACGCUUGCAAGUUCUGCAACAAAAGCUUCCCUUGUGGUAGAUCCUUAGGAGGUCACAUGAGGUCACAUAUCAACAACUUAUCAUCUGAAACAGAACAAAAAGAAAAGCUUCCAAUAAAAAAGCUUCCAUCUUUAACAAACAACAAUGGUGGAAGUGGUGGAAGUUGCAUUGGUUCUGAAGCUGCAACUAAUGCUGGCUAUGUUCUAAGAGAGAAUCCAAAGAAAACAUGGAGAAUUUCAGAUUCAAGUGAAGACAAUUUGUUGGAUGUGUAUGACAAGUUAUGCAAAGAGUGUGGAAGAAGUUUUGUUUCUUGGAAAGCUUUGUUUGGUCACAUGAAAUGCCAUUCAGAUAAAGAAAGAGUUUGUAAUAGCUUGGAGGAUCAAGAUUCAUCAUGGACUAAUAAUAAUGUUAAUUCUAAGAUGAUGAUCAUGGAUAGUAGUCAAUCAGACAAUGAAAUCACUACUGCUCCAAAUAAAAGGAGAAGAUCAAAGAGAACAAGAACAAGGUAUAUGGUAGCUGCUGCUGCAGCAACAACUUCUUCUCUGUCUUUUGCUAAUAUUCCUUCUUAUUCUUCUCUUUCUGAAGUUGAACAAGAGCAAGAAGAAGUUGCUAUGAGCUUGAUUAUGCUUAGUAAGGAUGUUAGUCCUUGGAGUGGUCUUCAGUCUCUUGCUACUGCUGAAUCAUCUGAUAAUAACUCUCCUUACUUCGAACCGAGGACUCGUUCCUCAGUUCGAACUAACCUCGUUACUAAAUUCGAUGCGAACAACAAUAGUUCUAUUACUGCUACUAUUAAUAUUGCAAAGUUGAUGAAGAAAAGUGAGCACAAUAAGUGUGAGUUAGGAAAUUCUGUUUCCAAAAAUUUCAACUUCAAAGGAAAAAGUUUAGAAAUUUUGGAUACUGAUAAAGGAUUUAGGAUGAACAAAGUUACAAAAUCUGAGCUUGAUUAUCUGUCUACUACAUUGGAAGAUUCUGAAGUUGAAAAUGGGAAAAACAGAGUCAAUGGAAGAAGAACAGAAUCAGUUUUAUCAAAGAAAAAGUUGUUGGAUUCUGAAUUGAAGUCAAGUUCCUUAAAGAAUUGUGUGAACAAGCCUUUUCAUGAUGAAGAUGAAUUCAUCAAGAACAAUUCUAACAAAAGAGGAAAAUUUGAGUGUACUACUUGCAACAAAAUCUUCCAUUCAUACCAAGCACUUGGAGGCCAUAGAGCUAGUCAUAAAAAAACCAAAGGUUGUUUUGCUUCCAAGAUUGAGAAUAGUGAAAACAGCAUUGAAACUGAUCUCUCUCCUGAACAAACUGUUGCUGCAUAUGUCAAACACGGACAUAAUAAUAUUAGUCUGAGUCGUGGACUAGGUCGCAGUGAAUAUGUUGAAAAGAUUGCAGAUACUGUUAAAGAGACCAAGAAGAUUAAAGGGCAUGAGUGUCCAAUUUGCUUUAAGGUUUUUCAAUCUGGACAAGCCUUAGGUGGACAUAAGAGAUCUCAUAUGGUUGCAGCUGGUGUUGUUUCUGAGAGUAGAGUUGUAGUUCAUGAACAAGUUCCACAAAUUAGGGACUUUCUUGAUCUCAAUCUUCCUGCUGCUACUGAAGAAGAAAGUAAUAGUCAUGCUGAUUCUAACAGACCUUGGUGGAUAGUAGAAGGUAACCAUAAACAAGAGGAACUUGUAGGGUAGGGUCUAAUAGAUAAACUUCUUAGUUUAUUUCCAUCAUUUGUUCAACUUGAGAGUGAAGAUUUUAAACUGUAUAGAAAUUGUUCUGCAUUUUUACAUUUCAUUAAUUCUUUACAGGAUUCAUGUCUUCUCCAAUGUAUUUUUCUGCUUUUUUCUUUCUUUCUUAUUUUAUAUUUUUUCUUCAAGUAUGUCUUUUUUUGGGAUACUAUAUGUUAUAUUGAUAUUGGUAUUACUUUGUUUAUAGAAAUGUUUGAUUUGUGAGAAGGCUAAAGCUCAACAUUUUGGUUGUGUCCUAGAAACUUAAAGGAAUUGUAACAAAUUUUUGUGUACUGUGUAGUGUCGUUGUUUUCACCCACUUCAGUUCUUGCAUCUCAGAGAUGUGCUUAAUUAUAUAAAUUCCAAAAGUGACAUGCUUGUGGGGUAAUUACUAAGUACUUUUCUUUGCAUCAAAGACAAUGAACGAGGUGUUAAAAAAUUAGAGAUAAUUAACGCAAGUUAGACAAAAUACAUCUUACGGUCAUUUAAAUUAUUUAACUGUAUGAAAUUAAUUUAUUUUAUCUUGGCAUCAAAGACAAUGAAUGAAGUGUUGAAAAAAAUGGAAUAGGUAGCAGAAGUUAUUUCACUACACAUGAAGAGAAAGAAAGGUAGAUUUUAUAUAAUACACAUAAAGAAAGCAUGUGAGAUGAAGGUGGUUGUUUAGUCACCUACCAUAAAAACCUGACCACCCAUCCAUCUCUUGCUUGGCACACAAGUGGUGUGCUAAUAAAUCCUUCUCACUAAUUACAAUUAUGUACUCUCUCCACUAUUUAUAAUUCAUCUAGAGAGUGAGUUGGAUAGCUGGACCACUACUAUGUAACUAUGUAAAUUUACAACACCAUAAACUUGAGCUCGCAACUCAAUUGUUAAAAAUCACUCUUUUGCUUUUCCAUUAAAAGUGACAUCAAUGUUUUGCUAUUUUAUAGACCGUAAUUUCUUAGAUAAUAAUUUAUUUACUUUAGGGUUGAUCCAAUUUAAAAGUUUAAAAUAAAUGUUAUUUAAAAAAUUAAGUUUUGUUGCAUCUAAAUUCAAAAUUGAAUCAUAAAAUAUAUGAUGUUCUAACGUUAAUCAACUGAAUUAAAUAGAAAAAUCCUUAAGUCUUAGUCUUCAAAUUUUGUCUAGAUUUGUCAAUCUAGAAGUUUAUUUUACAUGUUCGAACGUAUAUUUUUGUAUAUUUGAGAAUAUUGGAACGUGAGAGAAUUUACAUGUUUGGACGUGUAUUUUUGUGUAUUUGAGAAUAUUGGAAGGUGGAAGAAGAAACACCAAAUCAUUUAUAACUAAUAUGUCAUUUUAUAUAUUCAUAACUAAAUUAAAAAAUUUUAAACCAUUUUUCGACCCAAAUUGUUGCGGCCUAAAAUUAGUUUAGAUUGUUUGGCCCUUGCACAAGUCCCUAUUGAAUUUAUGUUGUUCAACCUUUUACAUUAAAUUGGUAGUGUAGUUGUUUUAUGCUUUACUAUAUAUUGUUAUUCUUAGUAAUGUUUGUAUUCAUAAUAAUUUUUGUGAAUUUAAUUGAAACUCUAGCCUUUUUUUCUUUCUAUUAAUUUAUAUUGUUAACCUAAUAGAUAUGUGUAUAACUUUGUUAUAUUACUUAACAAAAUAUCUAUUUAAUAUGACCAUAUAUUACUUUUUAAACUAUGAGUACAUAUACUUUGAACUCGAAUAGAUUGUGAAUGGGACUUUUCAAAAGUAAAUAUAAUGAAAUCGUAAUAGAUUUAUGUGGAGGUGAAUUUGAUUGAUAUCAUGGGAAGGGUGAGGUGCACCAACUGAUUUUGGAUUGCAAUUUGUGCUAACGAGUUGAAAGAAAGUGGAACAACAAUACCUUUAUGGCUUUUAAUACGUCACGCACAACUAGUUUUUUUGCAACUUAAGAUGCAUUUCUUGGCAACUUGGCAAUGGCAUUGCGUUUGUUUUAUUAGUAGCAGUAGAUGAUGAUGUUUUGCAAAUAAAGCUAUGCAAUCUCAACAGUGCUUAUUUAAUUACUAGUUUUUUUUUUUUUACAAAUUAUUUAGUUUUUUGUUUUUGUUUGAGGGAGACAAAUUAUUUAGUUACUAGUUAGGUAGCUAUAUAUUCAAAGGGUUGUUAUAAACAGUUAGGGAGUUAUUUCUCUAAAAUUAUUUCUUUUUCUAAUGUUACAUUUUAUUUUAUUUAUAAGUUAAAGUGAUGUCACUUACUCUACAAAAAAAGUGAUGUCACAUAAAAGGAACACUUUUAUAAAUAUAAAAUUGCACGAUAUUUUUAUGAUAUAAUUUCUUUGGAAUAAUUUAGUUAUUAUCCAUCAUAUUUCAAAACAUAUUCUCUCCACCCACAUUUUAUAUGUUAGAGAAAUUAAAUGGUGUUUUCACAAUCGAUUAAAUGUAAACACACGUCCAAUUCAAAGUCACAAGACUUUGUUACUCAUGUUUAAAUUUUACAAUGAAAAGAGUUAAAAUUAUACUUACUGUUUAAAUUUUACAAUGCGAAGAGUUAAAAUUAUACGUUAAAGGUGAUUGAAGAGGUUCCAAACAAAUACCAAAUCUAAAGUUAAGACAAGUCCACUUGUUUUUUUCUUGACAAAUUUUCAUAAAUGUAAUUUUUUUUAUGCCUAAGUUUGUUAAACAAGCGGUAGCAAAAACAUUCUAACAACAUUAAUCAAAAGUUGAAACUAGUUUAUAUCUUUUCAUGAAAAAUCAAAUUAUUAAGUAAUUUUUUUAAAUAUUAAUAAUUAAUUGUUAAUUUUAUUAGAAAGAAAAGUUGAACUCGUGAUUUUUUUACAACGUCAACUCCUCCAAAACACCAAUUUAGUAAUUAUAAUUUUUUUUAGUAUUUAUAUAUAUGACCGCUGUCCUUUCUUUUUUUUUUUUUUAUAUUGUUAUGUCUAUAGUACUGACACAAUUAUGAUUAUAGUUUAAUAUAUAAAAAAUUAAAAAAAGUCUAAAUGAAAGUUUUACGUGAAACUUAAUACUAUUACUUUUGUAUUAACAAAAUUCUUAUCCACAUAUCAGGCUAACAUCAUCCUCUGAAUUAGCUGAAUUAUUUGUAUUUUAAUAAAAGGUAAAGUCUGUAUCAGAUCGAAGCAAGAAAAAAGGUAAAAUACUCAGUAGUCCGUCAACUUAGUUUAUAGAGUCAAUGGUAUUUGUUUACAACUUUGAUUCCUAAAAAUGUUCAUAUAGUGGUCCAAUUUAAUUUAAAAAUUGAGUUAAUGGAGGUUACGAUCAGAUGAACAAUGUGCCCCAUGCAUUAUAAAUUGAACAUGUGGCAAUUAGCUUGUUUUAUUACAUGGUAGAUGCCGUCAAUAGGCGAAUGAAAUUAUUGUGUAAAUCUCAAUAAGUCUAUAAUGUUCUGGUGAAAAUUGCUAUGGAUCGCAGUACACUAUUUUAAUUUGUAAUUACAUUUCUAUGCAUAAGAAUUUGCCUUUCCGUGACGAUACCUUAUAAGUCACAGUACUUGUAGACUUGUAGUGUCAUUCUUCCCAAAUUAAUCAAGUUUGACAAAAACAAACAUCGCUUAUUGAAAAUUUUGCCAGUGAAAUAAUGCGAUGGGUACUUUCUGUUCAAUGUUUACCAAUAAUAUGCAUACAAAAUUUUACAUUAUAACUCUCAACUCAGAAGUAUGAACAGGUAGGUAUAUACUUAAUUAUAUUGUAUGGCUUGCAUCUAAGUUCAUUUAGCGUGAAGCAUAUAUACAAAGAAUGUGACUACGCACUAUCCUUUUAAUAAUNNNNNNNNNNNNNNNNNNNNNNNNNUCUUCAUGACUCACUUUCUCUUCUUAGAAUUUUAUAUCUGACCUUAAUUGCUUUUAUUUCCAUUCUUGUAGUAUUAUUUUAGGGACAUUUUUUCUUUUAUUUUCAAAAAGUUGAAGUAUAAAAAUUUUAAAUACAUAUUUUAUCUAAAAUAAUUUUUUAAUUAUUCUACUUCUAAAAUCGUUUUUUUAUUCUCCUACUAAUUAAUUUUUGAAAUUAUUUAGAUCAUCUACUAUUUAAAUAAUAUGACAUUGUCAUUAUUGAUGUGACACUUAAAUAAUAUUUUUUAGUUGAAUAAAAUAUUUUUCACAUCAUUAUUAUUGUAGUUAAUUUUAUUUGUAUUUUAAAAUAUUUAAUUUUUAUUUAUUUAAAUUUUUUAACAAUUUAAAAUAUUUAUAUAAAAUAUUUAAAUUUAUUACAUUUUUAUAUUAUUUAAUAUUUAUUUUACUUAUUUAUUAAACUAAUAAAGAUAAAUUUAUGUUAUUUUAUUUAUAAAUUUAAUAUAUUUAAAUAAAAUAUAUUAAAAUAUAUUUUUAUCUAACAAUAAUUUUAAAAUAUUUGAAUAAAUAUUUAAAAUUUUAUUUAUUUAUUUUUAAUAUUUUAAUAUAUAAAUAAAAAUAAUUACAAUAAUAAUGACAUGACAAUUAUUAUAUUCACAUAAAAAAAAUCUAAAAAAUGCUGAUAUUAUUAAGAUGAACGUCUUCAUCCCAUUUCAAAUUCGAAAUUGUGUGAGUUAAUUAUAAAGAAAUUUAUCGUCUUUUAUAAGAUAAAAAAAUUAUUUAAUAGAAGACCAAAAAAAAAGUUAAAAAAUACAUAGGCUAAAACUUUAUUUUUAGCAAAAUAAUAGAAAAAUAAACUUUUGAAUCAAGAAUCAAUUAACACGUCAUUAUUUGAGUUAGUCACUCUCUCUAUGGUUGGUUAGACAAAUUUAUCCAUAAAACGAAAAAAAAAGUAUUUGUUGUUAUUGAGAAGAUGACGUUAAUGUGCGUAUAUUCAAUUACAAUGAUAUAUCAAAAUAUUUGACAAUAAAAAAAGAAUUAUUUUCAUCGAAAUUUUAUAAUUUUAAAAAUAUUUUUAUGAAUUUACAAAAUUCACCUACUAAUCUAAUUAAUUGUUUAUAGAUUUAUGACCAAUUUAAAUAUUGACUCCCUAAUGUGUUCACCCCCUGAAUAUAGAAUAAAGUUUGAUGAAUUAGUUAGAUAAUAGAGGAAGUGGGAGACGAAGUUGGGCUUUGAAUUUGCACCUUUGGAUGGACAAGUUUGGGCCAAACCCCGUGAUCCGGUAACUACAACUGGUUCUUACGAGAGUUUCACUUUUAUUUCGAUUUUCCAUUUCACUACUAGUUGUUGGAAGUUGGAACAGAGUCUUCCCACAAAUUCCUAUGCUCACAAACAUGAUUUUCGAUUUUCCUUUUUCUUUUAAAUUUGCUGUUAUGGAAAUUUAACAUGGUUUAUCUGAUAAUAAUAAUAACGAACAUCAUCCAGGUUUCGAAUUUGCUUACAUAAAUGUCAAAUUGCUGCACAACUGAUACUGAUGCUCGCUUAAUUGUAGUUCAACUUGGAACAACAUGCACAGAGGUACCUUUUUUUUUUAACCUAACUAUGAUAUCUCUUUAUUGCAUUAUCAAUUUAUCAGUCACUUUCAUAAAAUUGGGAACUCAAUUAAAAAUGCCCUUUUAUUAUUAAUUUAUUAGUAGUUUUCUUACGAAACAUAAGAGGGUGAAACUCCUUAUACUGUAUUUCGCAUUGUUUUAUCAUUUAAUCGUCCUAUUUACGAAUGUAGUUUAUGUAAUUUUUGUUCUUCUUUUUACCGAUUUAUUGUUGGGUUUAAUGACCAUGCAUGCAAUGUAGUUUUUACACCUGACAGCCAAUUGAUUUGGUGGUUAUUUAAUAAUGACAGUUACAAUUAUCUAGUAAGAUGAUAAAAUCGAGAGUUCCUAUUCACUGACAGUGGAAAAAAAGAACUGAUAUCAUACUAUAACUGUGUUUUAGUUGUUGCGGCUAAUCUAAAGGCAAUAAUGAUAUUUUAAUUCGUGUUGAUUAAACAUUCAGUGCUCCUCAUGCACUUAUCACGUUCUAUUAUUGGUCAAAAGAGAGAAACAGACAGGAAAGAACAACACGAUGAACACAUGGUAAAGAAACAAUAGAAAGUGAAGUUGUACUUUCUACAUAUACUCCCUUGGUCUUGUCUCUUGAAAAUCUUGCCACUAAUUGUAACUUUGUAAGAUUAGACACAUGAAAUGACUAUGAAGUUUCAAAAUCUGAGUUUUUUUUAUAAAAUAACUGAUAACUGAUAUCAAACUACCAAUCUGAUUUGUGACAUUGAUGCAGAUAUUAGAACAACAUGAAAAGUCAUUGUCAAUAGCUCAUAUGGAAGAUAAGAAAUACAUCCAGAAUUUGGAAAAAGAGCUGCUGAAUUGUUCUCAAGAAAUUGGUAUAUUUUAUUUCUUCAUUUUUCAUUUUUGAUGGCAUACAUGCAGCUGCAUGGAUAAGUAUAUUGCAUUGAUGAACUUUCAUUGGUAUUAAAGAGUAAUGUUUAUUUUCUUCUUGGAUAUCAUUUUGACCCGAAUACUUCUUCCUAAUAACUGUCUGAUUCCCAUGGAACACAUUUAUUUAUAGAACAAAGCAAUAAAGUUGAGGUUUUGUCGCUCUUUAAUUUGUAUUUUGUACAGAUUAUCUUCGGGAUCAACUCAGUGCAAGAAACACAGAGGUGAACUAUCUAGAAGAGCGUGUUCACAAUCUUGAAUUGAAAUCGAAAGAGAUGGAAGAUUUACAUGAUGAAGUUUUUUUCAGCUUAAGGGAGGAGCUGAAAAGAUCAAAUUCAAAGCAGUUUUUCUUGAUUCAGGAACUAGAGACUAAAGAAGUGAAAUUAGAGCAGUCUGCUUUGUCCAUGGAAAAGCUGGAGGAAUCAUUUUCAUCCAUGGCAUUAGAAUCUCAGUUUGAAGUCGAGAGUAUGAAGCUUGAUAUGAUGGCCUUGGAACAGAAUUUAUUUGAGGCCAAGAAAAUCCAGGACGAAACUCUAGAAGAAAAUAAUAGAAUGAGUACAUUGAUUGACGAGUUACAGGAUGCAUUGCAGGAUGCACAAAAAACCAUCAUUUCUCUGAAUGAAGAAAAUAAGGAAACUAAAGAGAAGCUUGAUACUGUCAACAUGAACACGAGAUUAUUUUCUCAAAAGGUUAAAGACUGGCUGGAAUACAAAGACAGACUGCAAAUUGAGGAUCAGUCUUCCGUGAGCGAAUGUAGGAGAAAACCAGAGGACACAAGGUACAUAUUUUGAAGUUUUGUAAUGUCUAUGACAAAUUAUAGGCGAAAUUUGUUCAGUUAAGUAAGUUAUUUUAAUUGGCUUGACCUUUUAUUUGAUUGGUUAAGAGUGGAAUUGCCACUUGUGUCACUUUAAACGAAUAAAACGGAAAUAGGGUUUUCUCAAUCCUACUCUUUUUCAUAAUAAGUUUCCAUUUUUACUUUAAUGGUAAAACAAAUUGAGGGCUACUUGACUGAUAAUUUAUACACUAUAUGAUCAUAAUUGAUUACUGAAUGUCUGAUAUUGUAACUGUUAAUUGACUCAAUUGCAACUUUUGGUAUUUUGAAUUUGUGUGAUCCCAAAAUAAAUGGGUCGUAUUCAGACAAAUAAAGAAAUGAGUAAAUCCUUUACUACUUUAUGUAAGUUGAUUUAUGUUUCCUUUGGCUCCCUAUUCCUUGUUCUGAUAUUUAGUUCUUAAUCAUGUAUCUUGAAUGCAAAAUGUUUGCAGCCAUCAUGCAUAUUGAAAGAACUACCUAGUUUUAAUAGUUUAGAUGAACUUCUACCUCAUGAAAGCUUUUCAAUUAAAAUAAGUAUUUAGUUUCUAACUCACGAAAAAGGCCUUUGAAGUUGUUAUGUGUUUAUGAAGAAGCUAAGUCACAGAGCUUCUAAAAAAAUCAAGGAGCUGAAGUGGAUUUCAAAUUAUGAGAUAAGUUGUUAGUUAAAAUACUUAUGAAUAUUGUGAGAUCAUUUUGAUUUUUACUUUUCUGUAAGUACUUGUGGGAAACUUUAUCCAUACUAGCUUUAAAUAUGGCUAUAGGGAUAGUUAGUUACUUAUGGAAAAGAUUUGAUUACGUCUUUAAUGGUGGUGCCUGAUUGUUUUCCUUUUGUAUUCACAGUUUUACAAUUUAAGGUAUACUUUAGCUAAACUUUUUAGUGAUCGUUUAAAAAUAUUUCCUCAGAGUUUAUGGAGAAAUAUUGGGUCCACUCAUUGAUAUUUUAGCAAUGAAGUUAGAUCCAGCUGCUGAAUUGAAAGGGAAGAUGGGGAUGUCCUGUCAGAUCCAAGAAUAUGGCUUUCUUGUGGAGAAACUCAAGGUACGACUGUCCAUCUAAAGCUUAAUCAUUGGAGUUAUCAACGCAGAAGUAAGAGAACAAGUUUUAUUUGGCAUAAUUUCAUGAUUCAAGUAAUUAAUUUGCACUUUGAGAUGUAUAUAAUAUCUCAAUUCCUUUACUAGGAAGAAUUAGGAAUGGAAAAGUUGAGGGCAAAAGAAGAAGCAGAGGACUUAGUUCAAGAAAUGGCAGAGCUGAGAUACCAAUUAACAGGUCUGCUAGAAGAAGAACGUAAGCGCCGUGCUUGCAUUGAACAUGUGUCCUUGCAAAGAAUUGCCGAGUUAGAGGCUCAGGUAUGAAAUUCGAAGUUAAAACUUCAAAAUCUCUCAUUUUCCUCUUAUCCAUUAGAAGCUAUUCGAAUUCGAAGUUGAAAUAUGAAAUUCGAAGUUGUAACUUUUGUUUUCUUUUUCCUUUUUUGUUUUUCAUUCAAGCUUCAAAGAAAGCAUAAAAACCUCUAACUGCUAUCAGAUAUCUCCUUGAAACAUAGAGGCUGGCAUUCUUCUAAGUCUUGCAGGACCGGCUUUAAAGAAAGUUCAAGGUUUGUAUCAAUGUAUCUCAAAAGUUACCAUCUUGACGUAAGAAUAGUUUGCUAACUACAGGUGUCUACAAAGUGGAACUAUUUAACUCAAUGCUUGUUAGAUUGAGUACAAAGUCCAGCAUAUAAUUCUUAUCUCAUGUUGUUCUCAACCAUGUGGUUUAGAUCAAAUGACCUUUGAGGCUUUGACCAGGUUCCCUUGUAUACUAGAGGGGCAGUGUAGUAGAAUUCUGGGUCCUUAUAGCUGCAUGCUAUACAUAACUCCUCUCUAGUCUGGCCAUGGUCUGCACCAAAUUCCGACUUUCCUCUGACCUGGAACCAGUUGAUGAAUAUGAGUAGUUUUACGGAGAAACAAAAAUAACAGAAGUUUCUAGUUAAUUACGGCCAGAACAUAGUCGAAUGAUAAUGCAAUGGGGUUCCCUCUGUGUCAGUUGUUAAAAAAUGGAGUUUGCUACAUUCUUUAGUCCCAAAAGUAUUGAAGUUUUCUUCAUGCUGGUUUCUACAGCAUAUGUGUACUAUCAAUCUUUCACUUUCGUUUAUGACUCUUGUAAAGUGUUUCACAAGAUCACUUUCAUUAAUUUGAAUUGCUAUUCUUUUGUAGAGUUUGUAGUUUGGAAAAGCAUACGUGGCAAGAAAAUUGAUAGAUUCUGGACACUGUUUUGCCUCUCAAGGAAAAUUGAAAUCUAGGAUUUCUUCUUGUGCCUUGGUGUCAGCUUCUAUUGAAGCCGAAAGAUACAAAAGAAGCGAACUACAUACCUUGAAUGACACCAAUUCCACCUUUCACCAUCUCCACUGUUGUAGGACAUCCUCGACCACCUCUUGACAUUCCAUUGUUGUUGUUUGACGUCCUCCAACAUACGUUCUAGUCUAAACAAAAUUUAAAAUGAUGCCCUUUAAUAUUUACGAACGUUAUAACAAGAUCUAAUAUUUAUCCACAUGCAUAAUAAAAUGAUGAGUUUUAUCCAUCUUAACGGGUGGUUUGUUGAAUAGAGCAUUGUCAUUUUUUUACGGAAAAGGUGAGAACUUUGUCAUAUAUGAAUCUAUCUCAAAAUCUUGGUACUUGCACGUAUCUGAUUUAUACGAGAAGGAAAAAAACUCAUAAUUUAAAGAAAAAGUGAUUGAAUACAUGGGUAGGGAUUCUCUACCAUAACUUUCUCUUUAUUUCAAUACAAAAACACAACAAUAGUAAGCAACAACAUUCAUUCACGAGCAACAACAAGCACUUGUUUGCCAACAUUACGACCAUUAAAGAUGCCAACCAAAGCUGCAGGUCCAUUCUCAAGCCCCUCAGCUAUGUCUUCCACAUAAACAACCUUCCCUUCUCUGAUAUGAGGCAGGACAAACUCCAAGAAUUUGUUAUACAAGUGAUAGAAAUUAGCGACAACAAAACCUUCCAUACGAAUCCGCUUAUAUAUGAGAUGUGCCAAAUUUGUUACACCUUCAUGUUGAUUAAGAUUAUACUGUGAAAUCAUUCCACACACGGGUAUGCGACCAUGGAUUCUCAUAUUCAAGAGUACAGCAUCAAGUGUCUUUCCUCCCACAUUCUCAAAGUAAAUGUCAAUGCCUUCUGGAAAGUACCUGAUAUCAAUCCACAAUUCAUUAGUGUCACAUGUUACUAAGUGCAAUAACUAUACUAUCUUAUGUCGAUAAACAUAUUGAACUAAAGUUUCUCCAUCGCAAAACUGUUAAAAAUUUACUUUUUCAAUGCUGCAUUGAGGUCAUGCUCUUCUUUGUAGUUAAUAGCUUCAUCGUAUCCAAAUUUAUUCUUCAACAGAUCCACCUUGUUGCAAAGGACAUUCAAUUAAGUAAAGGAGGACAUUCAACAAAUCCAACUAUGUAAUCACUUCCAAAAUUGAAAGUACUUUUGUAAUAUAAUUAGGCUAAUCCAAGUAUUCAACCCCACCAAUUGAAUAAAUACCUAGAUUGUUAUUGUAAUUCAAAGUCAUAGUACUACAAAGAAAAAAUACCUUCUCUUUACUUCCAGCACUUCCAACGACAUGACAACCAAUCAAUUUUGCGAAUUGACCGACAAGCUGGCCGACUGCACCAGAGGCAGCUGAAACAAAGACAUUUUCUCCUUUCUUGGGUUUGCCUACUUCAAAGAAACCAGCAUAAGCAGUCAUUCCUGGCAUACCUGUGCUCAAACAAAAACACAAAAUAUAUAUUCAUAUAUAUGUCAAAAGGAGGAUAAUGUAUGUAGACUUAGAAAAAGUUGCAAAUAACUAUGAUGGUUAACCAAAUCGUUAUGAUUAUGAUACUAAACAAAGUAAGGACUCAUUUAUCACAUGAAAACAUCAUAACUUGAGUCUUGCAUAUCAUAUUCAUAGCAAGAGCAUUCUUCAUUACAAGUCAAUAUAGAAUUGUUGAAUAAAUAAUACCAAGAAUUCCUGUAUAGUAGGAAAGAGGAACAUCAUCUGUGUGCUCAAUUUUGAAAUGUAUUUGUGCUGCAGAGACCAAACUGUACUCUUCCCAAUUAGUUAUCCCCCACACCAAAUCACCUUCUUUGUAAUUUUGGUCUCCAGAUUCCAAAACUUUAGAUACUCCAAUACCAUUUAUAGGCUGCAUUUACUCAAAUAUUGACAGUAAAUGCACAAAACAAUACAAAUAAGUCACAAAAUAAAAUCAAAAUUGUAAACCUACAAACAAGUUGAUCCAUGCAGUGCAGAGAGUAGAUACUAUAUUUCUAUAAAGCACGGAUGCUGAGAUAGAGAUGUAGGUAAUAAUUUGAGAAAAUGAAUUAAUUGAAAGUAAUCAAAAUAUCGGUGCCAGGGACACUUUUGAUUAGAGGUGUCGAUGAGCUAUAUUUACAUAUUAAAAAAAAAAAAUACUUUAAGGUUCAAUUUGACAAAUGCUCAAAAGGGUUACCAAGAAAAACAUUAACAUACAGAUUGAAGAGUGUAGGAACGAGGAUUGAAAGAGUAUUUUGGAUUGGUCAUGAGAGUCCGCAUGUAAGGAUCACAAGACAAGUAAAGAUUUUUUAGCAAAACAUCGUGGGAACCUUCUGGAAGCUUUAGAGUUAUGGUACUGUCAAUGAUGUUCAUGUCUGAUUCUUUAGGAAAACCAGAAACAUAGUUCUUUAGAAUCACUUGCUUGUUCCUAACUUGUGCCAUUUUAGUUAUUGGGUAUGUUGAUGUUGAAUAUCACUUCAGUGUAUACAAUACAAUGCAAAACAAAACUCAAAGAAAAUAGGAUAAGCAAAAAUAAAUAUGAAUGAAGAUCAGAUAAUCGUGAUUUUAUAGAGAAACUAAGAAAUAUCAAUCCUUCAUUUUGUGAUUUGUACACUUUUCAUUGGCUAAGUAUAAUUGCUAGAAUAAGUAUCUAAAGUUCAUUAUUAAUUUUUGUAUGAGGACAAUGAAAUUAAGUUGGUAAUAUUUACGGUGCAUUUGGAAUCAAUCUAAUAAUAUCAUAGAUACAUUUGAUCAUAAUAGAGAUUAUUUUAGAAUUUUGAUAAACAUAGAAGAUUUUAUUCAAUUUAUAUUAUACUAUAAUUUUAUAAUUUUAUAGAUUUAAUUUAUAUACACCAAUAGUGUAAAAGUUUUUUAUAUUGUAAAUCAAUUUAUGAAAAAUAAAAUUUCUAUUUUAUCAAAAGAUUUCAAAAAAUAAAUUUACUUAAUAAAAAAACGUCAUAUUUUAUUAUUUUCAAAAUUAUAACAUAUAAAUCUUUUAUAAAUUUAAUAUUGUGUCAAUAAUAUUAAAUCAAUUAAAAAAUAAAUAUUACAUAACAUUAAGUAUAUUAAUUUAGUAAUGUCAUAUUAAAAUUUAGAAAAUUUACUUUAAGUCUAUAUUUAAAUUUGCUUUAGAUCUCCACAUGUGUUGGGUCACCCUAAAUCUCAGUUGUCGAAUCAUUAAAAACUAUGAACUUUUAUCGUAACUAUAUCAAAAGUCAUAACUAUGAAUGAUUGUGAUGUGUUAACAAACUUUUUCCAUACAUAUUAAUUAAAUUCUAUUUUUAUAGACCAAAUCGAAUAUUUAAGUAAUAUAACAUUUUUUGGAAGAAAAAAGAUGGUUUAGUACUAAUUAAGUUACUUUAAAUAACAUAAGUUUUUUAUUUUUAAGUCAUAAUUCAACUGACAAAUAUUGAUAUUGUUAGCUUGAAUGUUAUAUACAGAUUUGAUACCCGGAACUCGCACGUGUGUGAAUUAAUUAUGAUGAUAUUUAUUUUUUCCUUUAGUAUUAAAAUAAUCCAAACAAGAAGAGGACUUUCUAAAAUAUACUAGUAAAGGAUCAACAUAAAAAGAAAUAUAUAAAAGAAAAUAUGAACUUUGUAUGAUGAUUUUCAAAGUGUCAUUUAGGAAAUAUAAAAAGACUUAUGAAUAUGGACAUCCACAGCCUCCAAUAUUCAUAUGACAUUCCUCUUUUUCUCUAUUUUCUUGUAGAUUUUUUUGGCCAGUUAAAUUCGUACAUACAAUUUUGUAUUCUUUAUGAAUAAGUAAUUCCCACACGAGUCUUUUUUAAUCAUAAUUACUUUUAUAGAAAUUUACUAAUUUAGAUCCUAUUUUUUUAGUUAAUGUAAAUUAGAAUGUUACAUUUAUAAUUUAUUAAUUUGCGCCAAUUAAAAAAUAAGGAAAGAUAAGUUUGUAAACUUCUAUAAAUUUGUUAACUCGCAAUAACAAAAAGUUUUAAUUGGUAUUAAAGUCAAACCCAACCAUAAUAAAUCUAUAAUAAAUAAUACAUUAUAUUUAUACUUUAACUUUUUAUCAUAUAAACUUGAGUUCCAUAAAAUUAAUUCAGUCAAACAUAUUAUCAAUAUUAAAGAUAAAUUAAAAUAGAUAUAUAAUUAAUCACAUUCCACUUGUGUAUAUAACAAAAUAAACCCUUCUAUUCCACUUUGUGAAACAAAAUUUCCAUUUGAAUAGAUGGUUGAUAUUAUCUUAAUCUUUAGAUGAACUAUAGAUUUGAUAUAAUCAUUGUAACAAAGUAAUUUUGUAAAAACUAUAUUCUGUAGCUUUUUUUUUCAAAAAUCGUACUGAGUUAUUAUGAUUUUACUGAUCUUUAUCAUGAAUACAAAUAUAUAGUUGUUUUUGUCAAAUAGGAUUAAAUUUAUAGACAUUAACUAAGGAAAGCAGCAUCUCAAAAGGCCCCACUGGAUUCAUUAAACUCAACGUCUCAAUUCAAAAACAACGCCUAUAAUAAAUAAUAAUAAUAAUAAAUAAAUAAUCCAACUAAAUAGAAUAUAGAAGAAAAAAAAGAGCGCAUGAUGAACAAACCAAACCCCCUGAAGAAACACGUUGAUUCGGAGUUGUGAUUUCUGUGCACCUUCCACUCUUCUCAAACUGACUUUUCUUAACGCGAUUUUGCAACCUUCCUCUUCUGCAUAACCAAUACCAACUUCUUUCUUUAUUCAAAACCCUUUCACGAUUCCUUAUCAGUCAUUUUGCUUCGGUUCUCUCGCUCUUUCUGAUUCUUCCUCCAGGUAUACUCUCUUUAUUUCUCUUCUACCACUUCCAUUUUUAUGCUUCUUCUUCUCACUAAACCCCUUCAAUUCAUCUCGCUCUUUUUCAGAUUUUUCUUUCUUGUAAUUAUCGUAUGGUCAACAUCGCUUCAAUUUUCUCUCUUCAUGUGGUUUUCUCAUUUCCAAUAUUCUUUCUUUCUCUAUACUUUUUUUUUCCCUUUAGGUUAUGCUUCUGUAAAAUUUUCACUCAUUUUCUAUGUGUUUAUUUUGUAGCAUCUUGGUUUUGCUUUUAUGAACUUUUAGGCGACUACAUGAUGCAAUUUUUGUACCUUUGUUUUUGUUUACUGAUUUUUUCGUGGUCCUUGUCAAUUGUUGUUGAUUGAUUCUGUUUCUUUGUGUUGCUUUACUCUUGUUGAUUGCUUUUAUAUAUUCUCUAUCUUUUUAGUCAAUGGUAGUUUUUAUUAAGUCAAUCAUGUUUUGAUGAUAUGAAUAUGAUUUCUUGUGGCAUAAUAAUAAAAUUGUUGCUUUUGUCAUAAGUGGAUUAAGACCUAUGAAGCAUAAAUACUGAAUGGACAUGGGGCACGACACUGGCAAGUCGCCAUCAAUAAUAAUCAGAGAAAAUUAAUUAAUUGAAUGUAAUCAAUGGUUAGAAAUAUGGUGUUACAAAGAUUAUGAUUAAUAAAAUGAUAUUUGGGUUGCUUUGCCUUAUUGUUGUUGUACAUUAACAGUAACUGAAUAGCACUUGCUUGCAUAUUACAUGGAUAAAUUGGUUGUCUUCACAAAUUAGUUUACUUUGAUCUGCUUCUGACUCAAUUCUGCAAUAAUAGAAAAUGUUCAAUUCAAAGAAAUCUCCUAUGAAAGUUGGAAAACCUAGCUCCGUUGCUCCCGCCAACAUUAAAUCUUGGUCAAACCCGUUUGAUUCUGAUGAUGAGGAAAAGGACAAUAGAAAGUAUAAUUCCUCGAAGAAGACUUCUUCGCAACGACCACUAGUUACACUAGAAGUUAACACAAACCCAUUUGAUGACAUUGAUGACAAUAAGCAUUCUUCAUCUUCAUCGUCAUCGUCUUCAUACGUCCGUCAAUCAGCAGACCGGAACAGGUAUAAGAAUAACUUUCGUGAUUCUGGUGGAUUAGAGAAUCAAUCUGUACAGGAGUUGGAGAAUUAUGCUGUUCACAAGGCUGAGGAGGCUACGAAUUCAAUCCACAAUUGUUUGAAGAUAGCAGAGACCAUAAGAGAGAAUGCUACCAAGACUUUAGUCACCCUUCACCAACAAGGUGACCAAAUUACCAGGAGUCACCAAGUUGCUGCUGACAUUGAACAAGAUUUAAGUCGGGUAUAAUUUUCUUAAUAUACAUUUGUUUGUUCAUGUGCUCCUAUACGGUUGCUUUGUUGUGUUGUUUUUACUUUUUACCUUUUUGAAAAUAUCAUGUUGCUUUUCAUAGCAUUCGUUUGUGAUUGAAACCUUUCAAAUCGGUAUUGUGGAAAUAUAGAAAGAAUCUUUCAAUACUAUGAGUAUUUUAAACAAUAGCUUCUCUUAUAAGUUGAAAUUUUGUUUUGUAUCUCCAUUUUUUCAAGAGCUCUUUCAUUUAGCUUCUUCGUAAGUGUGUUUGGGCGUUGAGUUUUUGAGGGAAAGGAAAGAGAAGGCUUAUUUUCCAUGUCUAAACUAAAAAAUUAUAAAAUGUUUCUACAAUUGAUUAAAAGGGUAAUUGAAAUAUUAUAUAAUCAAUGUCUAUUGUGUCAUUUUUUCAAUUUUUUUAAAAUAUCAAAUAUAUGUUAGGAUAUAGACUUAGCCAUCUAAAACAAAUCUCAACUCCCAAAUAUACCUUAAGUUUAUAAAAAAAAAAAAUUGAUAAGUGAAGGACCAUAAACUUAUUUUGGUUGAUUCUAUAAGCUAUAACCAAAGCCAAGCUGUGCCUAAAACUGACUGAAUUUUGACUAUCUUAUGACCUGCUUCCAGGGAGAAAAGCUUUUGGGGAGCCUUGGUGGCCUCUUCUCCAGAACUUGGAAACCGAAAAAGACACGUACAAUAACAGGCCCUGUUAUUUUUGGAGGUUAAUAUUUUCUCUGCAUGUGUUUUCUUUUCGAAUUUUAAUUAUUUCGGGUUGUAUCAUAGGCAUAAUGUGCUUUGUGUUAUGUAGAUGAUCCGGUUAGAAGAAAGGGAAAUCACUUGGAACAAAGAGAGAAGUUGGGAUUGACUUCUGAAUCCAAAGGGCACUCCAAGCUGCGGACUCCACCUCAGGAACCAACAACCGCACUUGAAAAAGUUGAGGUUCGUAUCAACUCGGUGAAAGAUUAAACUGUUGUAUAAUGCCAGCUGAACUUUAUAAAGCUUAAGUUUUUUUUAUUCUGAGUUGAAAUUGAAUCCAUUAAAUCUUUGUUGGUUACUUUUUACUAUAGUUUCAGCUCUAUUGAUCAGAUCACUAGUUUGCAUCAAAUCAGUUUUAUUUACAACAAUGAAUAAUAUUGCAACCUUGAUGUUUUUCAUUUGUUAUUUUCCUUUUUAUCUUUCAUGUCAUGACACUACAUCUAUAUUUCAAUGAUUGAUAUUGAAUUCAGUUGCUAAAUAAAAUGUCCUGAAACAGUUUGAAAAAGGGAAGCAAGACGAUGCACUGUCGGAUCUCAGUGAUCUAUUGGGAGAGCUUAAAGAUAUGGCUGUUGACAUGGGAUCCGAAAUUGAGAGGUCAGUCAACUGGCAUUAUAUUUUUUGUUUUAUCUAAUUUUGUCAUACAAAGUAAUUGUUGAUAAUGAUAUGUUACCUGCGUCAACCUUUGAGGCCCACAUAAUUAAUAGUUAUUUUGGUAAAUGUUGCAGGCAUAACAAAGCCUUGAAUCAUCUAGACAAUGAUGUGGAUGAGUUGAAUUUCCGAGUGAAAGGUGCUAAUCAACGUGGCCGUCGUUUACUUGGAAAAUAAGAUUGAUUUUCAACUUUUAAUCAUUGUUUUGUAAUACUGUAAUGGAUCCAUCAUUUGGGUUUAAGACACACACCUUUAGGUUACACUAGCUGAAUUAGCCAGUGAUUAAAUUCGCACUUUGUGCAAUGCCACUGCUCAUUGAAACAACAACUACCAAGAAAAAAUGCCCUUGAUAUACCAAAGUCAUUUUUCCUCUCUCAUUAUUGAUAUUAACGAUAAGGCAAAAAUUUUAUUUCUGCAAUUUGAUAAAGAUACGUGUAAAAAGAAGAAAACGGUAACAGAGGGAGUAUUUUAUGUUUUUGUGCAAAUUCCUAACUUAAAUGAAAUAGCGUGGUUUGAUCAAUUACUUCCUCGCAUGCUCAACGUUAAUCCAAAUCCCCCAUGCUUCAUAGUAUUUGUCGUCCAUAUCAUAAAUCAACAAUUGAAAGAAAAUCUCCUCAUAAAGAAUUUUUAAUGUGUCAUCAUGAGGUGGUGAGACCUACCUUGCCCUUAGUAAAUUAGUCACGUACAAUUAAAAUCAGCCACGUUUACUCCACAAAUAUGUUAAAUUUAAAAUGGGGCUAGACAUUUAAUACAAAUACUCCUACAAGACUAUGAGCAACUCUGUUGGGUAUGAUAGUUGAGGUUAGUGUUUAUGCCUUGAAUUACAAGACUGUGAACAAACUUUAUUAGGCAAUAUUUGAAUUGGUGGAAAAUUGAGAUGACAUUGAGGGGUAUAAUUGAAUGGACUAAUCUUAUAUAUUACCAUUAUGAUUUACGAAAGUUGUUUUAAACUUUUCUGUUUAGUAAGUGAAAAGUUCUUCAACAAGUAUGCUUAAAACAUUUAUUAACUAAUUGAUUAUUGUUUGAGUAAAUUAAAACUACUUCAUUAUUGCUAAGGUGGUUGCAACUUUGCUGUGAAGAAAAAUAUCCAGCUACUUCCUAAUACUCACUCUUCUACAAGAUUUAAUAAACCUUUUUUUUUUAAUUAAAAUUUGCUGUUUCCAACACAAGCUGGAGCAUCAAAGUUGGGAUAAACAAUAAAUGCAAUGGAUAAAGGAGCAAUAUAUAUUGGAGAAUGUACAUUAUUCAGUACUGGAUCCAAUCUAGGAAUCUCUCCAUCAUCUGUUAACUCUAGUGGAUUACCAUUCAGCAACAUGAUUUGGCUUCUAAGGUAAUCAUCUUUUGGAGUUAAAUGAUACUCCUCCCUGAAUAUGACAUCUGAUCCUUUUGUUCCAAUCCAAGAAAAUGCCCUCUUGAGAUGGCUAAAGAAUGAAUUAUCUAUACGGAUGCUGUCUUUAGCAUCUUCAUUUCCUCCAUUACUGACAUUCACGGCACGGUCGUGAACGGUGAGUAUGAAAUUAGUUUGGUUGCUUAAGUUGAUUAGUAGUAUUGUUACUCCAUCCUGCAGAAUGAAAUAAAUUUAGAAUGGUUAAGGAAAGCUACUAAGUAAUAAAAGUAUUGUUGAAAAUGAGCCUAUUAUCUACGUUGGUCCGAGGGGAACUGGAUUCGGAUCUCUUAAACAAUGUCUCAGAUUCCAGUUUUAAUGGAUGAAAAAUCAUGGUAGGAAGUAAAGAUCUCACUAAAAGUGGUCACUUAAGUUCCCAAUGGAGAUUAGUCGUCGACGAUCUUGUUGGAGAUUUUGCACCAAUAACAUGGUUAACAAAAGAAAAGAUGCCUAUUAUCAAAUAUAAACCAUACAAAAUAAAGCUAUAUCUCCUUGUAAGUUUCUAGCAAACUAAGAGUGAGUGACUGAGUCACACCUCUAUUCACACCUACCAAAUUUGCAUGUAAUCAUAACACUAUAAAAAUUCAGAAAUAUAACUGUGUUUUUCUUCAAAAAAUGAAAAGAAUCUUGAAUGUAUAAAAUAUAUCUUGUAUAGAUUUAACAAUAUUCUUAUCAUCUUGGUUCUCUAAUGCAUUGAGCUAAAAUUCAAUCUUCCAACUGUCAAAAACUUUUAUGCACACACAUACAUGUAAUGAUGCUUAUGAAAAAAAUUAUACGUCAACUGUUAUUAUGCAGUGUUCUAUAUGAUGUUGUAUCAGCUGAAGUUUUGAAAAACUUGAUAAAUAAGAUAUAAAAGAAUAAAUCAUAAACUCAUGCCCCCAUCUAGAUCAUAUCCUUUUUUAAGUUGAAUUAAAUUAGCACACUUACUCUGUCUUUUGAACAAUGUGCAUAUGUGCGUAAAAAUGGUGAAAAAACGUCACUAGAAGCUGCAAGAACACUCUUCCCCAUGAGUUGAUGCCACAAAAGUGCACUGCUCAAAAUCAAAUCCAAAACAUAAGAUUAGAUAUAUUAAAAAAUUAGCAAUAUACAUUAUAAUUAUUAUAACUCUUCAACAAUUUAGAAAACCAGAUAUGUAUAUUCUUGUUUUACCCUUCAUUUUUUCAAUUUACACACUUGCCUGUAGUAGUCAGGAUUGGGAGUGAAAGUGGAUGUAUUAAGAAGGCCAUAGUUUCCUCCAAUUAAGGUCUGCCUGCAAUAGACCUUAGUGUUGUAUCUGGAUGCUAUUCCAAGUUGAUCUAAGUACCUACAAUUAAUUUAAAGUUCAAAUUUCAUUCAAUAAUUUCUCUUUUGCAAAACAAAGUAUAGUCCUUAAUUUAGCACAAAAUAGGAACAUGAAAUUAUGGAAGGUUGGCCAACAUUACCAAAAGCUAUUCACAAAUGUGUUAGAAACAUAACGACCGCCACUGUUGAAUGCCCCGCCGGCUUCUCCAACCCAUGCAACCGACCAGGGACCAUGUUUUUGAAUGGUUUCUGAAAGAUUGCUAAAAAUUGAUUCAACCUUGCUCAAGCGCGCAGGAUCUAGAAUCUUCUUAUCAAGAUGCUCAUCAUUACCUGAACAAAAACAAAUUGACUUAUAAACUAUUUAUAGAGGAUAGAAAACAUCAUUUUCCCUAUAAGUAAUGUAACAUAUAAUCUUUAAUGAUACAAGAUUAUAUUGUUGUUAACUAAUAUAUCAGUUGCCAGUGCAUGCUUUUCAAUGUAUGCAGAAGUUAGCAUUAUUCAUUAUCUAGAAAUGUCAGAAUGUUAAAUAUCCUCUAGGAAUGACUAUAUUAAAAAGAACUAAGUGGCAUAUAAACCUGGGCCCAAAUUAUAUACAUGAUGAGUCAUCACGUCGAUAACGCCUGAACCUGAAACCUGAAGAAGCUUAUCAAACCACUCCUUUUGAUAGAAUCCUCCAGGUGCUAUAAGUGAAGGUUUGAGCUUGGUGUUCUUGUAUAGUGUGUGUAAAUUUUGUUUAAGCUUUAUCAAGUCCUUCCCAUAUUGUGCAGCACCAACACUUGCACCAAUGCCUUUACCACUCAACUCAUUACCUAUAUGUGCAGCACAUAAAGAAUAAGCUCCAAUGAAAUAAGCUUGAACAUAACAAAUAGCUAAUAGAGCAGUGUCUUACCAAACUCCCAUGAAUCAAUUUUGUAUCCGUUUGAAACAGUGUAGUUUAUUAAAUCAUAAGUAUUUGUAGGGUCCCAAUCUCCUCCCCAAACGGUGUGAUUAAUCUGGUGUCUCCCAAGGAGUGCAUUCAAGCCAAAAGUCACAAUGGCCCUGCAAGUGAUAAACUCAAACUAAAUUACACCAUAUAUGAUGCUGCAUUACCAACCUUUUCUGCUUUUCUUCCAGCAUAAAAAUGACUUUCUUCGGUAGAAAUAAUGGUAAUGUCUACUUGCAUAUAUCUUUUCUAAGAGUCGUGUUAAUUUGAAACACAAAUUUGACAACAAAUUUCGUUAACAAUUUGGAUGGUUAACACAGUUCACGUACAUGGUUAAUUAUGCUUACUAGAUGAUUAAUGAAUAUAACAAGGUAUUGUAACUCAUUAAACAUCUACUAAACACAGUUAACCGUGAUUUUGAAUAUCAGUAAACCAUAAUUUUCAACAAUCUAAUAAAUAAAAUACUUACCCUGUCUUGUUGAAAAAAUGAUUCAGCUCAUCCCACCUUUUCAUAUGUAAGCAUCCCUUUGAAAAUCCAAACAACCCACCUUUCAUUUUUUGAAAUGGAUGACAAGGAGACUGCAAACUUCCUACCUCAUACACAACUUGGUCUUGCAGAGAACCUCCAAUUCUUAUCCUCAAAGGCUUGAGACCUAUCAAACAACCAUUAUAGAAAAGAACAACAACAGUCAUAAAAUAAAAUUCCAAAAUUGAUACUACCAAUAAAAAUACUUUGCUCUUUUAGGAAAAACAUUGUUUUGUUUAACCAUAUGGGAUAUACAUAAUCAAAAUAUACAUACCUUGUAUUGCCUUUGCAAGGAUUGGAUUAGACAAGUCCUGAAAAGCCAAUCCACAUUGAAUAAUCACCAAUACUACUUCAAAGUUCAAAGCUUUCUAAGAGUUCAAAUUGAAAGAUAAUAUGAGUACCUAAAUACUAACCAAAUUGACAACAGAUGAAUAUCCCCAAGGGCAAUAAUUGUAGUCACACUUAUCAUGAGGCCACCAAUCAAUAGUAGCACAAAUGAAGUUAUCAUCAUUUUCAGCAAUUGCUUGAACUCCAUCUACUACAAUUAAACCAUGUUCAAUAUCUUGAGUUAAAGUCAAGCGAAGAGAAGCCAGAAAAAGAAACAAGGCCAAGUGGAAUCCCAUCAAUUUGUAGAUCAAUUGCAGCAGCAUCCAAACCCAACUCAACUUGUCCAAAUUAAUUUGCUGCAAUAAAAAAUGAAAAGAUAAGAAGUGAAUUUACAGAGAUCCAUUGAAGCUGAAUAUCUGCAAGUUUCUGUAUGAGUUUUGACAGUCCCCAAAACAUUGAGCAUUAAACAUAAGAAAUAAUAAAAUUGAGGGUCCUUUAAAAAGCAUAAACAUAAGUUGCAUUAACUUUAAAAGUUUAAUUUUGAUACCAUAUCGAUGAGCACCGUGAACAAAUCAUAGUCAAUUAUAUGUAUGAUUUUAGAAGUAGUUAACAUUAAAGCAAACAUUUUUAAUUAUAUUAAGAUUGUGAUCGAUUAAAGAUAUAAAAAAAUCUUUACAUUGACGAUAUAAAUGAAUUAAAAAUCCUUAAUUUAAAUUUCAUAUGCUACAAUAGGAGUCCUCAAUGCUAAAUCUUGAACUAUAAGCUAAACCAAGAAGAACCCAGAAAUGAAAAGCAAAAGCGUGUGCAAUGCAAGCACAAGAAAAAAAAGAACAAUAUUGAAGAAUACCCAGAUCAUGAAGAAAAAAAAAACAUAAAAGAUCAACCUCAACCUCGUUUUUGAUCAACCAUUAAUGAAAAGAGUGAAGCUCAAGGUAAGAAGCAUAACCCACCAAUAAUAAUGAAGAAAAAAGGGAAGUUUGGUAGCGUUUGAGUAAUCCACAUUGAGAAGGAAAGGAUCAAAUGAAAGCGUUGUGGUGAUUGUAGUAGUUGAAUGAAUAAGACCUGUCUCAGACACUAACAAACAAAAACAACAACUCACGAUUAAUUUGAUUCAGCAGAGCAGAGGAUGUUUUUUAUUUCUUCAUGAGCAGCACGUUCCUUUCUGCCUCCAAAAUGUUAUGUUAGGUGUCCUUUGCUGGAGUGGUUCAACAAUAUACAUCAUUCUUGGAAAACUCUAAAAUUAACUCAAGUAACGGAUCUUUCCUACAAAAUAACAAAUACCAACAUUUUAUUCUCUUCUGUCUUUUUUUUUAAUAAAAAAAUAUUAAACAUUUAAUUAUAAAAAAUAUACUAGUAUUAAGCAUUUAAUAAUUAAUUACUUUGACUUUAGUGAUGAAAGAACAUUGUAAAAAUGUUUUAUUCUAUUUUACAAACAUAAAUAUAAUCACAAUUUUAUUAUGUCAUAAAAAAAAUCAUCAUAAUUUCAUGAUGUCAAAUUUGUGGGUUUUUUAUUAUCAAAAAUAAAAUUAUGGCGAUGAUUAUUGAUUGAAUAGUAUAAUGAUAGGAAAGAUUUUAUUAGAUGCAAUUUGAUGAACAUGUACUUUUAUUUGUAUUGAAGUUUAAUUUUUUUAUUAACAAUUCCCUAUUUUAUUUUAUGAAAUGAUUAACAUAACAGAUUUUUUUCUUCUAAGACUGCACUUUUUUUACAUAAUUAAGACUGAUUUUAAAAAUUGGAAGGAGUAAUUAAAAAUACCAAACUGUCAAUUCUCUAUAUAUAGGAAAAUAACUUGUUGGAGUAUUAUUUCUAUUUAAUAAUCAUUUCACUUUUAUGAUUUUCUUAUAUAUAAAUCAAAAUUAUUCUAUAUUAGAUAUGUAAUUCUAGAUCCAAUGUUAAUUAAUAGAUAUUUAGUGUGUAAGAUUUAACUCAAUCGAUAAAUGCUGAUAUUUUUACGUUGGAUAUCAUGUUUUGAGUUUGAAUUUAAAUCUUCCUAUUAUGUUAUGAGUUGUUUUUCGUUAUAAAUUAUGUAUAUGAAUUUUAAGUUGUGUUUAAUUUUACACCUAAUUCUAAGUAUAAUGUGUUGUCUCCUCAGAACUUUAAAUCUUAUAUUAUCUUAUUCUUCCUCCGUUAAAGAGAGAUAGUGGUGGUUUUAGAUAAUUUUUGAGUCUAGAAUCACUCCAAAUCAUUUUUUCUUUCAUUUUAUCUAAAUAAUUCGUUUUUACGCAAAUUUAAUUUUUCUUUUAUUUUCUUUUGUUGUGAUUUAUUCGUUUGAGUGUGACGCUUUUUAAAUUUCUCGUCUUUAUGCAACAUUUUUAUUUUUUAUUUUUGUGCGGUGUUCAUUUUGGUUCAAAUCGACAUAAUAGCUUUGAUCAUUUAUAAAUUUCAAUUUGUGACUUUUACGUCAUCAAUGUUACAUAUGAAAAUGCAAAAAUAUUUUCAGGCACUUGAAUUUUGCUAAAUUUGUAAAUAUAUUACUGUUUUACGCUAUUAAUUUAAGUGAUGUGAAUUUAUUUAUAAUUUCACCAUUUUAUAUUUUGAACAAUUUAAAUUAGACAUAUUCUAUAAUUUAAAUAUAAUUUAUUUUACUAAAAAAAUAUAGUACGCCUUCAUAAAAAGUAGAUGUCUAAACAUGUAUGGAAAAGUUAACAUUUAAUAAAUUAGUUAUAUUGUAUGAGUUUAAUGACCAUAUACUUAUGAUGAAAAAUAACUGUACAUCUUUGUUCAAUAAUAGCCAACCAUCUUAUUAUACAGGUCUCUUUAAUAACUAACUUUUAAAAAUAACUACAUUUUCUUUCAAUUUUAUUAGACGUUAAAACUAAUUUACAUUAAUUAUACAUUUUCUCUUUUUUUUAUAGUAUGUACAAGAAAUAGCAAUUUUAAUAUACUUCUUUUCAAGGUCGGCCCAACACAUUAUGAGGUCUAAAGCGAAAUUAUUAGACAGGACAUUUUCAAAAAUUAAUAAAUAAAUUAUUAAUAUUUUAUUUAAUAACUAUAGAAAAAUUUCUUUAGUAGAAUUAAUAGCAUUUUCAAAUCUAUUUUUUCUAUAUUUUUCAAAAAAAUAAAAUAAUACAUUUCAACUUUUCUACAGCAACGUCAAUAACUCAUGUAAAAUUUUUCAUCUUUUAGUUGAAAAAGAAAAUAGUGUGUAUACUAUCACUCCAAUAAUUUAUGUUAGCAAUAUGUUCACGACUGUCUUAUCAUUCAUCAGUUUAUAACUAAUAUUUCUCAUAUGGGUAAUGUGUUCACUUUUUGUCUCGUAAUUUCUCAAUUUAUAAUUAAUAUUUCUCUUAUCCCUAUUAUCUUCGUUAGCCAAUUUAGUUGUAAUAAAAAGAUUAUUAAAUAAUUUGCAAUAAAAAUAUGUUUUAUUUAAUGUAUAUAAGAUUUUAUCUAUCGAUAGCAAAAGUUAAGACAAAGUUUCACUAUGAUAUUUUCUAGACUAAAAAAUAUCAAUCCAAAUAAAUAAUAAUUUUGCCAAAAAUUAUAAAUUAAAUUUUUUUUGAAACUUUUUAUGUAAGUAUAAAAUAUUUUUUUAUAAUAUAUUAUUGGUCUUUAUAUAAAAACUAGAGUAAAAAAACAUUUUUUUAGUGAGCCAUAAAGCAAGGGCAUUGUGUGCCUCUCUCUUGUUGUACUGGCUCUGCUCCUUCCCUCUAAUUUUCCCACAUGUCAUAUAUAAGUUUACUCUUCUUAUUUUCAAUUAAAUAGUUAAACUUUUUAAAGUGUCUAACCUAUAUUUAAAAGAACACAAAGUUUUAGUGUGACCUUUUUUUCCUUCUUAUUUAUCCUUUCAUUUAAACUAUUUAUUUAUAAUUUUAUCAUUUUUUCUUUUACCAAUUAAAAAAUUGAAUGAUCAUUUAUUUAUAAAAAUAAUAAUAGAUUAUGUCGGUGUUUGUCUCACGCUGAUUCCAAAAAAUCAAACACUUAUAAUGGAACAGUAGAAAAAGUCAAUAACAUGUCAUGUAUAUCCAACUACAAUUAUUGAUUUUACGGUUAUUUUAUAAUUAUAAAAAAAAUACAUAUAAUCUUUUAAAUUUAAUUAAUUUAUGUAUAAAUUAUUUAAGUUUAUUUUAUUUAAAUUAUGUUUCUUUUUACAUCGUUAGUUAUUUAUUUUAAUUUCGACAUCAAUUAUUUUAAUUGAAAGUUUUUUUUUAAUCAUUUUAAAUUCUACCAAAUACUAUAAUAAUAUACUUCUUAUAUUAAUAAUUCAAAAACUGUUCAUCAAAUCUUAGAGAAGAUAUAUAUUUUUGAUUUUCUUGUAAACAAUUUAAACCAACUAUCGUCUUAAAAAUAAAAUAAUAAAUAUUUAUUUAUAUAAUCAAUAUCUUUAAAAAUAAAAUCACUUGCAAAUUCAACUUGUUGCAAUAUAUUCCAAUUAGAUCUUAACACUUAAUGAUAAUAUAUUAAGAAAAAAAUUAAAAUUAAAAACCUACAUCUAUACUUUAAUAUAUUUUAAAGAUUAACAGUACGAACAAAAAAUAUUUUUAUACAAAUUAAAGGAUUAAAAACGUAUUUUAACAUUAUAAACUUAAAGACUCUCUUUAUAAAAAGGAUAUUUAAAAAGCAUUUUUGUUUUCUUCCUUUUAUAGUUCUGCAACGAAUAAUGUAUAAUGUUUGUGGUAAAAUUUAUAAUAGUGAAGAAAAAUAAAAAUAAAAAUAAAAAUGGAAAUAAAAAUUAAGGAGUGGUUGUGUAGUCUCUCUUGCUUGCCUUUGUGAAUAACCUAUAUCUUUGAUUCUCUGUUCGAAAUACAGAAUGAGAAUGAAUUACUGUAAUUUUUUUAUUUUUACUAUGAAAUCAAAUAUAUGCAAGUAUGGUAUGCAUGCGAUUUUUUCUAUAAAUGUAAAAUUAACAAACGAAAAAGUGUUCAUUUUGAAUCAUGGUUUUAGUUUAACAUUUAAUCUUCAUGUUAAUACUAGACAUAAGCACGUCACAAAAAACAAAAAACAAAAAACAUAAAAAUACAUUGUCACUUUUCAUAACUUACACAAAUCAUGCUUUUUCUUAAAGUCAUGCUAACAACAACGUAAAACCUAAAAGUACGUGUGGUAUAUGAUUAUAACUCACAUGAUUCCAAUCAAUAGUAUAAAAAUAUAUUGAGUAUUUUCAAUUUGCUUAUUAUCUAACUAACUCUUUUUGUCCUCCAUUAUGAAUAAAAUGAUAUAGAACAAAAAUUAUGUAAAUAACCAAAAUUAUAUACUCUGAAGCAAUUUUGAUAACAUAACAUUAUAUUUGUCAAAAAAAGAAAAUUAAAACAUUACAAAAAAUAAUAUAUUGGCAACCAAUGCAGUGGUAUAUACUAAUAGCCAAAUUGUUAUCAUAUUAUUCAAUCAAUACACACGUUGGAUAUCUAUUUCAAACUAUGCGCGUUCUUACACUUAUAAAAUCAACAUUUCAAAAGAAAAAAAAAAAGAAAUUUCAAGGAAAUGCACUAAACAUGCAAAAAUGCACCAAAGAAAACAAAAAAUUGUGUUGGUAUAAACCAUGAAGAAAUUCUAUCAUUAAAAGAAAUCCAAAACUAACUCAGGUGAUUGGAAUUCCACAUAGGACAAAGUUGAAAUCAAGGGACUCAUGACAAAAAUAUUUGUGUGUCUCAUCCAUGCUUUAUAGAAGAAAAAAAAAAUACAUUUCAAAUCGAAAGCAAAGUUUACCAAAGUGGUUUUGUGUAGUUGUGAUAGAGAUUGGGGAGUGUGAUUUCGCACGGGUUGUCUCGGAAUUUCGUCAUGAUGGAAAAACUGUGGUUUAUGCACAAUUUGAAUUCCAAUUUAUAGGAGUUAUGUAUGUGAACUUUAAUGCAUAACCAACAUUAAAAUUAUGCACCCAACUUUAAUGCAUAACUAAGAUUGGAGUUAUGUAUGAAUCUAGCUUUAGUGCAAAGCCAUAAUUGCAAUUAUGAAUUCAACUUUAAUGCAGAGCUAACAUUGAAAUUAUACACUUAAUUUUAAUGAAGAGUCAAUAUUGGAAUUAUACACGUGUCAUUAAUGCAGAGCCACUUACAAAUUAAUGUUAAUGGUUUUGAUUAAUUAACAUGCAUUGAAGACGUUUUUUUAAGCACAAAAAGGGAUGUGCAGAAAUGACAUUAUUUGAAAUAGAUUUGGAUUAUGGUUAGAUUGAUGCAUGAGUUAACAUGAUUUAGAUAUUAUAGAUAUGAGAAUUGCAAUUUAGAUAUUAUUUAAUUUUAUCUAUUUUAACUCUUUAAUCAAUAUACUAAGAUGAAUUGUCAAAUAUUAUCUUCUAACACGUAAACUUUAAAUAAAGUGUAAAGAAUUUAAUUUAUAUAUACUAUUAUUAUAAAUUUUUACAAUAUCAAUAAAUUAAAACUCUUAAAUUAUUUUUUAAAUUAUUAAAUCAUUAAAAUAUUUUAUUUUAAUUACAAUUAUUUUAAAAGUCUCACAAAUAAAUAGAUGAAAUAUAUAGAAAGUAUAAAAUUAUGUUGCUCUAUAUAAAACUUUUAGUUAGUUUAAACCUAAUUUAUAAUUGAGACUUAUUCCUUAACUCACUUCCUUCCCUCUGCUUCUUAUCCACUCUUAUAUUUUUUCUUAAAAACUAUUUUUGAAUUGAUGGAAUGAAAAAAUUGAAGUGGAAUAGUAUAGAAUAUUAUUUGAAAAUUUAAAAAAUAAUGGAAUAUGAUGGAUGGUACACAAUUCAUGACUUAUUUUAUCUUUAAAUAUUUGAAUGAAAUUUUCAUUUUAUUUUAUACUAUUUCACUUAAAUUUAUUUUGUUUCAUUCCACUUUACUUCAUUAGUUUUAUAAUCAAUUUCAACAACAUUGUUUUAAGUCGAAAUAAUAAGGUUAUUAGGAUAUAAACAUAAAAUGAAAUACAUAUAUAAUACUGUAUAUUAAAAUACAAACACAAAUACAACAACUACUCCCUCUAUAUUUUAUACAUAUAUUUGUAUUUUAUUUUAUGUUGAAAUAAUAUUACUCAUUGUGUCAAAUUGAAUAUUAUUGUUGUGAGUUUGGGAUGGUAAUUUCUGUGAAGUAAAAAGUAAAACAAAUUUCAUCACAAUUGCUUUCAAAACCCUAAAAAAGCACACAACCUGUUCUUCCUCACUCUCCUUCAAAUUACACUUCUACCUACUUUUUCACUCUCAAUUUCCGUGGCAUCGGAAAUCAUUUCGUUUUCCUUCCGCUCUUGUUGGAUACGGAUACGUUAUUUUGUUUUGUUUUGGCUUUGAAAAUCGUUCCUAAUUCAUUUCUUCAGUUGUCAUUAUUUUCAAUUUCAAUAACUUCGUUCCUAUUGUUUCACGAUUCAUCCAUGUGCUAAUUUUGAUGGAAUAUUAACUUUCUUAACGUGAAUCACUUCCUGCAUUUGUGGUUUCGUCAUGGAGGACACUGAAUCAGUCGAUGAUCAGAACUCAGGAUGGUUCCAAGUCAAAAAGGUUUUUUUUUCUUCUUUUUCCUUUUUCCUUUUUUCAUUUUCAAUUCUGUUGAUACAAUCUGUUGUGAAUUCUUCUUUGUUGUUAUUGCUUUGCCUAUGGAAAAAUGAAGAUUUUUUAUUCACUCUUUUAGUAUCCACUUGUUUGUUUUUAAGCCUAGUAUGUAAUUUGAAUUAUUUCCUUUUGUUAUGGAUUGUUAUACAAGUGUUACUUACACUCUCUAUUUUUGUUAUUUCCAUGUUAUCCAGAAACACAGGAAUGUUUCAAAAUUCUCUUUGCAGAGUUGGAUGGGAGGAUUUUCUGGGAAAAAUUCUUCCAACUCUCAAUGCAAGCAGAAUCCCGUGAUUAAAAAGGAUGGCAAUUCACAUGGCAAGCAGAAAACUCGUCUUUCUACGUCGGGGGAUAAUUUUUUACAGAACCCUGUCAAUGUGAAUAUUGCGAGUUCCCUUUCCGUGUCAAAAGAAGAAGUUGGCACAAGCUAUGUUAAUACAAGUGUGGUUAGAACAGAAACUGAAAUUCAGAAGUCAGAUCCAUUAAUCAGCACAGAUUCUCAAGGUAAACAUGAAGAAGUUAGGAAGUUACACCAUACUGAUAAAACUGACCUAGCCGGGAAAUCAAGAAGGGGUGAUUUGGAGGAGGGGGGAUUGGCACUGCCGCCGCAUGAAAAGUUUGCCGGAGUUGGAAUAAAGUUUGGUAGUAUUGGAGAUGAUAGUUUGCUUAGCUGUAGAAAGCAUGAAAAUGUUCCUGAUCAUGUUGAUUCAUAUCAUGCCCAAGAAAAAGACUCAACUGCAUCUUCUACUGGCGCAGAGACUGUUCUUCAUCAGAACCCUUCGCUGAGAUGUGAGGAUGAAAUAUUUGAAGAGAAUAGUAAAGACGUUAAGAAUAUAUCUUUGGAGCAUUUUAACAAUCAAGAACUGAAUGGGGAGAAGAUUGGUCCAGAAGAUGGUACAUUAUAUAGUGAUAAGAAAAAUGACGAAGACUGCAAAGUAAAUAAAGCAGCAACUGGUAGUGGUAUUAAUAAUGAACUUUUGUCUGCCAAAGAUGUUGUGGUGGCUGCAAACCAAUCGCAUAUGCUUAUCAAGGGGGCAAGUGAUGAUAUCAAAAUUUCAGGAAUGNNNNNNNNNNNNNNNNNNNNNNNNNNNNNNNNNNNNNNNNNNNNNNNNNNNNNNNNNNNNNNNNNNNNNNNNNNNNNNNNNNNNNNNNNNNNNNNNNNNNNNNNNNNNNNNNNNNNNNNNNNNNNNNNNNNNNNNNNNNNNNNNNNNNNNNNNNNNNNNNNNNNNNNNNNNNNNNNNNNNNNNNNNNNNNNNNNNNNNNNNNNNNNNNNNNNNNNNNNNNNNNNNNNNNNNNNNNNNNNNNNNNNNNNNNNNNNNNNNNNNNNNNNNNNNNNNNAGGAAUGCCAGAACAGAAUUGCAGCUUAAGCAAAGAGGUUACUUCCCAGGGUACUGAAUCACAAGUGCCUGAAACUUUCAGUGAUUCUGCUUCUGUCGAAGAGAUAAGGGAUCAACCAGAUGGUGAUAUGGAUAAUGUGUUGUCAGGAUCACAUAAUGCUCUAGAAGAAGGUGAUUCAAAUGAAAGCAAAGAAAGGUUUAGGCAGAGGCUUUGGUGCUUUCUAUUUGAGAAUCUUAAUAGGUCUGUAGAUGAACUGUAUCUUCUUUGUGAACUAGAAUGUGAUUUGGAUCAGAUGAAAGAGGCAAUUCUUGUUCUUGAGGAGUCUGCAUCUGAUUUUAAAGAGCUAAUCACUAGAGUUGAGGAAUUUGAGAAGGUUAAAAAGUCUUCUCAAGUAAUUGAUGGAGUUCCUGUCAUUUUGAAGAGUGAUCAUCGCAGGCCACAUGCUCUCUCAUGGGAGGUAUGCUUGAUCAUAUAUAGUUGCUAUUAGUCUGCUUCGUUCCGUUGUUCAGGUUGAUCUAUUGUGGUUUAAGAUCCCACAAUGUGCCUUUCAUGGAUUUUAUAUAUUGUACUAGACUAUGUGGACCUUGAUAAGGGAAAAAGAAUUUGUUCACUAACAACAAAUUCACCAUUUUUGAAAAGUAAUGUCUCCAUUCUUCCUCUGCACUGAACAAAUGUACGACGACCUGUUCGGUCUUUCAGUUCUCAGAAAGGAUGAACUCUAAAGAUGAUUAACUUAUUACUUUUGAACGUGAGGGCCGAUCUGAGUGUCAUGUGCAUGCACAUUUAAUAAUCAUUUGUAUGAUUAGACUAUGCACAGCUUCUUUUCUCUUAUGGGCUUUGUUUCUUUGUUUGCAUAUGAUAUAGUUGAUACGGAAGUUUACUCCCUUUUGACCUAUGUGGUACAUUUCAGAGGGAUAGGUUUUUCUGCGUGAAUAUGCCCCAUCUUGAUAUGUAUCUGCAAUUCUGCAUAAACAUCUAUCCGUGUAUGCAAGCGAAUAUAUAUUUGGAGUCUCUCUCUCUCUCUCUCUCUCUCUCUCUCUCUCACUAUGUUAUAUGACUGGGUAUGGAUAUGUUAGGAUCAAAUCAUAUGUAAACUGAUUAAUUUAACAAUUCGAACAAGUCCUUAUGGUCUCACCCACCUCUGGGUAUUAUUUGUUUAUUUUAUUUUAUUUUAUUAACUUAUGCAUGGUAUGUGUCAUUCCAACUUGAUUCACUAUACUAUUUGUGCUAUUAUAAAUAUUGUUGUAAUUUAGACUAACAAUCAUUAGUUCAUGUUCUUGUCAUGGACUGCGACAGAAAAAGAUAAGUGAAUACAACUGCAAUGACUUGUGUUCCUGCUUAAUUUAUGGUUUCCAGUAUACCGUUUCCUUUGACAUCACAUAUGAGAUUAUGUGUAUUGCCUAUUAGAAAUCUGCACAAUGACUUUCUUAAGCUAAAUAUUUUCAGUUGCUCUGGUUCUAGGUCCGAAGAAUGACAACUUCACCGCAUAGGGCAGAUAUACUAUCUUCAUCUCUUGAGGCUUUUAGGAAGAUUCAACAAGAGCGAGCUAGCAUGCAAUCAAGUAAUAAAACAGAAAAUUCCAUGUCUAAAUGUUUUGCUUCUGAAUCUGUGAGCAAUAUGAAAGCAUCUAGGGUCAGUGAUGGAACACACAAUGCCAACGAUCCAAUAGCAAUGUCAAGAAAUCAUAUUGCAUCUUCUGAUGCUAACCAAGUCAAUCUGAAUGGAAAAGAAUAUAAUAUCGAAGGGGAAAAAUCCUGUGAAGAAAUCACGAUUCAAAGUGGAUGCGACACACCAGGAAGCAUAUUAACCUCAGAAGUUAAUUUAUCAAAAUUAUCCAAGGGUAAAAGAGUUCACCUUGGAUCUGGAGCUGACAAGCUGCAUUCGAAGAAAGAUAGAGCACCAACCGAAAUUAUUAAUGAGAAGAACCCUAGAUCCGCCGAUAACCUUCGGAGGCAAAUGCCGUUGUCUGAAAAGGACAAGGAAAAGAGGAGUACUGCACCGGGAAAGUCCUUGAAUGCUUGGAAGGAGAAGAGGAACUGGGAGGACAUACUUUCAUCUCCAUUUCGUGUUUCUUCCCGCAUGUCACAUUCACCUAGUCUUAGCAGGAAAAGUGCUGAGCGUGUACGUACGCUGCAUGAUAAACUAAUGUCUCCUGAAAAAAAGAAGAAAACAACUUCUGACUUAAAAAAGGAAGCCGAAGAAAAGCAUGCUCGGGCUAUGAGAAUCAGAAGUGAGUUAGAGAAUGAAAGAGUCCAAAAGCUUCAACGUACGUCUCAAAAAUUAAAUCGUGUCACUGAGUGGCAUGCUGUUCGUCAUAUGAAGUUACGAGAGGGCAUGUAUGCCCGCCAUCAAAGGAGUGAAUCUCGUCAUGAAGCUUUUCUAGCUCAAGUGGCAAAGAGGGCUGGUGAUGAAAGUAGCAAGGUAAAUGAGAUUCGGUUUAUUACUUCCUUAAAUGAAGAAAAUAAAAAAUUGAUAUUGCGUCAAAAACUUCACGAGUCAGAGUUGAGAAGAGCUGAAAAGCUCCAGGUGAUAAAAUCUAAACAAAAGGAAGAUCUGGCAAGGGAAGAAGCUGUUCUGGAACGCCGGAAACUCAUUGAGGCUGAAAAGUUACAGCGUCUUGCUGAGAUACAACGGAAAAAGGAGGAGGCUCAAGUCAGAAGGGAAGAAGAAAGAAAAGCAUCAAGUGCAGCACGGGAGGCAAGGGCAAUUGAGCAGCUUCGAAGAAAGGAAGAAAGAGCCAAAGCACAACAAGAAGAGGCUGAACUUUUGGCACAAAAAUUGGCAGAAAGACUUAAUGAGAGUGAACAACGUCGCAAGAUUUACCUGGAGCAAAUUCGGGAGAGAGCAAAUUUGAGGGACCAGUCGUCUCCUUUACCACGUCGAUCAUUAAAUAAGGAGGGCCAAGGUAGAUCUAUACCGACUAACAGCAGCGAUGAUUCUCAAACAAACAUUGCCUCUGGAAUAGGUUCUAGUCUUGGAAUUGGCAAUAUCGCAUCACAACCCUCAAUAAAGAGAAGAAUUAAGAGAAUUCGACAAAAGCUAAUGGCUUUGAAGUAUGAGUUUGUUGAGCCCCCUCUUGGAUAUAGAGUAGCAGUGGGUGCUGCCAGGGCAAAAGUUGGCCGGUGGCUUCAAGAACUUCAAAGACUUCGGCAAGCAAGAAAAGAAGGGGCCACAAGUAUAGUGCUAAUAAUUUCUGAAAUGAUUAAGGUAUUAUUUUUUCAUUCAUUGGAAAUUAUAUCUCUCUCCUUAUCUCUGUACCUGAAAGUUCUAAAUUGUUAACAGUUGAGAACUUGAGUCAGGUUGUGUUUGUGCAUUGAAUUUUCGUCUCUGCACUUUGAAUUAGGAAUCUUGUGUAAAUUCAUGUAGCACUUCUUGGAGAGAUCUUAUUUAGAUGGUGAAUAACUAUUUGUCUGGAAAAACUACAAAUUUUUGUUUUUGUGUUAGUUUCUGGUUAUUCCUGAGUUUUGCUAUGGAUUUUUCUCCUUGAAACUUGAAUAUGUCUUUGUGUUGUUUAGUAAGAAUUUAUAGAUCAAUAAAUUAUUUGGACAACUGUCCCACCAACUCCUUGUUUCUGACUACUAGAUUCCAAUUUCGUAGGACAUAUCUACAGUUUAAAUGUGCACGUUGCCUCUUCAUACUGUGGAAUUUAGAGAUUAUAAUAUUUUUUAAUUGCUAUAGUUAAUUAUAACAUGUCAGUUAUAUUGAUUACUAUUUCUAGUAUUUGGAGGGAAAGGAUCCUGAGUUGCAAGCAUCUCGACAAGCUGGACUACUUGAUUUUAUUGCUUCUGCCCUGCCCGCUUCGCACACAUCAAAACCUGAAGCAUGCCAAGUUACAUUGCAUCUGUUAAAACUUCUGAGAGUUGUACUAUCUGCACCUGCAAAUAGGAGUUAUUUCAUUGCACAGAAUCUUCUGCCCCCAAUCAUCCCGAUGCUUUCAGCAGCUCUUGAGAAUUACAUAAAGAUUGUAGCAUCUUUAAGUAUUCCUGGCAACAUCAGUCUGCCCUCAACUAAAGCAUCAGCAGAGAACUUUGAAUCAAUUUCUGAAAUAUUAAAUAAUUUUUUGUGGACUGUCACUGCUAUUUUUGGCCAUAUUAGCUCAGAAGCAAGACAACUUCAAAUGCGUGAUGGCUUGCUGGAGUUAUUGAUUUCAUAUCAAGUGAUUCACCGGUUGAGAGAUCUUUUUGCACUUCAUGAUAGGCCUCAGAUGGAAGGGUCAGCAUUUCCUGCCCCUAUUCUCUUUAGCAUACAUCUUUUGAUGGUUUUGACUUUCAGACCUGGUAAGUUGAGUUAUAUUGACUGGGAAUCUUCUCCAAUGGCAACGAAGCAGGAAAUUGGCAAUGAAGGGGUUAAGUUUGCAAAUUCUGUACUCUCUGUAGUGAAGAAUUCCUGGGGAGAUUUCAAUCACUUAUCGGUGAUCAAUAGCGGCUCAGUUAUGCAAUUGCCUGAUGUCCCCGAGGACAGACCACUGAAUGAAAUAAGUAAAGUGAAGAGGAAUGAUGAAUCGAUUGCUAUUGGCAAAGGCUGUGAAUUGGAGCAUGAUUGUUCUGUUACAUUGAAAAGCAAUGAUAUGGAGAAGAUCAUUAAUCCAGAUGAAUCCAAGAAAAACCAGAAUGAGGAUAUUACUACUUCUGUUGUUCCCCUGAGAGAUGAAAAACAUACAGCACAGAAAAAUGAAAAAGAAUCAAUUUUGGCUCAGCCAGUGGUAUUCCUUCUUUCAGCUGUGUCUGAAACAGGACUUGUCAGUCUGCCUUCUCUUUUGACUGCUGUUCUCCUGCAGGCAAACAAUAGAUCAUCCUCUGAACAAGUAAGUUUUCUUCUGUAACGUGUAAAAUGAUUUAUCAUUUACAACAAUAAUAAUAAUUUAUGUUGAAGUCGUUAUUAUGAAAACUCAUUAUAUUUCUGAUAUUUCCAUUAUUCCACAUUUUAUUUUUCAUUUUCUAUUGCAUCUUUGUGAAUAUUGUUGACUAAACAUUUUGGUGCUAAAUAUUCUAGGUGAUGUGGAUCUAUUAUGAAGCAUUUCCAGUCAUUUAUUUGGGAAUUACUCUCUCCUUCCCAAAAUAAUUAUCGCAUUUGAUCAUUUCACACAGAUUAAGAAAAUAUGAUAAAUGAAAGAGAAAGAAGAAUAAUUUUAUCAAACUAUUCUUAUAAACUAUUGAUUCAUUCUAAUUAUUAUAAAUGUAAAGUGAAGGGAUAAUAAAUUGAGAGUGAUGCAUAUGGUAUUACUUAGAGAGUAUGAUUGGUAAAAAGAAAUUAAAGUUGCAUUGGAAACAAAAAACGACAAUUAUUUUGGGACAAUUUUUUCUUGCAAAUGCAACAAUUAUUAAGGGACGGAGGGAGUAGGAUGUAAUAUGGAGUUUCUAUUGAAUUUCAACUUUAGUGGAUCUUGAGCCUUUUUUGAAGAGGGAAAAGUAAUAAAUAGCAUUUUGAGUCUUGGACAAUGUCACGACCCAAAAACCGACACUGUGACUGGCGCAAAGACUAAUACUCCUAAUUUGACAAGCCUAUUGACCAACUUAGCAAUUCAACAAUAAAAUAGUUCUAAAUAUCUCUAUACUUCCAAAAAAUAAUAUUUCUCAAAAUUUCAACGGUAUUCUCUGUAAUUUCAACGUUUCCAAAUAUAAAAAUCCUGUUUCGAACCUUUAAUCCAGUCAAUAUUUCGAAAGAGUAAAUCUAAAGGUUUAAUACAUUCUAAAAUGACUUUCUAGACUUAAAAUAGCUGCAGAAUACUCCAUGACUCAACAGAUACAUAACAAAACGGCCGCCGAUCAAGGAGGUCUACCAAAAAAUGUGACCGAGACCUGAAUCUACUAACAACUUACUACUCAGUUGCCUGUGAAUCUGAAAAAAAAUAAACAACAUGAAGGGGUAAGUCACAAAGACUUAGUGAGGAGACAACAACCCCUACAAACUAGAAGGGAAACACAAAAAGACACGAUUAAUCAUUUUACAAUCUUGUGGCAAUUAUAUUUAACAAUACUACUACCUUAAAUAUAGAUAAUUCUCAAUAAAGUAUACACAUGAUAAUUGAGUAUAAUAUUUUGUUAAGCAGCUACUGUUUGCUGACAGUCCCUGAUUUGUUGUUUGUCCUUAGCUUCUGGUCUCCUCUAUUUUAUUUUUAUACUUUUGUUAUGAUGACACUUAAAGAUUUGCAGUUCCCUGUGUAUUCGUAGUUGGGCAAGUUGAACAUGUAGUAUGUUUUGCUUUUAAGUUGAGGCUGUCUUUAGCCUGAGAACUGAUAUGUUAAAAAUUGAUCUGGCUGCAAAUAUUUGAUACUUUUAAGUUCUUUGUUUAAAUCAUGGUUGAAAUUCUUACUACUUUUUGACUAUCUGGUCAUUAGCAUUUAGCCUGUAGUAUUUAGUUUUUAGGUUAUGUUGUUUUGAACUUCCUUGCCUUCAGAAUCUGAUUUUCCUCAAUUAUCUUGGUCCCUGGAAAUGGAUUAUUGGGGCUAGUGAUAUAUUGAUUGCAUUGUGAACAUAACCUCUGAAUAAUUUCCCGAUAUCAAGUGUUGUUACUAAGCAAAUAUAUUUUCUUUUCUUUUGACAAUUUGGCCAUUUACUAGUUGUUUACAUGUCCAAUUUUUCCUUCAAUUGUAUUGUUCAAUACAUCAUAAAGGAAAAAUACAUGGUUUUCUCCUAGUGUUUCCUGAUUGUUAUAAUAUUAGAAAAUAUCUUAUAAGAUCUUUUAUAUUAUAUUAGAGUAUCUUAAGUUAUUUCUUACGAUCAAUUUAUAAUUAUAGAGAUAUUUUAGAAUAUCUCUCAUUAUUAUUGUGAUUUAUUCCUGAUUUAUGAUUGAGUCUAUGUUUCUCUAUAAAUAGAGAUUAUUAUUGAGUCUUUUGUAAUCAAGUUAGCAUAAAGCUAUUAUUAAUAAUAUUUAAACCCUUAUUAUUUUUUCUCCUCCAUUUCUCUAAAAUCCCACAACUUCAACACUGGUAAUAAUUUCAUUUUCUUCUAGACAUCCUUUAUCCUGCCAUCUAAUUUUGAAGAGGUGGCAACUGGAGUAUUGAAGGUGUUGAAUAACGUGGCUCUACUGGAUCUUGCAUUUUUGCAGCGAAUGCUGGUAAGUUGACUGAUUCAACUUACAAUAAUAAUGAUAAUCAAUAUUUAAAGCAGCUAAAUGCUAAGCUAAAGAAGGCUUAGAUUAUGUUAUUCUCUCCCCUGGUGCUGCUGGUUCUUGCUGACAUUUCCCUAUGUUCCUUUUCCUGUUUUGCUCAUAGGCUAUGCCAGAUCUGAAAAUGGAAAUUUUCCAUUUGAUGAGCUUCCUUCUUUCCCAUUGUGCCACCAGGUGGAAAGCUCCUAAUGAUCAGGUAAAUCACCGACGAAAAUCAUUAGUACUUUUUAUUGAUGAAAGACUUGACUUAACUUGGCCUUCGUAACCCUGGCUUGCCUAACUCUAGAACCUUAUAAAAUGAAAUUUCUUCAAUCGAGUAUUUAGUGUUGGUGGAUGGUAAACAUAGGCAGGGUUACUUAUUUUGUAGUCAUGGUGUUCCACGAGGCUCCCCAAACUAAAAUGGUAAAUCAUACUGAACUCUAGAGAGUUGAUAAUAUUAAAUCAAUAACCUCUAUUUUCUGAAAUUACAGCCACCUCCUUUGCUUAAAAGUUUCACAGAUUAACACCUUACAUUAAUCUUCAUGCUGUGUAUUAGUAUUUAGAUGUCUUCAGUUAAUGUGUCAUGGGAGCACAUAACUACAGUUACUUUAAUGCCACAAUCUGCAUUGAUACUCAGGUUGGUUCACUUAUGCUUGAAUCACUAUCACUUCUUGGUCACUUUGCAUUAUUUCAUCCUGGAAAUCAAGCUGUCCUUCGAUGGGCAAAGAGUCCCACUCCCACCAUCCUCCACAAGGUCAACAUUUAAGAAGAUUUGUUUUUUUGUUUUUUUUUAAUCAAUUUUUGUUUUAGAUAAUCUAAUGUUCAGUUGUAAGAAGACAGGUAUGCGAUCUGCCAUUUGUUUUCUUCAGUGACCCAGAGUUGAUGCCAAUCUUGGCUGGCACAUUAGUUGCUGCAUGCUAUGGGUGCGAGCAGAACAAGUUCAUGGUUCAGCAAGAACUAAGUGUUGACAUGCUACUUUCCUUGCUAAGAUCUUGCAGAAAUGCUGCACCUACCACUCAGCUUAAUUUUAACUUAGACAAUUGCCCAAUAGAUGAAUCUAGUGGGAGUAACCAACCAGGUACUGAAUUUAGAAAACCACAGGUGGACGUUCCCAUGAAACACGGCCGUUCCAAUGGCAAAGGAACCAGGGCUUCCUUGGGAAAGAGGGGUACUUUGGGAAAUGGAGAAGCCUGCGGGACAGCAAGGCAACUAAGAAUUCGGACGAAGCAGUUCUUAAGUACAAACAACUUAGUUCAGAGACGUCACAUUCAAUGUUGCACUGUAGAUUUCCUCACAGUUUUCUUGACCGAGUAGAGCAGUUCUUUUCAGCUGAUAUUGCCAACGGGGUUGAUGAAGUCUGAUUAAGCUAUGUGAACUCAUUUUUGACUAUCCAAUGAUCUUCAAGCAUGCCUAUACUGCAAAUGAACAUACAAAAAGCUGAAAAGGCUCUUACAACAUAAAACUAUCCGAGUAAUAUAUACCACACAGUAAGGGUUUAACAUUUUUGUAAUAUAUAUGUAAAUAUUAAUGGAAAAGUGGCCGGUUAACUAAUCAUAACAAAGUGGUAUGGAGUUGUCAUAACUCUAGGUACCAAUUUCACAUAUGGGCUUCAAUCUUUAUACGGUGGUGAAUGAUCAAUCUUUACACGGUAAAUUCACAAUUUAUUUUUCUAGAUUCAUUAGUUGAUAUAAAACAAUUGCAAUAUUGUAGUCUUUUUUUUUUUUUUUAAUGAGAAAAUAUUGUAGUUUUUUACGGCAUAGCUAGAUUGCUUGUUUGCAAGUGACUAGAUUUAUUUAUUCACUAGAUACCUUAAUUUUAAUUGAUUUAUUGUAUAAGAAACAAAUUAAUCAUCAUUUAGUUAAUGAAUCAAGUCUUCUAUUCCUUCACUUCCAUUUUGCAUAUUAUCUCCAUGUUCUGUAUACCCUGCAGUAGUAGCAGGAUAUCAAAAGGUGAAGGGUUGGCAAACAUUUCCGUUUUGAUAAAAAAUAAUAAUAUAUGUAUUCUAUCUCUGUAGUUGAUCCUCUUAGAAUAGAGAAUCCUAUUCUUUUAUUUUUUGUUAUUUUUAUUCAUUUUUUGUAGUAUCAAUUCAAGUGAUGUACUGUUUUUUUAUUAGUUUCAAGAGCAAAAUCGCGAAGCAAAUGCUUCAUUUUCGUAGGCAUGAUACUGCUUGUGACAUACUGAGAAUGUCACUUGACUUGAUUAUGUGUAACUCAAUUCACGUGUCCCACUCAUAUCUGGAUUAUUACUACUAACGUAUUCACUUUGAGAGUGACACAUUAUAUGAUCUUUAUUUUUCUUCUCAAGAUUAUGUACAUAUACAGUGCAUAAUUCAUAUACUUGUCAGCGUGCAAAGUUGUGGCACUUGUUAAAUUCUUGUUAAUGCAAAAUUAGUAAAUAGUAACUGUUAGUUAGAUACUUGUUAAUGCAAAAUCUGUUGGUGAUAUCAUAGGAAUUACCCUUAUCCGGAUAAUUAAAGGAAAAACUCUAUAUCAGUAAAGACUAAUAAUACAUUACAUUAAGAUCAUAUCAUUCACCAAAUCUCAAGGACACCCGAAGAAACAGUUAAAAUCACAGGAAAUAACACUAACAAUCCAAACUUAAACAAAUCCAAGCAACAAACGGAUGCAAUUUCAGAAAGGUCAAAGCUUAGAACCAAAGUAUCUUCUUUCAGAACGACUUCAGUUCUUCCUUCUUGUCUCAUCCACAAUUUUCAAUAUAUACAAUAACACAGAUAAUAUAGGGUUGACAGUUUUCAGUAACACUCAACAAACUGUGCUCACUUCUGCGGGUGUGGCCUCUCUAGGAGAAUCAAGAGAUAUGACAGUUUCAAAUGCACCAACUAGAGCCUUGACCUUGCUCUUCCUUAGUUCAGCAAGCAUGCUUGCUGUCUCUUCAAUCACAUUAUUAUACAAACGUGGAUUUUGUUUCUUCCCUUCCACUUUUUGAUGCCUCAAAACAACUUUCUCUGAUCCUGAUUUUGAACCACCUACCUUGCUUCUAUCUACACCAACUUUUCUCCCAAAACUUCUGUUUUUACCUCUUUCCAAAGUUUGGUAUUUGAGAUCAACUUUAUCAGUUUUGGUAUGUGCAUCAUUUAGCUCACCACCAUCAACUUCUUUAUUGGUAAUGGUCCUUUUUCUUGUGCUAUAUACAUCUCUCUUGAUGUCGUCACCGAGCAGGCGUACUGGUCUAAAUUUGAGUCUCCUUGGAAUGUUGUUGCUUUGAGGCUGAAUUUCAAUCACCUUUCCUCUCCUAAAAGUUAAUUUCCUAGGUGGAGUAACUUUACUUGCCGCCCCAACUAUUUUGGUCAUCUUUGGCCUGAUUUUGUACCCUACCUUCACAUUUUCACCCUGAUUACCAUGUCCUGCUCUAUUGGGCUUGUAAGUAGUAGUACCGUUUUGUUUUCUGAGAGAAAAGUUAGAUGAGGAAACAGAUGAUAACGCUGAUGAUGAUCGUGAAACACUACGCGCUUUAUGCUGUAUGUUUGUCUUGAAUUUUUUCCCUGAAGAUUGACGAGAGAGUGUCACAGAUACAGUUCCAUUUCCAGCAUGUCUAAGACCCUUCCUUGAAGAUGCAGUAGACACACCAGACUUGCCAAUCCUCUUCAAACUUUUGUCCCCUGAUGAUGAUGAUGAUGAUGAUGGUGAAGGUGAAGGUGGCUUAGUUGCAUCACAAGCAAAAGUAGAUUCUUCAGGUAAAUUUUCUGAGGCAGGUUCAAUGACAUGCAAAAUUUUGUCUGGUAAAUUGUCAUUGUUGGCUGGUUCAGGUAUUACUUCUUCACCUUUGUCGUGAUUUUUCAGAGAAGACACUCUUAUCAAGCUUUUGGCAGUAUCACUUGAGCUUGAAAUUUUCUUGGCAUUUUGUUUUGAUGACAAGAGAAAACUUGGUGCUAAUGAUUUAUCAAUGCCUCCACAAGAAGAUGUUCUUUUCAGGUUGCUUGUGCUUGAAGUUUCUUUUCUACUGCUUGAUCCAAAAGCACAUUUGUUUUUUACUAAUUCCCAUUUUGUUUGACUUUUGGAACGUUCCUUCACAUGUAGAGAUAGAGAAGAUGGCUUAGAACUUGAUUUCCCUGUGUCACUUUUAUUAUAUUCCAUGGAGACAUCUGUUUCUUCAAAAGGCCGUGAGUUUUUCUCUGAAGUGGCUGUUUUUUCUCCUGAAUCAUUGAUUUUUCUUUCUCUCCUUUUCUGUGUUGUGAUCCAUGGUUUUACUUCAGUGGCAUGUUGAAUACCAAAUUUGCAUAAAUCAUGGCAGGAAUUCCUACGUUCACGAAGAUAACGCGAAAGAAUCUUAGGCGGACCUUUUGUGAUGACUAAUCCUUCAUUAGGAUUUGCUUUCUUAUCAACAUCUUCAGGCUCAAUUUUGUCUGACUCCAUCUGGUUAACACUAAUUUCCUCGGCCAUCAAUGAUCAAGGAUGAAGCAACAGUUUGAAAGACCCCUGCAAGAGAUAAGAAUCCUUUCAGAUAUAUAAAGCAAGGUGGAGGGAAAAGAGUAAUGCAAGUUAAAAUAACAUGAGGUGUUUUACAGCUUUUUUUGGGAAUCUAGAAUUCAUUAGAAUGGUGCAAAAAUUCUAAUUUCAAAACAUGAGUUAGAGAUGUGGUAACACUAUUUGUUUAGUGACAUGAGUGUGCUUGAAUUUCGGUUUGAAAUGACUCUAACAUUUGAGUCAAUCCAUCUCUCUUGAUGGAUUGACUCACAUGUAUGUCUGAACCUUCUAAACUGAAAUCCAAACAUGCACAAUAAUGUUUCAAAUAUGAGAAUUAAAAAUUAGAUCAUGGUCCAAAUUUCAUGUCUAAUCUCGCAUAAAAAUUGGAUCCUUUCAUUAAGCACCACUAGGAACUUAAUAAUGAAAACCACAGGAAAAAGACUUGCAUGAAGGGAUACUAGCCAGGUAACAUGUAGAAUGAAUGGAUAUGAUUAAAAUCUUUGCAUUACAACUAACUAUACACAUACAUUUUGUAGCACGUAAACAGACUGAAAAGUGUGUAAUAAUAAUUUUCUAUCAACAUAUAUUUUAUAUAAACUCUUUAGUAUCUUGGUCUAAUAAAUUACCAGAUGUUAGUAAAAUUUGUGUGGUAUUGAGAUUGAAUGGAUUUAUGAAACGACAUAUUAAAUUGACAACUUUAAUUAGGGCUUUCACCAAUAUUACCACAUAGACAAUAACCUUAAACAUGGUACAUCUAUUAGAAAAGAAUAGAACAUAUAAUUAUGUGUUUUGCUAUAAUUUUGGUGCACCUUAAAGAAAAAAUCAAACAGGGCAUAAUGAGACUUAAAAAAAGUUGUAUAAUAAAAUAAUGGAAAAAGCAGAUCCAUACAUCACGAACUUAUUCAGAUUAAUUUCAGACAAAAAACUCAUCAUAACAACAGAACAUUACAGAAAAAAAUAAAUCUAUUGACUACAGAGACCCAUUAAAGGUAUGAUCUGAGGAGAUGAGAGAAUAAUCCCUUGAAAGUUGAAACGAUCCUAUGCAGACAUUCAAGAUCAUGAUCAUCAUGACACAUCAUCCUUAAUAAAAAGAAAUAAGAUCCUCCUAUAUAUGAUGUUUAAUUAGAAGUGAAUUGAAAAUGCAUGCAUGCAUGAGCAUGAAGAUUGAAUUAGAGUAAUGAAUAUAUAGAUACCUUGUUUUGUUAUUUGUUGUUAAAAGGAAAGAAAGAAGGGUGGAAGAUGGAAUAGUUGUGGAUGAAAACUCAAAAGGGUUGAGAGUUGAGGUGGUAACUAGCUAGCUAGCGUUUCAAAAUGAAGAAAACAGCUAAGCAAUGAAUGCGCGUUUGUUGAGAAAAAAGUAAUAACCUUCCAGAGAGAGAGAGAGAGAGAGAGAAAGAAAGAGAUGGUGAUGAAGAUGGAAUAACAGUCUGUCUGUCUAUCUGUUACCAUGCAAAAUAUGAUAAUUACAAUGGACCGGAGGAAGAUGGCACGUCAACAUAUCCUUUUUCUUUUCUUUUCUUUUCCUAUCUCCUUUUUUACAACCUGUUUUUUAUAUCUCUCUCUCUCUAUAUAUAUAUAUGUGCAUUACAUUGCAUAUUCUAAUGUAAAAUAAACAUUAUUCUUACAUAAUUUUAUGUUCUAACGUCGUUUUGAAAAUAUAUGAUUGUAAAAUGCUAAAUUUCACUAAAUAUAACUAUAAAACUAAUUUAUAAUAAAAACUCCAAAGAUUAGGAUGUACAGCCACCUCCUUUCAUCGUCUUUUAUUUUGUAUUUUUCUUCUUUUCUUUUUUUAAGAUGGUUUGCUUUCAAGUCAAUUUUUGAUUCGAAAUUACUUAAGUAAAUCAUUUUUUUGUCUCUUUUAUUUACAUAAAUUAUUUUUAUAUAUUUAUUUAAUUUUUUUUCCGUAUUUUUUUAUGAUUUCUUCAAUUUAGUACGAUGUUGUUAUUGUUCGUCGUCUCAUUUUGAUGCAGUGUUGUUUUGAUUUCUCGUCUUGUUAUUGUAUUUAUUUGAUUUAAAUUGACGUAUCAAUUUCAACCCAUUGUAAAUUCAAUAAUAACUUUGGUGUUUUUAAAUUUGUCAUAUUUAUAAGCAUUUUUCGUUUUAUACCGUUAGUUCGAGAUAGUGAAGAUGUUCACAACUUCAUUCUUUUCAAUUUUAGCGACGUGGAAUUGUAUUGUUAAUGUAAUUUAUAUCAAUUUUAAUGAAUGAUUGUUAUUUUAUAGAAAGAAAAAAUCUAAAUUAUAUUGACAACAUAUGUUCCUUUUCUCUAGUAUUUAUAAAUUGAAAAAUUAAAUAUCAGAAGAUAUAAAAAUUGAUAUAUUUAAUCUAAAUUUAAAAUAUAUAUGUCAAAUUUUCAAAUAUAUUUUUUCCUCUUAUACGAGAUUGUAUGGGACUAUAUCUUCCACCACAUUUACUUUCUCCAAUUUUAUCAUCGUCUUCCUUUUAUUUAUUCAUUUUUCAAGUUAUUGACAUUUUAUUAUAUCAAAUCAAACCAAAACUCAGCAGAUAUUAUUCACUUGGUUGGACAAAUUGAUUUUGUGAAAGAAAGCUCAAUUCCUGUAGGACACAUGCAUUUUUAAAGUCAAAUAGCCUAAUAAUGUAACCAAAAUUAGGUUUUGCCAUUAUUUGACUUGAGAUUGAAGAAAACAGUUUUCUUCUCGUAUAUUAAUUAAAAUUAAAGAGUUCACUUUUAUUUUUUGAAUUCACCAAAUUCAAACUAUUCAUUGAUCAUCGACUCAUUUCGAUUCAUUUUUGUAGCUAAAGUUAGCUUUAGAUAUUGAGCUUCAUGUUAUGAUAGACCGUCAUUAUGUUUUGAACAGAUAAUUUAAUGUAAUGGUCUUAAAUAAUUUAAAAAAGUUUUGCGUGAUCCUAUUAUUGACCGCAAUAGUAUGUAAGAAUAAAUAGAUUAUGGUAUGAACGCGUAAUUUAAUGUAAUGGGCUUAAAUAAUUUAAGAAAACAGGGACUAUGCACAGUUCAUAUGUAGUUGUAUAUCGGAGUAAAGUUGUUUCCACCGAUAAUAUAUACUGUUAAACUUAUAAUCUAAAAUAGAAUUUCCUGCUCAACUAUAGUUAUCGAGAUUGAACGGUUUAGAUUUUAAUUUACAGUAUUUAUGAUUAAUAGAACAGCAAGUUCCAGUUAUAUUAUUUUUUAUUAAUAUACAUUGAUCACUUCAAUUAUUUUUUUGGAAUAAGAGCACUUAAAUUCCAUCUCCUACAUUAGAGGAUAUAGAAAAAAAUUCACUCCCAAGAAACAACCAGGAUAUGCAGUAGACUUAUUUUUUCUAUCCUUCAGUCACUAUACUCAAAUGAUCAUAUAUAUAUAUAUAUGAAGACAUUUACAAAUCAUCCUACACUUCAUAAAAAUCUGAUCCAAUAUCAAUUAACAUAGUCUUAGAAUUAGUUAUAUACUCAACUAAAAAUAAUAAACCGGGGAUUAGUGAUUCGAAAUCUUCGUCCCCUUCGCUUUUUACAUGUCUUUCCCCAACUUAUUAAGCCCUUUUUAGUGAUACUAGUUAGCUGUUUCAAGUUCAACAAGUCUGUGUCUGUAGUGUUAGAAGUUGUUGAAGUACAAGAUCUUCUUCUCCCCCUACUUAGUACUUUUCUACUUGCAUUUCUUUGAGAACUUGUCUCUGAAUGAGUUACAAGGCUUUCAAUAGUUUGAAGAUCCUCAGCCACCUCGUACCUUGACAAAGAAGCAAGGCUUGGGAGGAUUUCACUCUGAAAAUCCUUUCGCCACCUUCCCUUAUUUGUCCGGGCACGCUUCUUUGGUUGAGUUGGUGAAGCUGAUCCACUAAUUUGCUUGGUUUGGCUUAUACUCUUGCAGCAGCAAUCUAGGUCCUUUGUCUCGGUUAAAUUUAAGGUCAUGAACUCAAAGUAAUCCAUUUCGCCAAAAAGAAACUCCUCGAGAUCAUUUACCUUACCUUUGAAAUCUGUCUUGUUAUCGUUCUCUGGAUUAUCCACUGUUGUGGAAACAAUUCCAGCAAACCAGUGUAGAGGACUAUUCAUGAAAGAUUCAGACGAUGAACAAGUUGUCAUUUGGAUAUCUUUCUGGGACACAAAUCCUGAUAUGGAAACCAAAGCCUCUGCUGCAAUUCUGGUUUGCUCUUGUUCUGCAAAUUGAAAGGGUGUCACGAGCUGGUUUUCAUCGGAUUCUCCUCUAGGUGGAGAGCAUUCCUUGUUCUCUGGACUCGCGGGUGCAUGAAAAUCAACAUCAAUUGGCAUAUUCUCAUCCUCAAUCAUGCUUGAAUUUAGGUCAAUAAUAUCUGCCAAAUGUUCAUGCUUCUUCUCAUUUUUAAUCAAAUGCUCACUGGAGGGAAUCUGUUCCCUUAAGUCAGACACAUCAAUACAAGGUGACUUUACAUCAGAAAUGAAGCCUUUUUCAAUUUCUUCAAUCCUUUGAUUUUCGGGUUGGUUUUGGAAAAAAGAAUGCAGAUUGGAUGACAUGUGCGGCUUUCCGUUGCUCUGAAGUGCAAGAGUCUUCUCUGUACCCAAGUUACUUUCCUCAAUCUUCCUUAAUUUCAAACCAUGUAUAACUCCUUUAUUAUUAGGAUUUAAAACAACAGAUUCAAUUUGUGUUGAGAUUUUACUUUCUUCACUGAGUUUUCCUUUGACUGCAGGUAAUUCUUUAAGGCAAGGUAACUCCAUUGCCCCAACCAAACCAUUACUUGUCAGAGAUUGAGUUCGUGCAAAGCUCUCACUGCCAAAAAAUUUUCUCUCUGUACAAAGUCUUUGGUCAAUUUGAUGAGAUGAAUGAAAAAAUGGAAGGUCAUCAAAUUGAUUCAUAUUCUUUCUUAAUGAAUCAACUGUAACAUAUUGCUUUUCUGUAUGAAUACUUUUAGCAAAAGAAUCCAACAAACCACCACAUAGCUCUGAAAAGUAAAUGAUAAAUUGUAACACCCAAGUUAUAACCAUGUAUAUGAACUGAGAAUGCUUAGCAGUUGACAAAUCUGAAAAUAAAGAGUAUGUAUAAUAAUAUUAAUAACUUUAAUACUAUUACCUGAGGGUUUCCAUUCACAUUUCUUCCCAUUGUUUGGAAGUUUGUUAUGUGAGCAUCCUUCAAGAUCAAGUCUUUUGUUGAUGGCAUCAUUGUGCAAAUUUUGAGAUCCAAAUUUUGUUCUCAUUGACAGAUCAUUACAACAAUUGUUCAUAUGAUGUGUAGGGGCUUCGAUAUCAUAAGACUUAGCAGUUGUCUCUACUUCAGGGUUAAAUGGUACAUUUAAGUCAAGCUUAUAUGGUACACUUAAGUUGGAAAAACCCCUAGAAUGAUUUCCGUGUGUUUUGUCAUGACUGUUGUACAAAACCCGAGAAACUCCAUUUAAAGAAUAAGCUGAAUUCCGGGGAACUCUAGUAACCCUUUCACUAUCUUCACCUUCAUCACUAUCAAUGUACUCAUCAGCAGNNNNNNNNNNNNNNNNNNNNNNNNNNNNNNNNNNNNNNNNNNNNNNNNNNNNNNNNNNNNNNNNNNNNNNNNNNNNNNNNNNNNNNNNNNNNNNNNNNNNNNNNNNNNNNNNNNNNNNNNNNNNNNNNNNNNNNNNNNNNNNNNNNNNNNNNNNNNNNNUAUUUUUUUACCUAUUUUUCUGCACUUGAAUUUUGUUAGUUUAUUCUCUUUUAAAGAUUCUUCAGUUACAGUUAAAGCAUGCAGAGGACAAAUUUGCCUGCUUUUUUCUUGAGCAAAGGCUAGUGGCAAUUGGAUGCUUUCAGCAAAUAAAACAGGUGAUUGAGAGGUUGACCAGGGCAGGUUCGGCAAACAACAUAUCUUUUCGGAGUUUUUAGAUGUCAAAGCUGAACUAGACCACAAUGCCUCCAAUCUUACAUUUUGUUUAUGUAAUUCACUUCUUUGGAUUUCAUCCAUCAAUUCCCUCUGUUUGUGGUAAACGCGGUGGAGCUCACGAAUCUGAAGAACAAUGUACAAUUUAGAGACAUAAAAAAUAUGAACAGAAUUUGAUAACUAUUCACGAAUAACGGAGUGUCACAUCGUCAGAACCAACAAACAACUAUAAGCAAGGAAUUAAGAAUGGUAGUAAAAUGAGUUUUGAUAAUUAAUUCUUAAAUUUAUUUAGAUUGAAUUGAAUAAGGUUAUUCCUUCGGCCAAAGUUGGAAACUAAAGCAAUGAUUAUACUAUAAAUUUAUUUUUAUUGAACUGAAUAAGAUUAUUAUGAAUAAGCUUUGCUCCUUGCUUUUUCAUUCAUAGUAUAAUCAUUGCUUUAAUUUAUAUAAUAAUAUUGAGGGUCUUUCUCUUCUACUUUCCAUUUCAUGACUUUGCGACACUCAUCAGUAUAUUCCAACUCAAAAUUCACAUUUUGCAUUUCUUCUCGGUGCAUCAUAUCAUAGAGCAUAGUCUUCAAUAACUUCAAUGCCAACAACCAGAAUAUCAUAAAACAUUUUAAUUCUCAUUUCUAAUAAAAAAAAAAACUAGAAUACAAAGGCUUAAGUAAGUUACACCAUAAGUCAUACUUUUCAACAAAAACACAAAAAAAAAAAAACAUUUUUUUGACAAAAAUGAACAGACAGAAAACAGAGGAAAAUCUAACCCUAAGAAUAGAAAUCAUGAAAUUAACAUACUUGGUCCUUAAAUAUGGCUUCAUGUCUGAGUAUUGUCUGUUUUACAAGCUCCUGGUUGUAGCCUAAAAGGGUACAAGGUGAUGUUAAUGGGAAGGGACCCAUCAUAUUGUAGCAAUCGGUCCUUAGUUCAUUAUUAACAUUAGAUAAGGUCCAUGUGCUUCCUUCAGAAUUAAACAUGACCUCCUUUGUUGAAUAGUAUCUUGAAAAAUUUCCAUUACAUUGCACAUUUGUUCCCAAUAAUGCCAUAAAUAAUAAUGUAGGAGGUUUGAAUCAAACAAUAUAUAGCAUGGUACCCUUAACUUCAAAGGAAGCCUGCAUCCAAACCAAAAAAUGUUUACUUUUUAAUGUAUAUUCAAAAAAGAAGUACACUAAAAAGAAGCAACCUAUUUAAUUUUAACUUUUAGGGUUUUUAUUGGAAAUAAAAGAACAGUUAAUAAUAGCAUACCAAGAAAAAUAGAAUUGCUAGGUUGAAUUAGAUGGUUCUUUUGUCAUGAAGACAGGAUCAACUUCAACCUACAAUUAAAUUAACAAAUAAAAUUAGCAAAUACAUCAAAAAUUAUUGUUAAUGAUAUGACUUCAUGAAAAUCAAGUACUGUCCAAAUAAACUGCAAUUUGAAGGAUGAUUAUUAGCUGGGAUAUAUCCAAAAUAUAUCAAGUACACCAACAAGAGUAUCUAAAUAAGGAAUGCAUAUUAUUGCAUACCUAAAACAUAAUUAACUCCAAAUUAAUUAAUGCUGGAAGAGUUUAUAAGAGUUGAGGUAACCACAGCAUAAAAUUGAAGCAAUGAAAAAGAAGAGCAAAAAGCUAUCAAAGUGAAACAGUAUCAAAUCACAUCCAUUAGGAUAAUGAAUCUAGAGAAAGAAGAAGAAGGAGAAAAAAAGUAUAAGCCAGUAUUUAGUCUCAAAACAUUGAGUAAAAAAAAAGUCUGAAAAAAUAAGAAAAUGAUUUAAAUAAAAAUCAUUUGACAUGUUUCAAUAACGUAAUUGAAGUAGAAAAACAAAGAAAGAAAAGUAAAAAACAUUAGAAACCAAAAGCAUCCUUAUAGAGUGGUAAGGAAUAAAAAGCUCAACCACAAAAAAAUAUCACUUGGGUGAACAAAAAAGUGCAUUAGAGAGAGAGUAAAAAAACAAGCAAGGAAUCAAACGGAAAAAUGAAUAAGAAGCUCACAUUGAGAGAAGAAAGAAAAGCAGAAGAAGAAAAAGGAAGGCAAAAAUGUAGAACCAAAAAAGGAGAGAGCCAAGAAGAGCACGGAAAUCAAAAAGUGAUUUUUAUGUUGUGGGAAGAAGAAUGAAAAGCAGAUAAAAUGGGGAUUUGGAUCUGCAGUGAUGGGCCAUUCUCUGAAUGAAGAUUUCAGAGAGAGAAAAAUUAAUGAAAAUAAACGAAACUUAGAUGAGAAGGGAAAUCACAUUAAAUCAAAGUGGUCAACAUCAUCAUUUCUUUCUUCUCUUUAUUUAUUACCAAAUUCUAAGCUCAACAAGUUUAUAUUCAACUAAUGCUUAAAACUUGUUGAAAUUACACAACAACUAUAAGAUAAAGGUUUAUGUGUACUUUUCUCAUAUAUUUUCUUCUUCUUUUGACAAACAUUUUCGUAUUUCUUUAUACUUAUAUCGAUUUAUAGAAUACAAGAAAACUAUUUUAAUGACUGUCAUGGAUUUUUUUAGAUGACUUUUAACUAGUCUUCUACCAUAGACCAUAUAUAAAAGUGCUACACCAUAUUCACUAUUUUAUUUAUAUUAUAUUUUUUUAAAGUUGUGUUAAAAAAUAUAUAUUAAAAAUUAUGGUAUUUAUUAAAGUUGACUAAAUUAAAAAUUUUAAUAUAUAAAUAUAUAUUAUUCAUUGAUAAUUUAACUUUGAUAAUAUUAAAUUUUCAAUUUACCUUGUAAGUCUCAAAUAUAUGCAUGUCCUCUUGAUCACAAUUUACACGCUUUCUCUCGUUCAAUAAAAAUAAUUAUAAUAAAACAGGUUAGGAAACUAUUGAAUUGAAAUUUAUUUUCAAGACUGAGAAGAAGAACUCGAAAAUCAAAAUCAGACAACAGUACUUCACUGUCUACACCUUUGGUUGAUGCAACAAGAAGAAUCAUAAAACAAAUCUUAUAAACUACCUUGAUUUUUCCAAUUUAUUUAUUUUUUAAUUGAGUUUGUUGCGUUCCUUGGCUGCUUUAUUAUUUAAUUGAUAUGUUUGUAUGUUCACAGGUCAGCUGUGGGACCCCACCCUAUUUAUUUAUGAAAUUUGAAGCAUCUCCCUACCUCUCCUCUCGCAUGUAUAUUUCAUGGGGUAGCUUUUAGCAUGUACCUAUUGGCUAUGUUUAGAUGGAUUUAUAUGAACUCAUUGAAAAAUAAGCAAUUUAUAUAUUGGUAAAUAAAAUGACGAGGAGUCUUAAAAGUUGAGGAUGAACUUUGGUUUGAAAAUAUAUAUCCACAAAAAAUUGGUUCCGUUUCCAUAAUUUCACUUUGUAUAUCAACAGUACUGGCAUGGAUAUUUAAAUGUGGUUAAGAAUAUCACCAUCUAGAUAGCUUGACAAAUCACCAAGGUAUCUCUAUCUUUGAUACCUGCAUUUGUCGUAUAUGAAUGCAAUUGAAGUUAUUACGAGCUGUGUUGAAAUCAAAUAAUAAUAAUAAUAAUAAUAAUAAUAAUAAUAAUAAUAAUAAUAAUAAUAAUAAUAAUAAUAAUAAUAAGUUGAAAACAGAAAGCUGUAUUUUUAUUAUUUAAGAGAGGAACUCAAAAAACUCUUAAACAUAAGUUGGAAAAUGAUCAUAUGUAUUAUUUUUAUUGUCUCACAAUGAAUGAUACACUUAUUUAUUUAACACACAAAUUAAUUAGAUAUUACAAUUAAAAAAAUAAAAUAAUUAGAGAGUAAAACUGAUUUUAUUUUUUUAAUAUUACAACUAAAAUUGACACUUAUUUUUAGAUAUUAUUUUUGCAAAUAUUACAACUAAAAUUGACAUUCAUUAAAUUAUUUAAAGAGCAAAUAAUACAUUAUUACAAUCAUAUUUUAGUUUUUAUUAAAAUUAAAUAAAUUAUAUAUAUAUAUAUAUAUAUAUAUAUAUAUAUAUAAUAUUAAAGAGAGAGGGGAGUCUGAACCAUAUCCCUUCAAGAAUCUAUGAUUAUUUAAUCUAUAAAUUGAAAUUUUAUAAAGACUACAAUUAUAUUUUUAUUUUUUAAUAAUAGUCAUUUUGCUAAUAUAUUACUAGGAAAUUCAAAAAAGUACAAAUUUGUAUUGAAUUCUUUUUUUACUUUUUAAAAGUUAAAUACACCACUUCUAAAACCUAAUUUCUACAUUUAGUAAGACAUGUUUUUAGUGAUUUUUUUUACAAACGUGUUUUUUAAUGCACUUCUUAUUAUAAUAUCCAAUUCUCAACGCAACUCAAUUUAUUUUUAACAAAACACUGUUUUAAUUUGAUUUUUUGGCAUAUUAUCUUCUACUACAUAUUGUUAAUAUGGAAGUAAUUAAUUAUUCCAUGCACUCCCUCUUUUGUUCUUGGGAAUAAAUAGUUUGAUCUUUUUUACUGUCUUGCUAACGAGGGCUUAAUGAUAUAAAAGAAAAGUUUAUCUUAAAAAUAUUAGAUAAUAUUUAUCAAUAUCAUAAAUACACAAUUUGAUUACUUUUCAGUCUUUUAAUUUAUUUAAAGAUUAAUUUGGUCUUUUAAUUCUAAAAUAGUUUAAUUUAGUUCUCUAUUUUAUGUAUAUAAAUAUAAAUCGACUAAUUUCUAAUUUAUUUAAAGGUUAAUUUGGUCUUUUAAUUCUAAAAUAGUUUAAUUUAAUUCUCUAUUUUAUGUAUAUGAACAUAAAUCGACUAUUUUCGUUCAAUUGUGUUAAUUAAAAUCAAAUAUAUACAUAUGUAUUAUCAAUAUUAAAUAUUAAUAUUAUUAAAUUAGAUGUUUUAUAUAAAAAAAAGUAUAUAGAGAUCAGAAAAGUAAUAAAAAAAUAGUAUCGUAUUAUAAGUUUUCAACUCUGUCAUUAUUUCAUUUAUAUCUCUAGCAUCCAGCCUCUAGCUAUGGAUUCAUUUUGAUACCUUCAAGUUGAACUCCAACCCCACCCACACACACCAUAAUUGCCUCUUUGCCCAUCAUCCAUCUACGUCUUUAUAACCAGAUUAUUCAUAACAAAAUUUAAAGCAAACAACUUAACAACUAUACAUUCAAAUUUUUCAUAAAAAUUAAAACCAAUUCAGUUUAAGAUAUCUUUUUCUUAUAUCUCAAAUUUACAUCUCUUUCAUCUUUGCAACUUUUUUUUUAUUUCACAAAACAAACAACAAUAGGAUCUUUUUACAAACAAAAUAACAAGUCAACAAAAAUGUGAUUAUUUAAUGGAAAUGCUUAAAGUUAUAGAGAACAAAACAUAGGUUAAACUCUAAAUUUUGAAAAGAAGAAGAAGAAAAAAGAACUUUAUUUAAUGACAAAAAUAUAUCAAAUGUUACUAUAAAUAACUAAAUGCGUUUAACACUUUCCUCAACUUGCCUCAAUAGUCAUAAGCUAAGACAUAAAUUGAACCAUUUUGUUCAGAUUUGUAGAUAAGAAGCACUGUUUGGUGUUAUCUUCGUCUCUCAAAUAUUGCUCGGUAUGAGUCUUCCCAUUAUUCCAAUUUUGUUAUUGAAUGGUCAUGUACCUGCCUACUAUAAAAUUGGGCUCCAUCUAUUUGUUGAAAAAUCCCAAUAAACAAAAAAGCUUGGUUGGUGGUCCUUCAUCAACAACACGUGUUCUCCCCACUUUCACACAAUAAUUGAUUCAUUGUUACACAAAUUAAUUCCUCCUAUAUGCUAAUGCAAUAGAACAAUUUUUAAAUAAGAUUUUUCUUACCCGAACAAGGCAGAAAAAAUAAAGGGUUAAACCCAAGUGAUACCAACAACAAAAAAAGGCUCCAUAAAGUGUCAUAAACUAUACUAGCACGAGAAUUUAUUGCAGUUUAUGACUUUAUAUAGCACAAGUCAUUUAAGAAUAAUUUAUUAAAGUAAAAUUUAGGUUGCGAUGAGGUGGUAUUGGAAAGUUGAAGUAACAAAGAAGACGUGGAAAAUAUAUGAGAUGAGAUAAUAAAUGAUGAAGGACAUUAUAGCAAAGAAUAAAUAAUGAUAUAAAAAAUAGCAAAUUUAAUUAGUUGUUUUGGCAUGUAUAUAAAACCAGAAAAUGACAAACAAAUGUAGUAAAACCGAGCUAGUAUGGAUAAAAACUUUGGUUAAGUAUGGACAGAUGGUGUCGAUAGCCAUGCGGUACAUAAUUAAUUUUUUUGGUUUUCUUGUUAACGAAUGUCUAAAAAUAUUAUCUAAAGAUCCUGAAUAAAAUAAUUAUUAAUUGAAAAAAUUAAUAUUUCAAUUUUCAAUAUAUUAAAUACACAACUUUCAAUAUAUAUACACUAUUUUAAUCUCUUAAACAACCCUUUUAGCACUCGUUUAUAUGUCCCAUAAUUUAAAUAUCUUGCAACAAGAAAUCAAAGAAAUGUGACUAUGAUAUGAUUCAAAAUGAUGCUCAUGUUACCGUGAAUUUUCAAUAUGAGAAAGCAAGAGAUACAUGUUUAUUUUGGACCACUUUGCUGUGAAUGUGAUGAUGAUCAUAUUCCGUCUCAUCCACUUUCUUUUAUCAUGAGACAUCUUAUCUAUCUUCCUUUCAGAAUCGUGUCUACCAUAUCCGAUUCAUUAUCUUGACCCCAAAAAAUAUCUGAUACAUUGUUUUCUAUAAUUUAUGUCUCCACUUUCACUAGUUUUAUUCAAGUAAAAUUACUCUUUUUAUCAUUUAUAUUUAAUUUUAACACGUAAGUCUUUUUUUUUUUAAAUAGGUCCUUUAGCUGGUAAAACUUGCACUUAAUUUUUUUUAUUAAAAAAUUAAUGAGGUCACAAGCCUCGUUAAGAAACCAAGGUUUUAAGCAUUCAAGAAUUAUAAUAGAUCCGUUUGUUAUAAAUUUUAAAGAAAAAAUAACUUUAUCUUUAUAUUUCUAAAAAAUGAAUGUUAUUAAGAUUUAUUAAAAAAGAGUAUAAGCUAUUUUGGAUUCAUUUUUUUACAAUUUAGAACGGUAAUUUUGAUAUUUAAUAAAUUAUAUAUUUAUUAUUAGAGAUAUUAACAUGAUAAAAAUUAUUUUUUUUAAAUUAAUGUAUUUCUUAAAAAUAAUUUAUAUGAGAAACUUUUUAAAAUAAUUUCUCAUUUUAAUUACUUUUUUUGAAAUUUCAUCAUACAAAAAAAUUGUAGCAAAUAUAUAAAAGUUACUUUUCGUGAUAAACUAUUUAAAUCAAUUUAUCAUCUGAAGCUUCAUUUUUAGUUUUUUUUUUUAUAAAAAAAUUAUAACAAAAAAAAAUAGAAUAUUGUAAAAAAAUCAUAUUUUAAAAAUGAUGUAAUUAACAGGCCCAAUAUUUUGCCAAAAAAAAUUUGUUUACUGUAUGGUGUCUAUAUCAUUUCUUUUACUAAGGACUCUUCACAGUGGUCAAUCUAAGACAAGUGAGGAGUGUAAAAUUUUCAACUUCAUUAAUAAUUAUUAUAAUAAUAAAAGUGGAUCUAAGACAAGAGUGAGGAGUGUAAAAUUUUCAACUUCAUUAAUAAUUAUUAUAAUAAUAUAAAAAAACCGUGAAUGUUAAAAUUAUAAAAUAUUUCAAGAAUAAUUUCUCUCUUCUCUUAUUUUACCGAUAAUUUAUACUACUAAAUUUAUAAUUUUAUACUUUUACAUAUUUAAAGAACUAUUUUUUCUAAAAUAGUAAUAUAAAUUUUUUGUAACUUGCUAAUUUUUGACAAAUAUUAAAUUUUAGUAUUUAUCAUUUAAAAUUUGAAGGAAAAGUAUUAUCAAUAUUAGAUAAAUAGUCAUAGAUAGACAUGAGGAAAAUGAAAUAAGGAAAAGGAUUGGAAAAAAUAUGUAUUCAUUAGUAAUAUAUAUAUAUAUAUAUAUAUAUAUACCACUCAAGAAUGAUAAGUAAAAAUAAUAAUUGAAAAUGUGAUAUAUUUAAUCUUAUUUUUUAGUUAAAUAAAUCAAAUUUUCAACAUUUUGAUAUGGUGGUUAAGUCUUACUAAUGGCUAACAGUUUCGAAUCCUCUCCUGUGCAGUUUUAUUGGCCAAUAUUUCAAGUUCUGAUAUUUUUAUAUAUUAAUAAUAAUUAAAUUAAAAACAAUUUAAGAAAUGAAGAGAUCAAUGCAUUGCAAAACAGAAUUAGUGAUACAGUGGAUCCUCCCCUCAUUACAUACACAACAAAAUUGAGCAAUUUAACUUUCCCAAACAUAAAUCAAAUUUCUGUAUCAAUAGAAAAAUCAACUGUGCAUCACAUUAUUUUUCAUGUGUAAUGUAAACUAUAUAUGCACAUUUUUCUCCAAAUAUUAUGAAUCUAUUUCCUAAACAAUAUUGUGUCCAUCACUUGAGUCUCCAACACUAGAUUUAGAUAUCAAAAUAAGCAUAGUCAAAACUUGUUUCAUAUUAGGCCUAAUAUUUGGUGCCUCAUUUGUACACUUCACACCAAUUCUUAGCAAUUCACCCAUUUCCUCUGCCCCACCAACAAGUUCAGAACUCAAACAACUUACCACAUGAUGUUGUCGUCUUCUUCCUAUAACACGCCUUGUCCAUUCCACUAAACACUCUUCACCUCCAUCCACCGCACGUCUACCUGUAGCCAACUCCAUAACCAACACACCAUAACUAUAAACAUCACCUUUUGUAGUAGCUUGCAUUGUUUGUCCAUAUUCAGGUGCAACAUAUCCAACAGUUCCAGCCACCAUUGUGCUAACAUGACUAUCACCAACAUUAACAAUUCUAGCUAGUCCAAAAUCUGUUACUUUUGCUUUUCCUUCUUUGUCAAGCAACACAUUGCUAGCUUUCACAUCUCUAUGUACAAUUGAAGGGUAGCAUUCAUGAUGUAAAUAGACAAGCGCACGAGCCACGUCGAUAGCUACUUCUAGUCUCUUCCUCCAUGUCAAUCGUGUUUUAUCGGUUACUAAGUCCUCUAAGCUUCCACCUUCUAUGUACUCAUAAACAAGUAUCUUUUCUGAAUUGUUUAAGCACCAACCGUAGAGUGUGACAAGGUUUGGAUGAGGCCAACCGAAUCCGUGACCACUUAGAACUUCCAUUUCAGCUUGGAAUUCCUUUUCGCCUUCGAGUCCUUCUCUUAAUAGCUUCUUCACUGCUACUUCUCUACCAUCUGUGAAAACUCCUUUGUAUACUGUUCCAAAUCCACCUUUUCCUAUGAUUCUGUUCUCUGAGAAGCUGCUUGUUGCUUUCAAAAUGUCUGCAUAGGUGAAUGCUGUUUUGUUUAAACGAAUGACUUUAACUGAAUCAGAUAACCAUUGUUGUGAGGAUCCUAUUCCCGAGCUGUUUGUAUCAUUCCACUUUUUAGCAUGAUCCCUCAAGAGGUAUUCAUCUGAUGGACUUUUCACCAAUGCACAAACUAUUAUUGUUAGAAGACCAAAUAUAACAAAAACAAGUGUUAUGGCUAAGAACACCAAAAACACAGACAAUUUUGCAUGCUUUUUAGGGUCUUUGUUAAAGGUCGUGUUUUUAUUGUUUCUAGUAUUACUGUUGUCAAUGAACUUAGGAAGGGUCAAAAGAGGAUCACCUAAAUAUGAAUCUAUAUCAAAAGUAACAAAUUGUCCACUUGAUGGAACUACACCAUAUAAGAAGGGAUUGCAGGAGAUGUUGAACUUGUUAAGCUCAGCCAAAUUGUUCAAACUUGUUGGAAAAUUCCCUGAGAAAUUGUUGUGAGACAAAUCAAGAUUUUGUAGGCAUUUGAAGUUUCCAAUUUCCUGAGGAAUUUCACCUGAAAAGUUGUUUCUAGUCAUGUUCAAGACCAUAAGUGGAAUACUUCCCAACUGUGGAGGGAAUUUCCCAGAGAAACUGUUGAAUCCCAAGUGCAACAUACUGAAGUUCACCAUUGUUCCAAUCUCUGAAGGGAUAUCACCACUUAGCUGGUUUCCACUGAGCUGAACAUAACCAGAUAUUAAAGGUAAUCUGAGGGAGGACCCAGGUGUGCAAAAUGGGAAAAUUCCAUAUCCUUUUAGCAAUUUGUUCCAAAGGCCUCUACAAUUUUUCCUUGUUAAAAUGUCAUACACAAAGCUGAAUGGAGGGUAAUCCGCAGGUAUCCAUCUCUUCAUUGCUAAACAUUCACCGGAACCAGCUACCAUUCCAUCAUCUUUCCUAUUUGAUUCAAAUGUUGUCAUUGCAUUUUUUCCGAUAUUGGAAAGUUCGCGAGGAAACUGUCCAGAGAGGUUAUUGUUGGCAAGGUUUAACCAUAACAAACUAGUGCAGUUCCCUAACUCUGGAGGGAUUCCUCCAUUUAAUGAAUUGUCUGCAAGCAUCAACCACAAGAGAGAACUCAAGUUUCCAAGGCUUGGAGGUAUUGGUCCACUCAACCUGUUGAAUGCAAGAUCAAGUGCUUGCAAAUUAUGCAUAUUUCCAAAUUCUGGUGGAAUAGAUCCAUUGAAUUGGUUAUAUGAUAACAUUAAAAGUUUAAGACUUGACAUAUGAGAUAUUUCAACAGGUAAUGGACCUGAGAAGUUAUUGAAACUUAGAUCUAACCGUGUAAUGUUCGGCAAUGUGAAAAUUCCAGAUGAUCUCAAUCCUCCAGUGUAAGAGUUUGAGUGCAAUAGAAGAAAUCUCACCUGCUUAAAAUUCCCAAAUAUCUUCUGUAUGUCACCACCAAAACUGUUUCUGCUCAAAUCUAAGAAAACCAAAUUAGUCAAUUUCAAAAGGGUGUUAGGAACAUCUCUUGAAAAGUUGUUUCCUCCCAAGUACAAUCCUUUAAGCCUUGAAAUAUACCCCAUUUCAAUAGGGAUACCACCAUAAAAUUUGUUACUUGAAAGAUUCAGCAUGGUUAAAUUCUUGCAGUUAGCAACCUCUUUAGGUGCCUGACCAAAAAAACCAUUUUGAGAAAGGUCUAAUUCUUCAAGUUCACAAUUCAUCUGAAAAGCUUCAUUGGAAAUUGUUCCAUUGAGAUAAUUCUCUGCAACAGAAAACUGUCUAAGCCUUGCAAAUCCAUUCCAUAUACCACCAGUGAGUUUAUUAGUGCUCAAAUCCAAAUACUUCAAAUUAGAACAUUUAUCAAAACUAUCACCAAUCUCACUAGUUAAAUUAUUACCUGAGAUAUUCAAAGUGACUAAAUUUUGACACAUGGUAGGGAAAUUCAACGACCCAAUUUCCCCAUGAAAUCUAUUCAAGGACAAAUCAAGUGUCUUCAAGCUUGUGAAUCCGGUGAGGUUGAGUUCACCAUCAAGAAUGUUGUGAGAGAGAUUGAGAUACAUAAGCUUACGACAGUUCCUCAAAUCCUGGGGAAUAUUUCCAAAGAGUGUGUUCUGAGAGAGAUCAAGGUGUAUGAGUUGAGUGAGUUGAGAGAAGCUUUUGAAUAUCUCUCCAGUGAUAUCACUGUAAGAGAGGUCUAUGCCAAUGACCCUGUUAGCUUUGCUACACAAGAUUCCUUGCCAUUGACAUGGAUUGGAAGUUGAAGUGUUGGUGUUCCAAUAUAUGUAUUUUCCUUGGUCUGCAAGAGUUCUGUUAUCUAAGUACUUUUUCAGCUCUAACAGAACCUGUCUGUCCGUGUCCAAAGAAUCCCCGGCAACAAAACUACCUGCGGAAAUAGAAACAACAACAAUUAUUGCCUUGGAUCAAUAAUAUGAAUACCUUAUGAUGAAUAUUUAUGAAAGUAAAUACCUGAGAAAAGGAUGAAGGAAAAGAUGAAUACUAGGAAGCAGGAGGAAUGUGUUUCCUGCAAGUCUGACAUUUAUGUUGGUGUUAGGAGUUGUAUUGUUUGUUGUUUUAGUUUAUUGAGGAAAAAACAUGAACGUGAGAAUAAAAUAAGAAUGAUAGAAGAGCAUGGUGAAGUUGAAUUGGAGAGGGAGGGGCAGACAAAAUUGAAAUUGGAAUUGUAAAAAGAAAAGAUGGUUCUUCCUACUACUAAUUAAUUAAUUAAUUAAUAAAUGUACAGAUAUGGGUUGACGAAUGUAAAAUGUAUUGUUUAUACUUAUAGUUAUAAGAGGAAACACAUAUGGAGAGAUGAGAGCGGUCGAGCCGCCCUUAUUGACCGGUUCGGCUAACAUUGCCUCGCACGGUUCAGUUGUAAACAUUUCUAACAGUUAUCAUCACAUGCUUAAUUAAUCCAUUUAUUAAUCUAGAUGUAAAUGUGAAAUGAGACCGCCGUUUUCUCAGUUGAGCAAUACAACUCAAUUUCGUGGAACCAAAUAUUGAAUUGCCAACCAUUUUAUGCGCACAACAUUAACAUUCGCCUCACCAAUUCAACCGUAAAACUCCCGCGGUUUUAGAUUUUUUUUUUUUUUUUUAAACUUAAAACCUCUAACUAUAAUCAAAUAGACUUUUAACAUCUCAUUUAAAUGACCAUUCCGAUUAUUUCUUUGUAACAAGAUUGAACGAAUCACAUACGGGCAAAUGUUAAUGAAUAUUACUAGAGCGAUUGUAAGAUAGAUAAUAAAUUUUGUUGGCGUAUAGUAAAUAAAUUUAUAGUAGAAGAGUGUGAAAUUAUUAAGAUAUACGAAGUUAUGGUGCGAUUUUUCAAUAGUAAAUACUAAAUCACUGUCCGACCAAAAUAAAACUAAAUCAAUGCAGUAUAAUUCUAUCUAAUUUUUUACUCAUAUUAAAAAAAGUUAAUAUUGUAGUUAAUGUGUAUGUGUAUGAUUAUUAUUUUUAUGUUUUUUUUAAGUGCCAUUUUUUAGAAAAAAAAUUAUUCAUUUUUAUUUGUUGUUUUUAAAUUUCAAAGGACUAUUAAAUAUUGUUUUGUCAAAUUCAUCUUUAUUUGUUUAUUGCAGUGAGAGAAUUAAUUUAGUUGAGAUAAUAAAUAGAAUAGUAAUAUAGAAAAAAGAUAAAAUUAUUUAUAAAAAGUAAUAAAAUUUAAUAAAAUUUAAUAGUUUCAUUGAUUUAUGUAAACCUGAAAAACAACAAUGAAAGAUAAAGGAAAAGAGAUAGUACUAAAUUGUCUUUUAUAUAUAAAUACAUGUAAUAUUAACUUUUCACAUUUUAAAAAUAAUUUAAAUAGUAUUCUUAAAACAUAUAUUUGAUAUAAAGAGUAACAAAUUUAUAUAAAAAUUUACAAAAAGAUCUUAUAUUUCAAGACAAUCAAAUAUGUAAAAAAAAAUCUUAUAAUUAGAGACGGGAUAGAAGUUGGUUAAAAAAAUUGCGGUCAACAUCCUGUGCGUGAAGUGAAGGCAAAUGUAGUUUUGGUGAUGUAUCGCUAUCGUGUUCAUGUUGAUAUAUUAAUAUUGUUUUAUGUCUGAUGAGAUGAUAAGAGUACCUAUCUUCUAACUCGUGUGCGUGUGGACCAAAAGAUCAUUGCUUUUAAACCUGUAAAUAAAAUGGUCAUUUUCGAAUAUCACUUUUUUAAGAGGUUAAUGAAGUUUCAGAUUUGAUAAUGUUGCUAUCGUUGAACAAAGACCAUUUACUAAUCAAUGGUUGGUGCCUUGGUGGUGGAAAGUGACAACAAAUUAACGUGCCGGCCUCCGUCAUUGCCUUUACGCCAAAUUUUAUUUAUUAUAUACUACUACUAGUAUGCUGUGACAUGGAGUGAGCGUCCUCUCUAAUUAUUAUUAUUAUUCAUAAACUAAUAUUAAAGAAAACGAAAAAACUUAGCAAGCACAACCGUAAUUAUAAGUUGUUCAAUGUGAAUUACUACUUUAAAAUUAUCAAAAUUUCUAUAUAAUAUUUUUAAAAAAUAAUAGUUUAUAGUCUCUUUAUUUUGAUGAGUAAGAUAAUGAUUUAAUAGAUGUUGAUUUAUUAUGAAAUAUAUAUUUAUUUAUUUUUGUUUUUAUUGAAUUAAUUAUAUAAGUUACUAUCUGAGAACUACAUUCAUUAAUAUAUACAUUUAAGAGACGACGUUAGUCAAAAUUUUAAAUAUUUUUAAAAAUUAAUUUGUUGUAUACGGUAAAUGAUCCAUGUUAGAAUGGAUCUAGGAGAGGCACAUUUUAUUUACAGGUUAUUCUAUAGUUCACUUCUUCACCGUGAACCUUGUGUUGUGGGUGUUCAUUAUACUAAUUGUGUUAAUCAAUUAUUCCCAUACAUCUAAUCAGAUUAUACAAUACUAGUACUACCUUUGGUACUUAUAAGAAGAAACAAAAAUUAUCAAGACCAAUGAAAUAUAAUUCUUUAUUAAAUUCUUUCUGAAAAUAUAAGAUCCACUAAUAUGAAGUAUGUAUAUUCUUAUCGAAUAUUUUCUCAUUCGCAUGAGUUUCAUUCUAAUAAAUAAAAAUAUCUUCAAAUAAUUUUAUUUUUUUCAUUUUCAAUACAAUUUUAAUUAUGUUUUUCUUAUACUACCUUUUAAUAAUUACAAUACACAAAUUACACUACAUUAUUAUAUUUUGUAUUUAUAAUACUUAAAAAUUCACCAAUAAUUAAGAUGAGUAAAUUGAUAAAAUAAAUUUUCUCUUUUUAAAUUCAAAUAUAAGAGAAAGUAAAUCAAUAAAAAUUAAAAUAUUUAUUACAAAAAUUGAAUCAAACACCCAACUUUUAUUAUAUUCAAGACUAUAAACAAUACAUGUUUAAACAUUAUCAAAAACUCUUUCAUAGGCCAAAAUUCAUGUUAGUUUGGUUAAUUAAUUGCUCAAGAUUUGUUUUGCACAGUGCAAUCUUUGUAUGCUCACUGCACAAAAUUUUAGAGGUGUAGUUUUCGGGGAUGAAUUUAGAAUUUUUGAUCAGUAGAAUACUAUAUAUAUAUAUAUCUUUCAACUAUACCCCCUAAAUAUAUUUUUCUUCAAGUGGACCAACUGUCAAGUCGUAUCCCCUGUAAUGAUGGACGAACAUUGACUUAAUUAUACCUCGCACCCAUAUCUAAUGGAGUAAAAAUAUAAUCUGAUAUGUCAGUAUUUCCGUGACAAGAUCUAGAUGACUGGAUCAAUGAUAAAACUGGUCUGUAUUUUUUUGAGCAAUUGACCACCACAUUCUUCUGGAAUUUGGAAUUUGGAAAUCAAAUGAGAACCAAAGACUAAUAAUAAAGUUGUUUUUGUGACUCACUUGUUAUGCAAAUACUAUAAUUAUCAUUAUCACCACUAAGGAUUUUAUUAUUAUACACAAGAGAAAAUUUAUUAUUUAAUUAUUACAAUUCAAUUUUUAUGUAAUAUUUAUCAUUACUUUUUUCAACCCUCAUUUAAUAGAUUUUUGGAUCCAUCCCUUAGUCAGGGUUUCACACUCUCACAGAUUUGAGUCUCCAUUCCAUUCACCACUAAAACAAAGAUUCAAAUCAGCUUAUAUUGCAAGGUCACAAACCAUCUUUCAACUCUUUCAUAGUCCAUUUCAUACAUUACUUUCUUAAACAUUAAUUGUUUUCAAAUAAGAUAAACAUACACACAUAUAUGCAAUACAAAAUAGACAAAACUGGUGGCCCUAUCGCUAGAUACAUUAAAUAUUACAGCAAUACUAAAACUAAUUGUAAUUGACAGGCAACAACUCACAUAGUUUUAGUCACAUUAAAAAUGUAUAUAUUACUAAAAGCUUUUACAGCUUCAUAUUGAGAACCUUACCUAAUGGAUGGUACAUUUUUGGUGUUCCAUGUGAUGUAGAAGGAGUAAAUGGUUUAGGUGUAGAUUCCUCCCGAAGCGCGGACAGAGCAGCCUUCCUUCGCUGCCUAUGUUCGCGGUGUCUCCUAAUUCUAUCCUCCAAUGCUGCUUUACCGUUCUCGGCUAAUUCGGCUCUGCUAAUAGCCUGUUCUGCACGAGUCCUCAGCUCUGAAAUUUUCAAUGAUGCAUUUUCAACCUCCUUUUUCAUCAAUGCUAACUCUAUUUGAUUUCCUUUUUCAUUUCCUUUCUCAACCAAGUAGUUAUAUUCUUCCAACGAGAUAGUAAUAUUGUCAUUGUUUUUCUCACUAUUCCUCUCUUCAGCUCCACCCUUAGAGUGAUCAGUGUCAUAUCCAUUCUUGUAAGCCAACCUAUAUUCUUGAAGAUGAGAUUUCAACAAUGCAAUCUCCACUUCUGCUUCAAUGGCUCUCUCCUUAUUCAUCUUCAGCUCUGCUUUCGCCUUUUGCAACUCAUUUGUGACUGAUUCUUUGUUAAUAUUUAAUUCAUUUAUCUCCUCCUUUGCACUUGUAAGUUCACUUUGUAACUGAUUUAAUUCCAAUUCUAACUUUUCCUUGAGUUCAAUGUCCAAGUUUAACUUGUUUGAUUCAUUUAUGACAUUGGUAGAAGAAUUAUCAAAUGAAAUUAUUGUUUCCUUUUGUUCUAUAUGUUUUCUCAUAUCUUUCAACUCUUGUUGUGCUUGAGCAUUAUCUUUUGUAGCUAACUCAAUUUUUUCAUUUUUCUGAGACAAAAUACCAAUAUUUUGUUUCUCAGCUUUAAUAGCAGCAAGUUUUGACCUAUGAAUAACUUCAUUAAGCUCAUUUACUUGAUGCAAUAGUUCUUCUUUCUUUUCCUUUUCCAUCUUCAAGGCAUUUUCCAACUGUUCUGUCUUUGUCAAAGCGUUUGAUUCAGAAUCUCUAGCAGCAAAAAUCUCAGUAUCUUUGUUAAGAAGCUCUCUUUGUGUGGCUUUCAAUUCACUCAAAACAUGCGAAAGCUGAUCCCGAACUUUCACAGUUUCUAAUUUAAGAUCAGUCUUCUCUUUUGUCAUUGAUUCAAGCUCGUCUUUGCUAGCUUUACCCUCCGAACAUUCGUUCACAUAUUUGUUUCUUUCAAUAUCAGAGUUUUUCAACAAAGUAGACAAUUCAUGAAUCAUCUUUUGGCUUUGUUCUGGUUUAAGAAGUGCUUUCAUGUGCGCAGCAUUCUUCACCUCUAAUUGCGCCUUGUAGUUGGUCAAUUCUCUAGUCAAAUUCUCAAUCUCUUUUUCAUAGUCACGCUGGCAUACAAAUAAAGCAACAAUAAUGACAAGAAAAUAUUGAAUUAAGAUAUCAAUUUUUGUUGACCAUGUAACAUAUAUAUUCAAUAUUCAAUGCAUGCAUAUAAACACUUAAAACAUUAUCCGAUUAAUAUUAUUUAGCAAAAUAUAGGUCCAUAUUCUUUCAGUUGUUAAAUCUGAACCUUAAAUGGAUCAAUUCUAUACAAGUGGAAUAUGUUGUACUUGUACACGGAUGAAAUCAAAAUAUUAAGUUAUGAUUUGAACGUUUAUCAUUUGGACUAUAGUCUUACCUUAUUUCUUGUAGGUAGAAAUUUCAUGUGAUCACCUCUAUCGUCAAAUAAAGAGAUGGCAUUUUGGACAGGUUCAAUUGAUGUAGUAUCAAUUUCACCGACCAUGGUUUUGUGAAAAAUAUUGUAUGUAUAUAUGUACCAACAAGAGUCUCAAGAAAGUCAAAACCCACUAAAUCUUCAGCUUAUAAUCUGGUUGCUGGAAAAUAACACAUAAAGUGAUAGUAAAAUAUACAUACAUGCGGUCAAAUAGUAGAAGAUAUGUGAAUAAAUGAAAUUAAAAUGAGAAGAUAAAGAGUGAUACCUGUUAUAAGUUUGAGGAGGAAAAGGCAGAGAGAAUGGGAAGAAGGAAAAGAAAAGAGUAUGAAAGUUGUAAUGAGUUUUGCAUUGUUGCGGAGAAAACAAUGUUAUGAACUUGUCAUGGAGUACAGCCUAGCUAGAAGAAUCAUUCUUGUUCGGUUCUUCUUCCUCGGAAUUUUCAAGUGAAAGGGAAUAAUAAGAGGUUGGUUUUGUUUUGGUUCUAGUACUACGGAACACAUUCUUCCUCUCAAUCACUUCAUCUCCAUUCAAUUUCUCUUUUAUACACUACAUAAUUUUAUUCAUACUUCUAACAAAGGGAUUCAACUCUUUACCCAAUUCACAACUACUAAGAAACAUGAUUAAUUUUUUUGAUAAUAACAAAUUUAUCAAAAGUUAAUUAUAUAUCUUUUUUUAUUUUUUAUCAUUUUCGUGUAUAUAUCAAGAAAAAUAUGUAACUUAUUUGAUUUGAUAAAUUAUCUAGGUUGGUGCCCCUCACCUUAAAUUUCAUUAAAACAAAAUUUGUUCAAAACUCUAACCACCAUAAAUAUUUUAUAGAGUAGAAGUUUAUGUUGUCUCAGAAGUAUUUAUUUAAUAAUAUUAAUAUUAUUAUUAAAUUAUUAUUUGUUUAAAAUGAAACGGGAAGUUUCAAACAAUAACAUGUAAUAUCUUAAAAGAUAAAUUAGUAGUAUUUAUAACAAAUAUAUUAAAAAUAUAUUAAAAGAUAUAUCUUAUAAUCUCUUUCUUCUAAACUUUAAAAUGGGACGAUUUUGUUUUUUUAGUUUAAAAUUUCAAAGGAUUGAUAUUUGAUUUUGACUCGAUCAACGUUGAUAUAACUUUUAUUUUAUUUUUUACGAUUAUAUAGAAUAUACAGCUCUUUUUUUUUUCAAUUUGCCAACUCAUUUAAUUUAUUUAUUUAUUUUAAAAGUUGGCAACUCAUUUUUUUUAAUAUUGUCACCUCAUUUUUUAAAAUUUGACUAAAACAUAAUUUUGGUCAUUUAUCUUUUAUCUAAUAUUUAUUUUAGAUCUUUAUCUUUUUUUAUUUAUUUUGGCUGUUUAUUUUUUUUAUUCAUUUUCAUCCUUUAUCUUUUACGUAAUAUUCAUUUUAGUCCUUAGUAAAAAUACAAACUUGUAUAAUUUUAUGAAACAUAAAUAACUAAAACGAUUAUUAAGUAAAAGAUAAAAAGAUUAAAGCAAAAGAUAAAGGACAAAAAUAAAUUAGAUACAAAAAUAAAAGACCAAAACAAAUAUUAAAUAAGAAAUAAAGUAUAAAAGGCUUUAAUUUUUUAUUUUAAAUUGUCAACAAAAUAGAAGACUUGACAAUUUUUUUAAAAUAAAAAUUAAAUAAAUAAAGUGACAAUAUUAAAAAAAAAUGAGUUGACAAUUAUAAAAAAAAAAAGAUUUGGCAAUUUUAAAAAAAUAAAAAUAAAUGAACUAACAAUUUUAGAAAAACUUUAAAAAGAGUUGGCAAUUUUUAAAAAUAAACAAAUGAGCUGACAAUUUUUAAAAUUAAAAAAACUGAGUUGUACAUUUCACAUAACCAUGAAAUAAAAAUAAUGCCAUAUCACCUUUGAUCAAGUCAGAAAGAACCAAUCAUUUUAUAUUAAGAUUUGCUUUUGUAUGUCGGCAAUAGUUUUUAGGCUGACUUAAUUCAACAUAUAAGCAAAGUAGUAUACUGUAGUGUUGUUUGUGUCAUGGCAUAGUGAACAACAGAUAAGAUCUCACAUUAAGUAGUGAUAGAAAGUGAAACAUCACCGACCUUUAAUAACAGUUUUUCUAAACGCAUAGACUUAGCUGUUAAUUUAGUUUAUAAGGCACGUUAUGCAGCUAAUUAUAAUACAUUACAUUAAAUCAUUAGACAAAACUUUGGACAGGGGUUACUCAACUAACAAAUAACAAUCAUCAGUAGCCAAAAGUUAUGUCAUUUUUUCAUUAAUGUUUAUCCAUUUUAGCCUCAAAAUCCACAUCUAAAUGAGAAAAUUUAGGAAAAUAUUUCCUUUCUAUUUUCUUUAAUUUUCAUUUGAAAGUCUUGAACAUAUUACUUUCAUUAUGCAGCGUACGUUCUGAGUUGUCUCCUUUACCAUCCAAGAUAAAGACACACUGACACACACUCGCCUCAUAAAAACUUUAAGUUUAAACACCAUUUUCAUUUUCUUUCUUCAAGAAAAACUUAUAAGUAAAAUGGAUAAAGCUCUCACUAAACUUGGAAGCUUUUGGAUUUCAAAGAAAGCCAAGGAAGAAAUUUCGAUCAUAACCAACGAUUUAUCUGUAUGUUUCUCCAUAUCUUGGUCUAUUUUUCCUGUUUCUGGUGUUAUUUUUUUAUUUGUUUAGAACAACCUUUAAAUCUUGAAUCUCUUAUUGUUUCUGAGUUAUGUCAAUAUUGAAUAAAUGGCUUAUAAAAUGUUUGAUUACAAGAAAUGAUAAUAAAGAGUCUUGUUUUCUAGGAAUCUUUAAUUUAUAAAAUCUUGAAUUAUCAUUGUCAAGAAAUGAUAAAAAAAAAUAAAAAUGCAAUUCCAAGGAGUGCCUUUACUCUUAGUCUUUUGUUCUUCCCGUUAAUAUGUUGGUUUGUGCAAACUUUUUAAUAUUUUAUUAUGUAUGCGUUUGCAAUUUCAGUCUUUCUCAAACACAGUUGAAGAUAAGGCAAAACUAUUCAUCAACAAGCUCAAAGGUACUUGUUAUUUUCAUAAGAAAAUAUUUGCGGUUUACACUUUGGAGUUCGAGAAUAAUAUUUUUUCCACAAACAAAUGCACACUUAAAUUUCUGGCUCAAAAAUUAUAAAAUUGUCUUUAAUAAGAAAUAUUAAAUAUCUUAGUUUUGUGACCCAAUUGAAUUAGUUAGUUACUUACAUUAUUUAAUUAGUUAUUUUAUAUUAAUAGUUGUUUUAUCUAAUUGAUUAUAUAAAUUUAGAUAAUCUUUAAUGUAAUAAUUAUUUUAAUUAUCAAUAUUAUUUUAUUUAUUUUUUUCUUAUUAAUGGUUUAAUUCAAGAAUUGUAAUAAAAAAAAUUCUCUAAAAUGACUUUUUCCAAAAUCAUGUUUUGGAUAAUUGGUGACAAAAAAUAAUAUUGAUUGGAAACGACAAGUUUAAACACUAACUAAAAUAAUAAUUGAUGACAUUUUAUUUAUCUUCAAACUGAUUUUCAAAUUAUCAUUGUCAUUUUCUCGAAUAACUAUAUGGUUAAUUACCAACAAAAAAGAAAAAUAACAUUUGACUAUUUAUUUUGAAUAUGUUUUAUAACAGGCAAAACUCAGAAAAGUUUACCGGAUCUUCUUAGAGAGCACAACCUUCCUCCGGGUCUAUUUCCUCGUAAUAUAACAUGCUAUGAGUUUGAUGAAUCAAAAGGAAAGUUGAUAGUGCACUUGUCAUCCCCUUGUGAGGUGUGCUUCAAGGACUCAUCCAUUGUGAGAUAUUCAAAUCGUGUAAAAGGGACAUUGUCAAAGGGUAAACUCAUUGUUAUGGAUGGAAUUAAGACCAAGGUUCUUGUUUGGGUUAAGGUCACAAGUGUUUAUGUUGAGAGUUAUAAGUCUGACAAAGUAUGGUUCACUACUACUGGUGUUAAGAAAUCAAGGCCUAAAGAUGCAUAUGAAAUGCCUCGUGAAGCUAUUAAGGUGGAUGAAUUUUGAAUCCAAAUGAACGAAUAUACAUAUAGCCUUAUUAAUCAUUAAACGAUUCGUUCUUUUUGUGUAACUUGAGACUUUAGAUAUGUGAAGGUAUGAUAUGAUAGUAUGUAUACUUGGAAAUGUAUACUCUACAUUUUACAUUGUGACCGGUGUAUUGUUUUGGUUUGCAAUUUAACGUUGUUUCGGUAGUUAUUGGUGUCUACUAAGCUCUUAAUUGUAUUUUUAAGUCAAAUAGAAUUUCUCCUAAAAUAUUUAUGCGUUUUAAAGAUGAUAGAAAUAAAAAGAGAAAAUGAAAUUAACUAAAAAGCUUCGCUAUAAGAUUUUUUAUUCAAAUUGAGACACAUUAUUUUAUCUCAACCUUUAUUUGAUUUUUUUUUUUAUGAUGAUAUUUAAUUAUUUACCAUAACUCAUUCAGCUAUCAUCCAAUGUUUUGUCUAUCAUGUCAUAAUUUUGAAAACAUGUAAUGUCAAUGAUUCUAAGAAGUACUCCAUCGAGUGACUAUUUUAGUUUUAAGUAAAAAAAAUUAUCUCGUUGUAUUAAAAAUAUAGUUAAAUGGCAAUUAAUUUUAUAGAUUUUACAUAAAAUAAAAUAUAAGUUAAAUUUAUUAAAUUGUCAUUUUUAAUGUACAAUAUUCAACUAUUAAUAUUAAAUAUUUUGAAUUAAAUGAUGGAUUAAAAAUAGACAUGGCAACAGGGCGAGACAGGGGGCGAAAUAUAAAGUAUAUUUAAUAUGCGCAUGUUUAUAAAAUUUAAAAAUGACAAUAAUAUUAUUAGUGGGACAAAUUCGAGUCCGGAUGUGGGGUGAAUGUCAAUACACUUGCACCCGAUUAAAGCGAAUUUUCUCCGUUCAAAUUAAAACGAUUUCAAAUGGAUAUACGCGGAGGCGGAUUAUGUUGUCAUCUCUAAUUAAAAUAAUAACAUUAAAUAAAUCAAAACUAUCUUAUAUUAUAUUUAGGAUGCAAUGUUUUAAAUUUUUACAGAAUUAAAACAUAGAUAUAAAAACAUAUGUUAAAUUUCUUAGGUAAGUUUUGUCAUGUUAAUUGGUAGAGAUUAAUUGGAGAAAUUGUAUAUAUUUAACUAAAGCAGAUCUCGUUAGUGUAAAACAGAAAAACAAAUGCAAAUUAUUUUGUAAAUGUUUAAUGAAACCUAAUAUAUUUCCUAUUUUAAAUUGGACCACCAUCUCUAACCUUAAAUUUUAUAAAUAAAUAAAAAAAAAUUAAUUAAAGAAGGAUUUAUGUAAUGUAUAUAAUGAAGUUAUUUAUAAAAAAUGAAGGUGACCCACUAGGUUUUUGAUUUGGGCUUUGGGCCAAAAUAUUAGCGUCCAUUCCACGCAGAAUCUUAACUCCUAAGAGUUUUGUACCAGGCACCCCCUCAAUUUGACCUGCCACCCCCCCAAUAUUUUUUAAAGACUAAAAUACUCCUUUGUAAAACAGUAUAAUAUUAUUUUAAAAAUUACCAUUCAGAUUUCACACCCCACCACCUUCGAAAAUUUACAAAAAAAAAUGUUGGAUUCGAAAGUUUAAAAUUUUCGAAAUGAAUUUUAGUAAGUUACUCGAAACUUUUGCUAUUUUAAAACCUUCGAAAUGCAGUUUAUUUAAAAAAAGACAAAUUUUCGAAACUUUGGAUAAAUGCCAAAUUUUCGAAAUAGACAGUAUUCGAAACUUUGCUUGCAUUUGAAAGUUUCGAAAUAGAGUUAUGCUUCGAACAUUUGGCUUUUGAUGAAACCUUCGAAACGUAGUUUCGAAACAUACAAAUCUUUGAAAUGCAUUUUGUACUUCGAAAGUUUGCAUUUUCACCAAAGUUUCGAAAUGCAUUUUGUUCGUCGAAAGUUUUCAUUUUCACAAAAGUUUCGAAAUGUGUGUAAGUUUCGAACUUUUCAUUAAGUUAAAGUUUCGAAAUGUAUUUUAUUAUUUUUUUAAAUUCAAUAUUUAUGUUAGAAAUUAUUUUUAAAUUUUUUUUAAAUUAAAUAUUUAAAAUAUUAUAUUUAAUUAAAUUUGUUACUAAUUUUGAAAUUAGGUAUGAGUAGAGUUGAUGUUUCUGCUUCAAAAAAUGUUAUAGAUACUACAGAAAAAUUCACCACUGAUCAGGUAUUAUUAUAACUACUGAUGAAUCAUCACCAAUUAAAUAUUUCUUAUAGUUAUAUAGUUAAUUUUUAUUUGAAACGUAUUUUGCAGGUAUUUUCUUCUCGAGAAGCUGUAUUUGAAUGGGCAAAAGCGAUUGGAAGACAAAAUGGAAUUUUAAUUGUUACCAUUCGAUCAGAUAAAGCAAACGGAAUUAGGGGAAGAAAAGACAAAUUGAUUUUGGGAUGCAAUCCACCUACAUGCUCUUGGAAGAUGUGCAGGAACCGCACCUCUAUCGCCCCGCUUACAGAUCCUAGGGAAGUGUUCGUAGAUCCAGCACUGCAACAUAAGUAACAUAAUACAACUUAAUUUAAAUACAUAAGUAAAAUAAUACAACUUAAUAAAUAAAAUAAUUAAAUAAAUGUCAAUACCUGUAAAAGGGUCAUGUAACCUCCUAACUGUCGAGUGUCGUGGACAGCCCCAUCUCCCAUGUUAUCAUACAGGAAAACCAAUGCCGCGGCAGCCCACGAAUAGUGUCGACAACGAGCUAAAUCAAUAAAUAAACUAAUGUAUUUCGCCUCCACACGCGUAUGCGUUUUAUCGGCGAAAAUGGUGCUGCCAACUAAGUGCAAUAGAUACGCUCUAGCCGCACACUCAAACUGAUUAGUUUGAAUGAGACGACUAUAUAAGUCACGCAGCCACUGCAAUCUAUAUUGGGCACAUUUAUUAAAAUUAAUCUCAGCUAGAGAUUCAUCCCAAGUUGCACCUAAGUACUCAUGUGCAGCUCUAGCAGCAUUAUUAGUACUCAUAUUCACAAGUGCAUCAAAAAAUUUACCAUUCGGUGAUAUGUGAAGGAGAGUAGCUACGUCGUCUAAAGUAAUGGUCAUCUCUCCAAAUGGCAAAUGAAAUGAGCUGGUCUCCCUGUGCCAUCUUUCAAUAAAUGCCGAGACGAGACCAGCAUCAACCAUAGUGAGGUAGGCCGAAGAAAGAGGUAGCAGCCCAGAUUCCCGAAUCCAACGCUCUACAGGAUGUGGCACAGGAACUUCAGAAAACUUCUUCAACUUCAAUCCAUGAGUAAUGACCUUUAACGGUCCACGAUCCUGCGAGUAAUUACAAAGUAAUUAAUUAAUUAAAUAACAUUAAACAAAUAAUUGAAUAAAUAAAUUUAAAUAAACAAUUAAUUAAAUAAAUAAUUCAAUAAAUAUAUUUAAAUAAACAAUUACUUAAAUCAACUUAAACAACUAAUUGAAUAAAUAAAUUUAAACAAACAACAAAUUAAAUAAACUUAAUUAAAUAACCUUAAACAAAUAUUUGAAUAAAAUAAAUUUAAAUCAACUUAAACAAAUAUUUGAAUAAAUAAAUUUAAAUAAAUUUAACUAAACAAUUAAUUAAAUAAACUUAAUUUAAUAUUUAAAUAUAUAAAUUUAAAUAAACAAUUAAAUAUAUAAUUGAAUAAAUAUAUUUCAAUAAACACUUGAAUUAAAUAGACUUAAAAUGCCUCAAAUUGAAAUAUACCUCUCCUUCCCAUAGCCGCCGAGCCACGUGGUGCUCAUACUGUGUCAACACAUGUCUCAACAUAGGUCCUCCGGGGAAUCCAGCAUCAUCAGCAUGUUCCAUCUGAGGCUCAGGGACAUCCUCCUCCAACUGAGGCUCAGGGACAUGGUCCUCCAUCUGAGGCUCAGUGACAUCCUCCUCCAUCUGAGGCUCACAGACAUCCUCCUCCAUCUGAGGCUCACAGACAUCCUCCUCCAUCUGAGGCUCACAGACAUCCUCCUCCAUCUGAGGCUCAGGGACAUCCUCCUCCAACUGAGGCUCAGGGACAUGGUCCUCCAUCUGAGGCUCAGUGACAUCCUCCUCCAUCUGAGGCUCAGGGACAUCAUCAUGGAUGUCUUGUCUUCGACGACGAUGCCUAAUUUGACGAUUUGCUUCGUUUCGUCGUCUAUUUGAUGCUGUUGGUGGAAUUCUCUCAACACCAUCACCACCUCUAUCACCACCUACAAUAUUGCGAAUAAUUUGGCCGAAAGCACCUCUCAUCCUAGGCACUGCAACAUAUAAAUAUAUAAAUAUUAAAAAAAAUUAUAAACAAUAAAAAAUCAAUGUAACAAUAUAUAAAUAAUAUAUUAAUAAUAUAUAAAUGUAAUAAUAUAUAAAUAAUAUGUCCAAUUUCGUUUCAAAAANNNNNNNNNNNNNNNNNNNNNNNNNNNNNNNNNNNNNNNNNNNNNNNNNNNNNNNNNNNNNNNNNNNNNNNNNNNNNNNNNNNNNNNNNNNNNNNNNNNNNNNNNNNNNNNNNNNNNNNNNNNNNNNNNNNNNNNNNNNNNNNNNNNNNNNNNNNNNNNNNNNNNNNNNNNNNNNNNNNNNNNNNNNNNNNNNNNNNNNNNNNNNNNNNNNNNNNNNNNNNNNNNNNNNNNNNNNNNNNNNNNNNNNNNNNNNNNNNNNNNNNNNNNNNNNNNNNNNNNNNNNNNNNNNNNNNNNNNNNNNNNNNNNNNNNNNNNNNNNNNNNNNNNNNNNNNNNNNNNNNNNNNNNNNNNNNNNNNNNNNNNNNNNNNNNNNNNNNNNNNNNNNNNNNNNNNNNNNNNNNNNNNNNNNNNNNNNNNNNNNNNNNNNNNNNNNNNNNNNNNNNNNNNNNNNNNNNNNNNNNNNNNNNNNNNNNNNNNNNNNNNNNNNNNNNNNNNNNNNNNNNNNNNNNNNNNNNNNNNNNNNNNNNNNNNNNNNNNNNNNNNNNNNNNNNNNNNNNNNNNNNNNNNNNNNNNNNNNNNNNNNNNNNNNNNNNNNNNNNNNNNNNNNNNNNNNNNNNNNNNNNNNNNNNNNNNNNNNNNNNNNNNNNNNNNNNNNNNNNNNNNNNNNNNNNNNNNNNNNNNNNNNNNNNNNNNNNNNNNNNNNNNNNNNNNNNNNNNNNNNNNNNNNNNNNNNNNNNNNNNNNNNNNNNNNNNNNNNNNNNNNNNNNNNNNNNNNNNNNNNNNNNNNNNNNNNNNNNNNNNNNNNNNNNNNNNNNNNNNNNNNNNNNNNNNNNNNNNNNNNNNNNNNNNNNNNNNNNNNNNNNNNNNNNNNNNNNNNNNNNNNNNNNNNNNNNNNNNNNNNNNNNNNNNNNNNNNNNNNNNNNNNNNNNNNNNNNNNNNNNNNNNNNNNNNNNNNNNNNNNNNNNNNNNNNNNNNNNNNNNNNNNNNNNNNNNNNNNNNNNNNNNNNNNNNNNNNNNNNNNNNNNNNNNNNNNNNNNNNNNNNNNNNNNNNNNNNNNNNNNNNNNNNNNNNNNNNNNNNNNNNNNNNNNNNNNNNNNNNNNNNNNNNNNNNNNNNNNNNNNNNNNNNNNNNNNNNNNNNNNNNNNNNNNNNNNNNNNNNNNNNNNNNNNNNNNNNNNNNNNNNNNNNNNNNNNNNNNNNNNNNNNNNNNNNNNNNNNNNNNNNNNNNNNNNNNNNNNNNNNNNNNNNNNNNNNNNNNNNNNNNNNNNNNNNNNNNNNNNNNNNNNNNNNNNNNNNNNNNNNNNNNNNNNNNNNNNNNNNNNNNNNNNNNNNNNNNNNNNNNNNNNNNNNNNNNNNNNNNNNNNNNNNNNNNNNNNNNNNNNNNNNNNNNNNNNNNNNNNNNNNNNNNNNNNNNNNNNNNNNNNNNNNNNNNNNNNNNNNNNNNNNNNNNNNNNNNNNNNNNNNNNNNNNNNNNNNNNNNNNNNNNNNNNNNNNNNNNNNNNNNNNNNNNNNNNNNNNNNNNNNNNNNNNNNNNNNNNNNNNNNNNNNNNNNNNNNNNNNNNNNNNNNNNNNNNNNNNNNNNNNNNNNNNNNNNNNNNNNNNNNNNNNNNNNNNNNNNNNNNNNNNNNNNNNNNNNNNNNNNNNNNNNNNNNNNNNNNNNNNNNNNNNNNNNNNNNNNNNNNNNNNNNNNNNNNNNNNNNNNNNNNNNNNNNNNNNNNNNNNNNNNNNNNNNNNNNNNNNNNNNNNNNNNNNNNNNNNNNNNNNNNNNNNNNNNNNNNNNNNNNNNNNNNNNNNNNNNNNNNNNNNNNNNNNNNNNNNNNNNNNNNNNNNNNNNNNNNNNNNNNNNNNNNNNNNNNNNNNNNNNNNNNNNNNNNNNNNNNNNNNNNNNNNNNNNNNNNNNNNNNNNNNNNNNNNNNNNNNNNNNNNNNNNNNNNNNNNNNNNNNNNNNNNNNNNNNNNNNNNNNNNNNNNNNNNNNNNNNNNNNNNNNNNNNNNNNNNNNNNNNNNNNNNNNNNNNNNNNNNNNNNNNNNNNNNNNNNNNNNNNNNNNNNNNNNNNNNNNNNNNNNNNNNNNNNNNNNNNNNNNNNNNNNNNNNNNNNNNNNNNNNNNNNNNNNNNNNNNNNNNNNNNNNNNNNNNNNNNNNNNNNNNNNNNNNNNNNNNNNNNNNNNNNNNNNNNNNNNNNNNNNNNNNNNNNNNNNNNNNNNNNNNNNNNNNNNNNNNNNNNNNNNNNNNNNNNNNNNNNNNNNNNNNNNNNNNNNNNNNNNNNNNNNNNNNNNNNNNNNNNNNNNNNNNNNNNNNNNNNNNNNNNNNNNNNNNNNNNNNNNNNNNNNNNNNNNNNNNNNNNNNNNNNNNNNNNNNNNNNNNNNNNNNNNNNNNNNNNNNNNNNNNNNNNNNNNNNNNNNNNNNNNNNNNNNNNNNNNNNNNNNNNNNNNNNNNNNNNNNNNNNNNNNNNNNNNNNNNNNNNNNNNNNNNNNNNNNNNNNNNNNNNNNNNNNNNNNNNNNNNNNNNNNNNNNNNNNNNNNNNNNNNNNNNNNNNNNNNNNNNNNNNNNNNNNNNNNNNNNNNNNNNNNNNNNNNNNNNNNNNNNNNNNNNNNNNNNNNNNNNNNNNNNNNNNNNNNNNNNNNNNNNNNNNNNNNNNNNNNNNNNNNNNNNNNNNNNNNNNNNNNNNNNNNNNNNNNNNNNNNNNNNNNNNNNNNNNNNNNNNNNNNNNNNNNNNNNNNNNNNNNNNNNNNNNNNNNNNNNNNNNNNNNNNNNNNNNNNNNNNNNNNNNNNNNNNNNNNNNNNNNNNNNNNNNNNNNNNNNNNNNNNNNNNNNNNNNNNNNNGGACAUCCUCCUCCAACUGAGGCUCAGGGACAUGGUCCUCCAUCUGAGGCUCAGUGACAUCCUCCUCCAUCUGAGGCUCAGGGACAUCAUCAUGGAUGUCUUGUCUUCGACGACGAUGUCUAAUUUGACGAUUUGCUUCGUUUCGUCGUCUAUUUGAUGCUGUUGGUGGAAUUCUCUCAACACCAUCACCACCUCUAUCACCACCUACAAUAUUGCGAAUAAUUUGGCCGAAAGCACCUCUCAUCCUAGGCACUGCAACAUAUAAAUAUAUAAAUAUUAAAAAAAAUUAUAAACAAUAAAAAAUCAAUGUAACAAUAUAUAAAUAAUAUAUUAAUAAUAUAUAAAUGUAAUAAUAUAUAAAUAAUAUGUCCAAUUUCGUUUCAAAAAAUUAAAAAUAAUAUAUAAACGUACGUUUCGAACCUUUCCCAUCCAAACCUUCGAAACUGGGUUUCGAACCUUUCCCAGAUCCAAAAUUUCGAACCUGUGUUUCGAAACUUUCCCAGAACAUUUCGAAAGUUUCCCCUGGCCUUGCAUUUCGAAGAUUUCAAUUCAAGAAACUUUUGAAAGUUUCUUGUUUCGAAGAUUUCAAAAUGUUCGAGGAAUGCAUUUCGAAUGUUUCAAAUUCAAGGAAACUUUCGAAACUUUCUUCUGUUUCGAAUCUUACAAAUGCAUUUCGAAAGUUUCAAAAACUGCAAAUUUUCGAAAGGAAACUUACUUUUGCGUUUCGAAUCUUUGAGAUCUUCGAAGGUUAGGUUGAUUCUGGAUCGAAUAUUUGAAAUGUUCGAAUGAUUUGGUGAAAAGUGUGGGUAAAUUUUUUUUUUGGUUUUUAUAUAUGUGAUAGAGGGUAAAGUUGUCUUUUAAGCAUAACUGGGGGGUGGCAGGUCAAAUUGGGGGGUGCCUGGUACAAAACUCAACUCCUAAUUAGGGAUGAGCAAAAUUCAGUUAUGCUUGAAAACUGAACCGAACCAAACUGAACUAGUUUUCAGUUCAGAAAAAACCAAACCGAAUUAGUUUACAGUUUAUAAAACUGAACCGAACUGGUUCUAUAAACCAGUGAAUCGGUUUAAUACUCCAAACUGAACUGAAUCGGUUUUAAUUUAUUUUUACCUGUACGAAAUCGAAUAGAUUGAACCGUGCUAUUUAUUUCCUAUAUAACUUUUUCAGGGUUCUGAUUCGCUACUGUUAAACCAGUCACGACCUUAACCCCAUUCAAAGAACCCUUGGGUUUCAACUCUGGUAGCUUCCAUUCAGCCACCGUCUUCUCCUCUUCACUGGAACUCGUGACACAGUUUUCCAUCAAAUUCAAAAUCUGAUGUUUAUGAGUUUCCUCUUUCAUCCUUUGCGCAAUUCUCGUGUAAGUUGAAAACCACUUCAAAUCUUCUCCACGACGGCACGUGCAUUUCAUUCUUCUUCAAACUCUGCUUCGCUGCCUCCAUUACAAUUUCCACGAUUCUCUCUAAACGUUCGCACGUGCCAACGAAUAUGUAAGGAAGGUUAUGGAGAAUCAUUUUGUAUACUUUUGUUGAUCUUGCGAUCUCGAAUUCUGACUUGAAGUCGAUGUCAAUUAUCAAUUGUUUUGUAUUUAACGUUAAGCUUCAUUUCAAUUUUAGGGUCCUAAUUUUGAUUUUAGGGUUUUGAGAUUUUGAUUGAGAUUUUGUUAAAAUUAAAAUUUAAAACUAAAUUAUGGUUACAGUGCACCUAUAUUUGCUACAAUCAGUUCAUUUAAAAAAACUGAUUUUAAAAUAAAGUUUGAUUUUUAAUUUUUUUGAAUUGGUUUAGUUUAAAAGCAGUUUGGUUUGGUUCAGUUCUAUAAAUCAGUUCAGUUUUUGGUUUUUUCCCACCCCUACUAAUAACCCUGGUUUCUAGUUUACUUAUCUUGUUUUGAUUUUGAAAGAAUAAAAACCUACCAAUCACUCUCUAACCUCUCUCAUCUUUGCUCUUCGCCGUCACCGCAACCACCGUUCCCUCAAAUCAAAAUACCAUGUCGGACGAAGAGCACCAUUUCGAAUCCAAGGCCGACGCCGGAGCCUCCAAAACCUACCCUCAACAAGCCGGUACCAUCCGUAAAAACGGUUACAUCGUCAUCAAAAACCGUCCUUGCAAGGUCCGUAUCCACAUUCUAAUUCCUUUUUUAAUUAGGUUUUUACUAAAUUAAUCAUUGAUUUGAUUUCAUGUAUUUGAUUAGAUCCAGUUUUUCUGCUUCACUGUUUUGGUUUCAUAUUUAAUUUAUUUUUUCUAUGUUGAAAUCUAUGUUUUUUUAUUGAUUUAAGUUCAAAAUUAAUCAUGAUUUUGAUUUGAUUUGUUCAAUUUUUGAGUAAAUUAAUCUAUGUUUCUGUUGCUUCACUGUUUUUGUUCAAUUUUUGAUGGAUUUGUGAGUUGAAUUUUCUGUUAUUGAUUUCCUUUUAUCAAUUAAUCAUCCGUUUGAUGGCUAUUUUUCUGAAAAUUAGUGUAUGUUUGGAAUUAGGGUUUUGGUGAAGGGAGUUUAAGAUGGCUAUGUCUAUAUUCUGUUAUAUAUUUGAGAUUUAAACAUUUCAAUCACAAUUAAUUUAUUUUUAGUAUAAUUUUAGAGUUUCUUUAAUUUAUCCUUAAUAUUGAAAAGAAAAAUAAGUCUUCCCCGUUUUCUUAAUAUUAGGUGAGUCUGCUUACUGAAAAUGGGAACACUAAGGAUGACCUCAAGCUUCCUACCGAUGACAGUCUACUCACUCAGGUUUGUACAGAUCUCAUGAUUCCUUGUUUGAAUUUACCAAUAUGGUGUUAUUUUUAUGUCUUUUGUAUCGUGUGUUUGAGUAAUAUGUGUUACUUGAUUGCAGAUUAAGGAUGGAUUUUUAUUUGUGUAACAAUACGGAAUUUAGAUAUGAUGUGAUUUUCUGUUGGGAUUGUGAGAAUUUGGAAUCUUUAAUGUUUCAGUGCUUAUUGCUUAUUCGUUUAACAGUAAGGAACUUAGAUAUGAUGUGAUUGUUUAUAGGAGUGUGAAAAUUUGUAGUUAUAAUGUUUAAGUGCACAAUCCUUUUACAGUAAGGAAUUAUAAUAGAAAAAAAAAAAAUUCUACCUGAAAGUUCAUGAUUUUUUCUAAAAAUAUAUGCCUGUGAAGAGUUUUUAUUUCCUUUCAUUUAACAUGUUUUUUUGUUGUACGACAGGGGAAGAAAAAGGAAGGAAAUGCUGCUAAAUUUGUCACUAGGAAUCAUGCUCUCAAGCAGCUUCAAAUCAGUCUACCCCUUUUCAGGUUCCAUAUGCUCAUAUAUAUAUAUAAACCAACAUUAAUGCUAUAUAUGAUAAUUUUCUUUUUCCCGAAAUGUCAUGAAGCACAUUCUGCUUUAAAGAAAAUUGCAAAAACUGUUCUACACCUGAAUUGGGCGAAAAACAUGGCAAUGAAAGUGAAAUAGCAAAUCAUAAUGAUUUGUGCUGUAAUUGUGAUGGUUACUUUCGUGACAUGAAUCAUUAUCCAUAAACCAAUUUAUGGGGCUUUUGUAGGAAAAGAAGGGUUUCUUUGGGUUAAAUUUCUCUUAGCUUGAUUACAUAUACAUAUUUUUUGUUAUCAUUAUUGAUCUAAUCUGUUAUCAUUUUGAAUAUGCAUAUAUUUAGCGUUACUCUUAAAUAUUUUGAAAAGUUAAUAUGGUUAAAUGUGAAGUUGAUUUUUUGUAAAUUUUAGGAAGCUGUGCAUUUUGAAAGGUGUAACUCCCCGGGAGCCUAAGAAAAAGUUAGGACGUCAGACUUGCUACCAUGUGAAGGAUAUAAGCUUUCUACAUCACGAGCCUUUGCUGGAAAUACAUAGAGCAAUAAGAGUACAUGAAAGAAAAAUUAAGAAAGCAGAGGCAAAGAAAAACAUUGAACGUGCAAAGAGGUUACGUGAUAAAACACCCAAACCCAAGUUAGAUAGGAUUAUUCGACAAAGGUUUGUUUGUUUUGGUUUUUUCCUUUCUAAAUUUCAAUUUAUGUCCUGUAGCCGGCGACAUAUUUCCAAUCUUUUUCUUCUCAUUCUUUGAAUUAUAGGUACCCAAGAUUUGGGGAUGCACUUGGAGAAUUGGAUGGCUGCCUUACAAUGGUACAUCUUUUUGCAGCAUUACCUGCGACUGAGAGCAAAAAAAUUGAUGUGGAGCGUGUCCAUAAAUGUCGAAGGUAUGUACAUGGAAUUAUAAUAACUUUAAAUUGAUUUGUCAUAAAGAAUUUAGGCCUUUGUGCCUAAAUCUUUACUUUGAAAAUAACAACUAGGGGAUUAGAUUUUUAUAUUAAAAUCUUGUCAUUUACAUUAAUUUUCUUUUACCUUAUGCUGUAAUAAUAUUUAUAUUCUUUUGUUUAUUGCAUGCACGUAUUCAUGCUGUAAUAAUUUUUAUAUUUAUCUUCUUUUGUUUAUUGCAUGCCCGUAUUCUAGAUUGGCGCAUGAAUGGCAAGCAUACAUAUCUCGUACUCACAGGUUAAGAAAAACAUUUGUAUCUGUUAAAGGCAUAUACUACCAGGUACUGAUUGUGGCAUUUGUUAUGUUAAUCAAUCAUAAUUGUACAUUUUAUUGAUUUAUUAUGUUGUUUGUGCAGGCUGAAGUCGAGGGUCAGACAAUAACAUGGUUAACUCCUCAUUCACUGCAGCAGGUUGUGUCUGAUGAUGUUGACAUCCCCACCAUGCUUAACUUUCUGCAAUUAUAUGAGGUCAGUUUAGUUUUAUGUUUGUAUUAAGUGUCUUCAUUUUUUGAUAAAUAAUCAAUGUCCAUAUCAUCCGAAGUAAUAGGAUAAUAGAUCUAAAUAUUUUAAUCAUGUAAACAUUUAAUUUGAAUAUGUUCUGCUGUGUUACGAUUAUCAUGUGGUUCAUGUAUAAAACAAAUUUAGUUAGUCAACUUAAGUUCAUGUACUAAUUGGUAUGGUAAACUUCUACUUUCUAAUGAAUUGCUGCAGCCUCUUCUUGCUCGAUCCUCGCUUGGAGGCGUUGGCAGCAGGUACCAUUUUCUCAACUUUUAUGGAAUUUGGUGAACUUGAAUUGCUGCAGAGAUUUGAUGUAUCUGCCGAUCAAUUUUCUUUUUAAACUUUGUAGAUCUAUAUGCAUUGUCAAGAUAUGCCAAUGCCGACAACAGACCCGCAAUACUGAGUUCUGAAGCUUCUCAAUUAGUUGAAUCUGAACAAGGGGGGAACAAGAAAACUGAGGCAGAGACUGAAAAUGAAAAAUCUGAACUUAGACUUGCUCAACUUCAGAAUCAACUUCCGUCUAAUGAACCCGGUGCACUAAUGCACCUUGUUGAGAAAGCUGCAGGUGAUGAUGAAGAGGAAUAUGAUCAAGAGACACGAGAAUGCAAAAAUCUCUUUCGAAAUGUCAAAAUUUUCUUGAGCAGGGAGGUAGGACCUUAAAGCAUUUGCAUUUAAUUUUGCAAUAUAAAUUAUUAGAAAAUAUAAAAAGUUGAUGUUUGGAAUAGUGAAGUUAAAAAAGGGUUAGGUCUCAAAGUAUUAUACUUGGAAGUAUUAACAUAUAUAAAAAUCCCAAGAUUAUUAGUAAGUGAAUGGAGUCUCCAACACUGUAAUUGAAAGGGACACAGUUCCAGGUGACACUCUCACAUACCAACCUCGGUUCUACUUUUUUUUUUCUCUUUACUCUUUCAAGUUUUCCAUCUAAAUAAAGUAUACUUGAAAAGGAAGUAAGAGAAUGAUGAGUGAGUAUUUGAUAUAUCUUAAAAUAUUUAAUCCAUCAUAUACCCAUACCAUAUAACUUUCUCUCUCUGACUUUUAAUUAUUUAAUUUUCCUUUAAGGCCUACUUCACUUUUUCUCUGUUGCAGCUUUGAGUCUAUAAAUAAAUAAAUAAAUAAAAUUUGUCCUAUUUCUGUUUGAUAAGUAAUAUAUUAAUUUGCCAAUUUAGUGCUGGAUCACUCACUGUCUCCAACUUUAUGGCCGAUUAGAGUGUGAAUACGCUAUGAUUAAACCUUAGAUCCCAAGGCUUCAACAAACCAAAGCUCUCUGAUAUUUUGAAGUCAUAGCAACCACGCUAUUAUACUUGGAAGUAUUAACAUAUAUAAAAAUCACUUCACGAUAAGACAGUUGAGUGGUUUACACAUUUUCUAUUGGAAUGUCUCAUAGAGAUGCCAAUCAGGGUUGGGACAAACACUUCAACUAUUAUGACUAAACAUGGUCACUGCAAUGUCUUGUUUUCAUUUUGUAUUUGUGGAGUUUCAUUGGUCAGUUAUAUGUAGGUACCAGAAGUAAGCUUUUUCUGAGGCUUAUGACAUGCUCGUAUAUUAAAAAGUUGAUGAAGCUAACAAUGCAAUGCCCAUUAAAAACUUAGCCUUUAUUGUGUAUAUUUUGACAUUGCCUGCAUCUGUUGUGGUUUAAUUGUUCAGGUACCAAGGGAAUCAUUGCUUCUUGUUAUUCCUGCUUUUGGUGGUAAAGUUUCAUGGGAGGGAGAGGGGGCUCCUUUUGGGGAAUCAGACCAGAGCAUUACUCACCAGGUUUGUGAUUUAGGUGACAUAACUUUUUUGAACUUUGUUUUAGGUUCACUUAGCUAAUUCUUUCAUUUCUUUAGAUCGUUGAUCGGGAAUCACAAGGACAUAGGUUCCUCUCAAGAGAAUAUGUUCAACCACAGUGGGUAUUUGAUUGUGUGAAUGCACGCAUAAUUUUGCCAACAGAAAGUUAUAUGGUUGGAAGGUAACUUCUAAUUCAUCUGCGCUAUAGUAUACUGACUUCUCACCUCUGUUGUACAGUUUAUAACCCCAUUUGGCGUUGAUUGUGGUGGUUUACAAUUCCUUUAUUUUACAAUGUAGACAUUGUUAAUAUAUUGCUUCUCACCUAAAUUAGUACGUGGGCCUCUGUUCUUUGGUAAUUGAUGUUGUAUUAUCUGUGAUUAUUUUUUAGGUUCAUUUUAUUUGUGAUUAUUUGGUCGGCAUGUGCUAAUUUUGGUCUGAGGAAAAUAAUUUGUUCUACAAGGGAUCAUGAUAUCUUAAUUUUUUGAAAAAUGGAUAAUAUUUUGCUAAUUAAAAAUAUAAUAUUUUAAAUUUCGAAAAAAAUCCACAUGUAUAAUAAUACACAUAUACUGACAGUACAAAGUCCCAUAGGCUGUGGAAUAAAUCUUACCGGUCAUGCAGAUUUUAGUGUCAAUCUCUUUAAAAUAUAUAUACCCAACCUCAUAUAGUAAGUUGUGUCACAUUGGAUGUAUUAUUAUUAUUGUUGAUGUUGUUGUAAAUUAUGAUACAACAUCAAAUCUACACGACUUGUGUAUAAAAUCAAUUAUUUAGGGUUGGUUUACUUUGUGAAAACAUUGUGUUUUCAUUUUCUGAAAUGUGCUCAUUUUACCGUGAUAAGAGACUCUUGAAGUGAACGAAUGUCAUAGAGAAUGUGAAAUGCUAGUUAAUGAAGAUGCAUUUAUGGAAAUAAUGAAAAUAAUUGACAUGUUCAUUUUUUUCUAUAAACGUAGACAAUUGUUAACUUCAGUAAUUGUUAACUUCAGUAAUCUGUUACUGUCUUAUUAACAAGUAAAAUAAAUACAAAUUUUAAGAAAUGAAAAUAGGAAAGGCUUUCCCAAAUUAAACAGGCCCUUAGUUGUCGUUGCCAAUGUCAAGUCAUCAUCAAUCAUUCAUUAACUUGAGAGUCAAGAUCAGAAAAAAUCUUACAUAUAUUUGUUUGUAUUUCCGCGAGAGUACAUUUUUAUUAUAUUCAAAGAAAAGUGUCUAUAUUAAAGAAAAAGCCUAUCAUAUCCGACUUUAACGAAAUUUUUCUUGUUAAAAUGCUUCUUUUAUUAACAGAAUUCCUCCACCGCACUUGUCCCCGUUCGUUAACUAUGACGAAGAAGGGGCAUAUGUUCCGGAGUAUGCAAAGACCAUUAAACACUUGCAAGCUGCUGCCAGAAAGGAAGUCCUUCCACUUCCAGGUGUUGAAAAAGAUCUCGAAGAUCCUCAAAAUCUUCUGGCUGACGGUAUCAUUGAUCGAGCAGAGGCUAACGAAGCGGCUAAGAGAAAGCAGAAGGUAUGCAUACUGAGACACGAACAGUGCAUAUUGAUUGGAGGCUAUCAUUCUAUGUUUUACUUUGUUGAUAAUAAUAUGUAAGUAAUUCCAUUUCAAUUGUUGUCUUGCAGAUGAUGAUUCUAGAGAAGCAAUACCAUGAGGAUUUGAUGAAAGAACUUCAGGGUGCUACAUAUACUUCAGCAGGUUCUACUGCUGAAAAAGAAACAUCUACUGGAUUGAUUCAGACAGCUGAAUCAACGAACAAUGGUCAAGAAAAUGUUGAUGAUUUGACUAAACUUAUGAUGUCUCGUAAAAAGAGGAAGCUAUUAGAAGCCAUGCAGGUACACCUAUUUGUAUCCUCUUUAUACAGAUUUGAAUUUCUUAUCCAUAUUAGUUCUAUUGUUUGUGUACUUCUUUUACUUUUCAAAUUAUCUAUCUGAACUUGCCAUUUGACCAUUACUAUUCUAUUUAAUCCAUAUUCCUAUUUAACCGGUGGGAAAGUGGCAGGUUGUCUUGUAGUUACAAUAAUGUUGCCUUUUUUUAAUUUGUUUUGAUGUUCAUAACUUUUGUUGUUGAAAUGUGUCACUCAGAUAUCGAAUGAGCGCAAGCAAGCUAAAAAUGAUCUUAUCAAACACCGGAAAAAGAAAAUCGACGAAGCUCAGAAUCAAAGGAGUUGAAAGGAAUCUACGUUCUCAAAGGGUUUCAGCUAUAUGCCAUUUCAUUUUGCUAUAUAGGUGCUAGCUGAUUUAUAAGGCUAGUUUUCUUUUGUUGUUUUCCAGUAUAACUUAUUUUAUUUAGUAUCUCUUCUUUCUGUUUUGUAACAUGUUUUGGAAGGGCCAAAGAACAUUUUGAUUUUUUUUAUCUACUAGUUAUACCUUGAUCUACUAGGGUGUGUAAGAAACUGAGUAAAUCCAGUGAACAAUGCUAACUAGUUUGGUUUGGAAUGCAGACGAAAGGCUUUUAUAUCUAAGGAUGUUAAAUGCAGACGAAAGGCUUUUAUAUCUAGCACUUGCGUAAUCAGGUGAUUUUAAAAUUAGAGCAUAAAUGGUACACUACGGAACUAACAAACAGUGCAAAAUUUCAAAAAGUAUGUCCGUGAUUUGGAAUGCUUUAUAUACUUUGUUCAUGUCAGUGCAAAUGAUUGAAUACAUGUGUCAUUUAAAAUUACAAUGGCAACCCCUAAAUACUUCAGUUAAAAAGUAGACAUAAUCAAUAAUACGAGAGGAAAACUUACUAUCAAUUGAGAACAAACACAAGCUUUGAACAUUCCUUAAGAUGUUUUAGAGAUGAAAAUUUACAGACAGAAGGUUCACUGGUUCACAUGAGCAGAGAUGAAUCAACUAAAUGAUAUAAGCUAAUCUCUAACUGAUUUAAAAAGGCCUAUAGUCAAGUAAUUUUCAUCUAUAUUUUCCUAUUUUUGGCACCUCUAACUUUAAUCUGGGAUAUCUAUUAAAAUAUUGAUCAAUAGGUAGUGCUACUAAACAAUAUCAACUUGUUUCAAUUGGAUAUGAUCUUGAUUUCUAAGUCACUCUCCAUUCCGAAAUUUCCCAACAGCUGCAUCCUCAACCAAUUAUGAUGAUUUCAAAUACAUAAAUAAGUAAUCAACUAGUUCACAACAUGAAUUUCAAUGUGUGUACCUCAUUUGUUCAGCUAUCAUAAUUUCAAUCUCUGCCAAUUGAGGAUUAUCCGUGUCAUUCAUGAAAAUAUUAACAUCACCAACCAUAGCUGCAAAUAGCAUAUAUAUAUAUAUAUAUAUAUAUAUAAGUCUCCAAUGUUAAUAAAUUGAACAAUAAUGAAUUAAAGGUCACCAUGAAUUAAAAGUCUCUAGAGUUGAUAAAUUAUGUGAUCAUGCAAUGGCCAUCCGCUCAUUUUCUAUGAACUUUCAUAUAAGUGAUUAUAUUGUUGAGAAUCAUUGAAACGAGUCUAUGAUCAACCAGGUCCUUCUUAAUAACAUUUGUAUCAUAAUUGCAAGUCUUAAGCCUCCUUUUGCAGGAUGAUUUCCCUAUAUGGAAGUUUUUUAAUGAAAAUUUAUUCACUAUUAAUUUUUGUCAAGAGAGCAUCAUACUCCUUUUGAGUCCCCUAAUUUUAAUCUGGUGUGGAAAUGAAUUGGACCUCCCAGAUUUCAUACAUUUCUUUUAAAAGUUUUCACACAAACAACUUCUAACUAAUGCCAAAAGAAACCAUUGGGGUAUAUCUGAUAAUAUGGUUUGCAUCAGAUGCUCCCAAGUUUCGGAAACUAUUAUGCACGUUCUUAGAGAUUUUAAUGUGGCACAUAGUCUUUGGAAAAACUUUAUUACUAUGGAGAGUGAGCAAUCAAGUUCCUUUUUUAGACUCACGCUUCCUCAAUGAAUUGGCUUUAAUCUUACGGUAGUUGAUGUUAGUUUGAUCAGAGGCCAUUGGCCUCUGGUGUUUGGAAUCAUGGUAAAUUGUGGAUGGAUAGGAACCAAGUAGUUUUAUCAAGAACACCACUUAAUGCUAAAAAAAUUUGUAAUCUUUUUAUAGAAAACCUUUCUCCAUUCAUCAACAUCUUUACCUUUGUCCUCCUUCCUUUUUUAGAGGAUCGUAAGAGAGAGAUUAAUGUUAAAUGGUAUCCUCCAAAAUUCUUUUAAGCUCAACAUUGAUGGUUCUUAUCACAACACAACAGGUCUCAUUGCUUGUGGAUGGAUUAUUAGAGAUCAUAAAUGAGUUUAUAUUCACGGUUUUUUUUGCAAUCUCGGUUGAGCUACAUUUGUGUUAGCUAAACUGUGGGGCUUGUUUCAUGGUCUUAUAAUGACAUGUAGUUCGGUUUUGACUACAAUUUUGGUGAAAUGAACUCUCAUAUGGUAGUCAACAUGAUUUGGUCGAGGGAAAUGGGUAAUCUCUAUCUUACGCCGCUUCGUCAAGAAGUAAUCUCUAUUGUACACGAGGAACGGAAUUGGGUGGUUAAUCAUGUCUAUCUUGAGACUAAUCAAUGUGCAGAUAAGCUAGCUAACCUUAAUCUCAUUUGAGAUUUUAAUUUUAUUGACCCAUGUACUCCUUUUCCUAGUGUAUUACUUCUUAUUGAUGAUGAUUAUAGAGGGAUGUAUUUAUCUCGUUUCUUUCUCGUAAGUUUUCUUUGUAAUUUUCCCUUUUAUCAUGGAGAAAAAGGAAUGUUACUCAACUAAUAAGAUCUUAUCAAAACACAACAGGUCUCAUUGCUUCAUGAUGGCUUAUUAGAGAUCAUAAAGGAGUUUAUAUUUGUGAUUUCUUUUGCAAUCUUGGUCGAGCUACAUAUGUGUUAGCUGAACUUUGGGGCCUGUUUCAUGGUCUUAUAAUGACAUGUAGUUUGAUUUUGACUACUAUUUUGGUGGAAAUGAACUCUCAUAUUGUAGUCACCAUGAUUCAGUCAAGGAAAAUGAAUAAUAUAUAUUUUAUGCCGCUUCAUCAAGAAGUCAUCUCCAUUGUAAACCAGGAAUGGAUUUGUGUGGUUAAUCAUGUCUAUCUUGAGACUAAUCGAUGUUAAUAAGCUAGCUAAUCUUAAUCUCAGUUGAGAUUUUAAUAUUAUUAACCCACUUACUCCUCUUUAUAGUGUGUUACUUCUUAUUGAUGAUGAUUAUAGAUGUAUGUAUUUCUCUCGUUUCUUUCUCGUAAGUUUUCUUUGUAAUUUUCCCUUUUAUCAUGGGAAAAAAAAAAAGGAAUGCUACUCAAAGAAUAAGAUAUGGAGUUUCAAAUUCGAUUCAAACCCCAAAAUCAAUGUCCUAAAAGUAUAUCCUUGAUAAUUCCGCUUCAGACCCUUUUAUUAACAAAAUCAAUGUCCCUUUUAACAAUUUUGGAGCUUUUAUAGUACAUUCAUUAAUCGAAGAGUUUUGGUACAUUUUUUCUCUAAAUCAAUAAAUUAAGGAUAAUUUUAAUGAAUCAAAUAGUUAUUUAUUGACUUUUGUAUUUUAUAAAAGAUCAUUUCAUAUGAAAAAAAAAACGAUUUUGUUGUUUAUAAGUACUAUACUAGUUUUUUCUAUUUUAUUGUAAAAAUAUUCAAUAUUCACAAUUAUGAUUUAUUUGACUUACACUUUUGAUAAAUAAUAUUUAGUUAUUAUAAUUAUAUAAAUAAUAGGAAUUAUUUUUUUCCUAAAAAAUUCAAUUAACUAUUAAUUUAAAUAUCAAAUGUAUUGAUACAUGUCAAAUUAAUUGAUUUACUGAAGAAAUGCUCUUUCAAAAUAGUUCCGUCGCUAAAUUAAUCCACUUACAAUAAAAAUAUAGAUGAGUACAAGAGAAGAUUUCAAUAAUUAAUCCUAAGCUAAAUUAGACUUUUAGUCCCUCAACUUAGAUUUUGGUUUCAAUUUAAUCUCCUAAUCAUUUUCAUUUUGUUUUAGUCUCUUACAUAUACUUUUGUUAGUCAAGUUGGUCAUAUCUGUUAAUUUUUGAAAUCUUCUCUUGUGCCCAUCUAUAUUUUUGUUCUUCUUCAACCUAAAAGUAGUGGUUUUGUUCCUCUUUUCAACUGUACUCUGCAUAACUUGUGACUAAUUUUGUUCACAGCGAGAACACUAAUAAAUACAUAUGAAGAACAAAAUGGAUGAAUUGAAGUGACAUCAUUCAAAAAAAAAGUCAAGUUAAAUUCUCCAAAAAGAUCUAGAAAAUGUCUAUUUAUUAGCAUGACAUUAUCAUCAUUUUGCAAUUUGAUGGUACACACAAACCAUUUAAACAUACGGAUUGUGUGGCAUCAAAGUAGUAUCAAAAGAUUACAAUGAUAGUAAGUAAUAGUAUCACAAGAUUCGUUAGAAGAAUACCAUCUUCCACUACAUUUGAUUUGUUAAAUUGUCCAAUUACCAAAGAUCUUUAACCAUUUUCAAAUGUUGAAAUAAGGGUUCCUACAACAAGGAGAUGAAAACUUAAAACUCAAACAUGGAUACAACCGAGACAUAUAUCGCAAAUCCUAAUAAAUAAAACACGAAUAUUUGCUAUAAUAUCACUUGUUGGAGAUUCCAAUGGUGAUAGUUACUCCGCAUACCAAAAACCUUAAGGCAUAUCUCCACCCACCUAAAUCCCAAUAAAGUUGAUGUUGCAAUCACUUCCAACUUCAAAGACAUUCUUGAUGUGGAAGAUUUUACCACAUCCUUGGUCAUGUGAGAAGAUUGAAAGCAAAUAAAUAAAGUGUGCAUCAGAUGCUUUUUAUGUUGUACGAACCAUGUGCUAACACAUGCAUACUCAAUUUUAAAAUAUAUCUACAGUUUUACGAUCACUUGAUUUUCUAGGCAAUUCAACUUCAAAAUUUAUGCUAAAUGAUAUGGUUUAAAGGUGUGCUAUAACAAAUUCAAUAACAAAACUUGUAGAAACAAUGAUAUAACCAUCCAUCAUCCAUCAGUUACAUGACUAAAGUAAAUUUAACUAUUGAAUAAAGACCUCUUAUACUUUUUCUUUGUUUAGCUAUUAGUUUGUUCUCUCAUCCAUCAUCCAACACUAUUUUUGCAACACCUCAUAAGUGGUCCCUGAAAUCUAAAUGGGAACAACAAAAAUGUUGUACUGCAUAUAAAAAACCAAAACAAAUGCUAAAAGGUGUGGAAUAAUUUGAUAAAAUGUCCUAUUAAACAAGUAUUUAUUUCACAAAAGUUUUUGGAUAGAAUAAUUUGUCCAAAGAACAAAGGUGUGGAAUCAGAAACAUGACGUGUGAAAGGAGUAAAGAACAUUGAAACUAUAUCAAUAGAAUACCAUAUAUUGAAUAUGAGGUAUAGAUGUUUAUUUAUUAGCAACAGUAGUACAGAAGCUAACUUGCAAAAGUUAUGAUGUACAAUGAGUUUUUGUUUAAGCCAUAUGUGUUUUAACUUGAAGAAAAUGUUUCCUAAUAAAGGACUUUGUAGCUCCUUUAACACAUGCUAAAAUGUCCUAUUAAACAAGUAUUUAUUUCACAAAAGUUUUUUGAUAGAAUAAUUUGUCCAAAGAAGAAAAGGUGUGGAAUCAGAAACAUGACGUGUGAAAGGAGUAAAGAACAUUGAAACUAUAUCAAUAGAAUACCAUAUAUUGAAUAUGAGUUAUAUAUGUUUAUUUAUUAGCAACAGUAGUGCAUAAGCUAAGUUGCACAAGUUAUGAUGUACAAUGAGUUUUUGUUUAAGCCAUAUGUGUUUUAAUUUGAAGGAAAUGCUUCCUAAUAAAGGACACUCCAACUCCUUUAACAUAAGCUAAAAUGUCCUAUUAAACAAGUAUUUAUUUCACAAAAGUUUUUUGCUAGAAUAAUUUGUCCAAAGAACAAAAGGUGUGGAAUCAGAAACUGAAAGGAGUAAAGAACAUUGAAACCAUAUCAAUAGAAUACUAUAUAUUGAUACGAGGAAUAUAUGUUUAUUUAUUAGCAAGAGUCGCAUAGAACCUAUCUUGCACACAUUAUAAAAAGUAAUUACAGCUUGAAAAACAUGAAAUCAAAUAAUGUUGAGCAACAACAGAAUGAAGCAACUGAAGAAGGUAACAUAGAUCUCCUCUACAAAAUAAUUAAAGAUGAUCAAUCAAUUUUGGAGAGUAUCGAUUCGAAACAAUUUGUGGAAACUCCUUUACAUAUCGCUGCAGCUAUGGGUCGUAUCCAGUUCGCCAAUGAAAUUAUGAGGUUGAAACCUUCAUUUGCUCGUAAGCUAAAUGAACAAGGAUUCAGCCCUAUCCACCUUGCUAUGCUAAACAGCCGAAAGUGGAUGGUGUUUAAUUUUGUUGACAUGAAGAAGCAACUUGUUACAGAUCAAGGAAGAGAAGGCUUAACUCCUCUUCAUUUAGCAAGUGAAAUUGGUGAUAUUGAAUUUUUAGCUAAGUUUAUUUAUGCUUGUCCAGAAUCAAUUGAAUGCUUGACUGCGAGGAAUGAGACUGCACUACAUAUUGCUAUUAAGAAUCAACAGUUUGAGGCUCUUCAAUUUCUUGUUGGCUGGCUCGUAAGAAAUGAGGAGAGAGGUGUUACAGAGUUGGAAAAUAAAAUACUUAACCAAAAGGAUGUGGAUGGAAACACUAUUUUGCACAUUUCAGCUCAAAGUAGUGAUCCACGGGUAACUUUCGUUUGUAUAUUUAUUUUGUUCUCCCCUCAAAUUAAAAACUAUAUGUAAAUGAUUCUCAUAUUUCUUAUUAUUUUACUUUGUAGCACAGACAGUUCGAUUGUUGGUAAAAGACUGGGAUAAAUUUGAAGGCAAAGAACUUAGACAACAAAACAACAUUAGACAUGGCAACCAAUGAAGGUGCAAAAAGUGGCUCACAAGUCAUUGACAUACGUUCACAAGAACUAAUAAUACCAAUGACGACACUAUAUGAUAAAAUGUUAAUUUUAUUACGUCGCCUUAGUAACGAUAUAUCAAAUAAUCAACGCGAAACUUUGCUGAUAGUUGUGACACUUGUUGCGACUGCCACUUAUGAAUCAGCAAUGAGUCCCCCUGGUGGAAUUUAUCAGGCUGAUGCUGGUGACAAUAAUGUGAAAAUCAGUUCCUCCAAUUCUACUAUUUCUAACCCAGGAAAUGUUGGGAAAUCGAUUUUGUCAAGACAUGAUUUCUUAGUGUUUUCAUUGAUGAAUAUGUUUUCUUUUUACGAAUCAAUUACAGUAAUAUUGUUUUUGAUGCCAGGUGGGAUAGUUGGCGCUCUACUGUUAGAUACAGUUAUUUUCUUUGUCGUGAGUUAUAUAAUUUUUCUGGUGAAAAUAUCCCCUACACAUUUCAAUGAGAUGAUCAUCCUGUAUGGUUUCAUCAUCAUCAUGUCUGCCGUAUUAUUUAUGUUCUACCAGAAACUUAAGAAAACACCAAUCAAGGGGGCAACACAGAUCAUACCACUGUCGUGCCGGCUGAAUUCACCAACAACAAUAUCUCCGUACAAUAAUUUCUAUUUUUCGUUCUUAACCUUUUUCUUGUUCAAUCUUACCAAAUUGUUAAUUACUAUAUCAUAUAUUGUAUUCUAUUCCAUCUAUGUGUAUUUAUUAUUAUUAUUAUUUAAAAUGAGAUUACUCAACAUGAUAUAUGUGUGAAUAGUCUUUUGAAUAACUUCUUUUUUUUUUAAGUGUAAUGGGAAAAGCCCCUAGCCUUUAGGGCCUAUUUGAAUGAAUUUAUGUUUUUAAUUUUUCAACAAUCUUUUACAAUUUAAUUUUAAAAACUCUUUAUAAGGAAAAAAAAAAAAACAAUCAAUGUUGUUUGGUAAUUCUAUUUUCAAACACCAUCUCCACCACCACGACCUACCGCUCCGGAAUUUUCUUCAUAAAAAAAAACUUUGUUCACCAUCGUGUCGUGUUCGUUGCUCUCUUAUAAUAAUCCUCCAUCAAAACGGAGAUCAAUGAGAAUCAUGGUUGGAGUUGGUAGCUCCAAGCAAUCCCAUAUUGUGGACACAACCAUUGAUACCAUCUCUGAUGACGAUUCUGGUUCAAAAUCACCACAAAAAUCCUUGAAACCAACCACUUCACCAUCAAAAUCAAUAUAAUGUCUUUUUCCGCCUUAAAAAAUACCACCUAAAAAGAGAAAAUGAGAUUUAACUAAAAAGCUUCGCUAUAAGAUUUUUUAUUAAAAUUGAGACACAUUAUCUUAUCUCAACCUUUAUUUGAAUAUUUUUUAUUUAUGAUAUUUAAUUAUUUACCAUAACUCAUUCAGCUAUCGUCCAAUGUUUUGUCUAUCAUGUCAUAAUUUUGAAAACAUGUAAUGUCAAUGAUUCUAAGAAGUACUCCCUCGAGUGACUAUUUUAGUUUUAAGUAAAAAAAAUUCUCUUGUUGUAUUAAAAAUAUAGUUAAAUGGCAAUUAAUUUUAUAUAUUUUACAUAAAAUAUAAGUUAAAUUUAUUAAAUUGUCAUUUUUAAUGUACAAUAUUCGACUAUUAAUAUUAAAUAUUUUGAUGUAAAUGGUGGAUUAAAAAUAGACAUGGCAACAGGCGGGACGGGGGCGAAAUAUAAAGUAUAUUUAAUAUGUCCAUGUGUAUAAAAUUUAAAAAUGAGAAUAAUAUUAUUAGCGGGACAUAUUCGAGUCCGAAUUCGGGGUGAAUGUCAACACACUCGCACUCGAUUAAAGCGAUUUUUCUCCGUCCAAAUUAAAACGAUUUCAAAUGGAUAUACGCGGAGGCGGAUUAUGUUGUCAUCUCUAAUUAAAAUAAUAAUAUUAAAUUAAUCAAAACUAUCUUAUAUUUAGGAUGCAAUGUUUUAAAUUUUUACAGAAUUAAAACAUAGAUAUAAAAACAUAUGUUAAAUUUCUUAGGUAAGUUUUGUCAUGUUAAUUGGUAGAGAUUAAUUGGAGAAAAUGUAUAUAUUUAACUAAAGCAAAUCUCGUUAGUGUAAAAUAGAAAAACAAAUACAAAUUAUUUUGUAAAUGUUUAAUGAAACCUAAUAUAUUUCCUAUUUUAAAUUGGACCACCAUCUCUAACCUUAAAUUUUAUAAAUAAAUAAAUAAAACAAAAUAAUUAAUUAAAGAAGGAUUUAUGUAAUGUAUAUUUGAAUAAUGAAGUUAUUUAAAAAAUGAAGGUGACCCACUAGGUUUUGGAUUUGGGCUUUGGGCCAAAAUAUUAGCGUCCAUUCCACGCAGAAUCUUAACUCCUAAUAACCCUAGUUUCUAGUUUACUUAUCUUGUUUUGAUUUUGAAAGAAUAAAAACCUACCAAUCACUCUCUAACCUCUCUCAUCUUUGCUCUUCGCCGUCACCGCAACCACCGUUCCCUCAAAUCAAAAUACCAUGUCGGACGAAGAGCACCAUUUCGAAUCCAAGGCCGACGCCGGAGCCUCCAAAACCUACCCUCAACAAGCCGGUACCAUCCGUAAAAACGGUUACAUCGUCAUCAAAAACCGUCCUUGCAAGGUCCGUAUCCACAUUCUAAUUCCUUUUUUAAUUAGGUUUUUACUAAAUUAAUCAUUGAUUUGAUUUCAUGUAUUUGAUUAGAUCCAGUUUUUCUGCUUCACUGUUUUGG